rnacentral:lncRNA from 1 species
CCUUGAAAAUAUUCCCAACCCAUUGCACUGCAAUUACGAUCGUAAGUACGAUUGCACUGCAAUUUCGAAGCUUCUUCUCCUGCAUUUUUGUUAUUUGCUAUGAAGUGAUAUUCGUAAGUAUGAUUGCAUUAAGCUGCUGCUGGGAGAUAUGAGGUUUUGAUGGCUGCCCAUGCUAUUGUUAGAAGCUGCGGUUCUUUUUCAUCAGCCUGAACCUGGACCUGUCGUUUCCACUGUUUUGAAACUCUUAAGAUUAAACUUUAGUAAAGUUGUUUUAGUUAUCGAUGUAAUCAGGCUGAGGAUACUUAGCUGCCUAUUUAGGCAAAUGUCAGAAUUUAGUUUGUUCGCUGGGAACUGGUGUGGUAACAGCGUCCUGGCAAAGGAUGAUGAGAUAGUUUUUUGAUUGAGUAAAUUUUGGAAGCUUGAGUGUAUUGGGAUUUGCAAUUACAAUCAUCCUCUGCCUCAGGUGAUUUCUUCUCCUGCCCUAUCGUUGUUUGUUCUUUAAUUCAAAGUUAUAAAAUAUUUCAAUCAAAUUUUAUGCCAGGAAUAUGCAAAAGUUUCUAAUAUUUUAUUUCCAUCUGUUUGCCUUGAUAACUUUGCGGCAUAUGUGCUAGUUAAAGAACAAAUCGAAACAGAGCUCAGUUAAAAGUUUCUUCUGCCGUCAUAUUUGAAAAAUGAAACCAUUUCCAAGAAGCAAUGGGUGUUAAGGAAGCUCACAUGAGCAGAGUAGUCAGUGGAGCAGAGGAUUGCAACACCUGCAGCUUGCUGUUACAGGUUGAUGACAUGGCUUGCCAGCUGGAGCCUGGUGGUUAUAUAGUCUCUUGCACACGUGAAGAUUAACAGAGUUUGUUAUAGUAUUUCUUGUGCUUGUAAUUCGGUUUUAAUUAGUUAUAACCAGCUGAUUAGCACUUGCAAUUAGUUGAGAAUUAGUUCUAAUUACUACUGAUGUAUAUAAACAGAAGUAUGUACAGAUUCAGUCAAUUAAUGACUUGAGAUAAUAAAAACGAAGAAAGAGUUUUAGAAUUCUCUUAUUUUCCUUUAAGUUUUCUCUGUUUCCAAACAUCAUUGAAUUGUUACUUGGUAUCAGAGCCAACCAAUAAUGGCGUCUGUUAAUCUUGCUUCUUCUUCCUCAAUUCCAACUCUUAAUCAUGCUACAAAUUCAACAACUGUUUCCUUUACCUUUAACACACCAGUCAAGCUUGAUUAGUCCAAUUGUCUCAUAUGGCGAUCUCAAGUCCUAGCCUCAAUUCGUGGAAACAGGCUCGAAAAGUUUAUUGAUGAUGCAGUCACUCCACCUCCAUCUCAUAUAGCUCAGAGAGUUGAUGAUGAACUCAGAUCUGUGGAGAAUCCAGAAUUCGCAACAUGGAGAUCUCAAGAUCAGGUGCUGCUUGGAUGGCUGCUCUCUUCGAUGAGUGAAGGAAUCAUCAGUCUAGUGUUUAACCUGGAAUCAUCACUUGAAGUGUGGAAAGCUAUUAAGGUACAAUUUGGCUCGCAAUCUAAAUCCAGACUUUUACAUCUGAGAUACAUGAUGAAUUCAACAAGGAAAGAUUAUAUGAAAAUCAUAGACUAUUUUAUUAAGAUGAAAAACAUAGCUGAUAAUAUGGCAGCAGCAGGAAGUGCUUUAAGUAGUGAUGAUAUGAUUUUACAUGUAUUAUCUGGCCUAGGACCAGAUUAUAAUUCAGUAGCUACUUACAUUACUGGUCAAGUAGGAGUUGGUAAAAUGAAUGUAAAUGAAGCCUAUGCUAUGCUGUUAACUCAAGAGGCUAGGAUUGAACAACAAUCACAAAUGCUUGCUGGUGUGGAUAUGAAAAACAAUUUUGAGGCAAAUUAUGCUCAAAACAGAGGAGUAAAGAAGGGAAACAUAUCAGGUGGAAGAGGUUUUGGUGGUUAUGGCUAUAACUCUGGGUUUGGAAAAGGUGGUUAUUACAAAGGAAACUUUGGCACUGAAUCUGCUGGUGGUGGUACUGGUUUUAAUAGUCAGUUCAAAGGUUAUCAAUCUGGUAAUCAAAGAGGAGGAGGAGGAGGAAACUGGAACAAUAACACUAGAAUUAACAAUUUUAACAAUGGGAAACCACCUAUGAACUCUAAACCUCAGUGGAAUACUUCUAAACCUACCUGCCAAAUCUUCCUCAAGCCUGGACAUACUGCAAACAUUUGUUGGAAGCUGGAAGAAUUCAUUGCUUCAGGCUCUUACAGAUCACCUCCAAAUAGAGGACCAAAGGCUGCCUAUUUAGCCAACAUGGAUGCUCCAGCUGAUACAAAUUGGUAUCUUGACAGUGGUGCUACACACCACCUCACUAAUGAUAUGAGCAAUAUGAAUAUGGCUGAACCUUUUACAGGUAUUUCUAAACUUGUCAUUGGUAAUGGUGUUGGUUUAUUCAUAACACAUACAGGUUCUGCUGUUUUGAGAAUGAAAAGCUCUAUAAAUCAUGUUGAUCUUAAGCUAAACAAUAUUCUUCUUGUGCCUAAAAUAACCAAAAACCUGAUAAGUAUAUCAAAACUAACCAGAGAUAGUGAUGUUGUGGUAGAAUUUACUAAUGAUUUCUGUUUUGUUAAGGACAAGGUGAGGAAUUUGAUCAUGCUGCAGGGCAAAGCUGAAAAAGGAUUAUACAGAUUGCUAUUAGUCUCCUCAAAUAAAACCUCUCCUUAUCUGUCAAACCAAGGUCUUUUUGCUCAUGUUCAGUCAGCUGUCUCAACUCAACCUAUUUCCAAGUUUUCUGUUGUUGAUUCUAAAUGUCAGAAUAAAAUUGCUUCUCAGUUACAAACUGAAGCACAAUGUAGUCAAAACUCAGAUUGUAUGUUGAGUACUAUGGUUUUACACCAAAGAUUAGGUCAUCCCAAUGCUAGAGUGUUAAAUCAUGUUAUCAAUUCUUGUCCAUCUUUUAAAACCAUCGAUGGUAAUAAAGGUUUUGAUUCUUGUGAUGCUUGUAAGUUGGGAAAAAUGCACAAACUUCAUUUUCCAGUAACUGAAACUAAAACCAAAAAUGCACUUGAAAUCUUACAUACAGAUCUAUGGGGGCCUGCUCCUACACUUUCUAUACAAGGAUAUAAAUAUUAUAUCAACUUUGUAGAUGAUUACACAAGAUUCACCUGGAAUUUUCCUUUAAAAACCAAAGCUGAAGCAUUUCCAGUGUUCAAAGUUUUCAAAGCUCAAGUAGAGAAACAAUUAGAUAAACCUAUCAAGUGUCUUCAAUCUGAUUGGGGUGGUGAGUAUAGAUCAUUUGUUCAUUUUCUUCAAACAGAGGGGAUUCAGUUUAGACACUCCUGUCCCUAUACCCACAAUCAAAAUGGACUUGUGGAAAGAAAACAUAGACACAUCACUGAGUUGGGUUUAACCUUGCUUGCACAAGCCAAGUUACCUAUAAAAUUUUGGUGGGAUUCUUUUCAUACAGCUACCCAUAUUAUAAACAAACUUCCAACUCCUGUUCUUUCCUUGAAAACCCCUUAUGAAUAUCUAUUCCAUCAAAAACCAGACUAUCCAUUUCUCAAAACUUUUGGUUGUGCUUGUUUUCCUUUCUUAAGAGAUUACAAUCAUCACAAGUUUCACUUCCAUACUUCUAAAUGUGUCUUCUUAGGAUACAUCCCUUUACACAAAGGCUACAAGUGUCUUCAUCCAUCAGGAAGAAUUUACAUAGCUAGUCAUGUUCUUUUUUAUGAAACUUCCUUUCCAUAUUCUACUGAUUCUACCUUCUUACAGUCUAUGCCAUCUAAAUCUUCUGACUUCUUUUAUAAUUCCUUACAAGUAUAUCACAUCUCAGUUCCUAAUAGCAAUCAGAAUCCUUUAGCAGCUGCUCCUGCAGAUACAGAUUCUCAUGCCUCCAGUUCUACUCACAACAUCAUCUCCCUUCCUAUUCCUACAUCACAAGUAAAUUCCACCUCACUGAUUUCACCAAAUAAUACUAUAUCUUCACCCAUUGUCCACACAACAUCACCAGCUGCUACCAUAAACACUAUACCAAACACUACAACUUUACCUGCAAUACUACAAAAUUCACCUUCCAGAUCACUUCCCUCAGCUGCAACCAUAAACACUCAUUUUAUGAUUACCAGAGCUAAAGCUGGCAUAUUCAAACCAAAGGCCUUCUUGACAGAUCAUAACAGCCUAGAACCUUCCAAUGCUGGAGAAGCCUUAUCUGAUACUAAGUGGAAGGCAGCAAUGCAAGAUGAAUAUAAUGCUCUCAUUAGAAACAAAACCUGGAGCUUAGUACCAAUGAAUCCAGAAUACAAGUUAGUAGGCUGCAAGUGGGUCUUUAGAACUAAAUACAAUACUGAUGGUUCAGUCUCUAAGUACAAAGCUCGCUUAGUUGCAAAAGGGUUUCACCAAACUGCUAGGAUAGAUUACUCAUAAACUUUUAGUCCUGUAGUGAAAUCUUCUACUGUCAGAGUUAUUCUUAGCUUGGCAGUCAUGCAAGGCUGGAAUGUUAGACAAAUUGAUGUCAAUAACGCAUUUCUUAAUGGGAAUCUCACUGAGGAUGUAUACAUGCAACAGCCAGAGGGUUUUGUUUCAGAGGGAGGAUACAUCUGUAAACUAAACAAAGCUCUUUAUGGCUUAAAACAAGCUCCAAGAGCCUGGUAUGAUAAGCUUAAGGGAUGUCUUACAAGCUGGAAAUUCACUAAUUCUAAGGCUGAUACUUCUCUGUUUAUCAGGCAUGAUGUCAAAGGCAUAAUUCUUGUCUUAAUAUAUGUGGAUGACAUUCUGAUCACUGGACCAGAUUCAGACUUGCUGGAAUCUUUUAUUGCUAAGCUCAGCAAAGUUUUUGCAUUAAAAGACUUGGGUCUAGUAACAUAUUUCCUUGGUGUAGAAGUCAGCUAUACAGAUCAUGGAAUGCAUCUCUCUCAGACUAAGUACAUCAAGGAUAUGCUGUCCAAAGCCUCAAUGCAAGACUGCAAAGGAACUGACACUCCUUUCAGCACAGGCUACAAGUUGGAAAGGUCAGCAAAAGGCCUAUUGGGUGCUGAAUUUGAGAAUCCAACCCUCUAUAGAAGCAUUGUUGGAGGUUUGCAAUACUUAAUCUUAACCAGACCAGACAUUGCAUAUUCAGUGCAUAAGCUUAGUCAGUACCUCAGUGCUCCUACACUUCAACACUAGUUAGCUUGUAAAAAAGUGCUCAGAUACCUUCAAGCUACUGUCACAUAUGGUCUCUAUAUUCAACAGGAGGGAACUCUGGAAACUAUAGGACUAACAGGAUAUUCAGAUACUGAUUAGGCAUGUGAUAUUGAUGACAGAAAAUCCAUUGGAGCAUAUUGCAUUUUCCUUGGUAAUAAUUUGGUUUCCUAGUCUUCAAAAAAGCAAGCCGUUGUAGCAAAAUCUAGUACUGAGAGUGAAUACAGAGCCUUGUCAGCAGCCAGCUCUAAACUUUCUUGGCUAUAAUCAUUAUUCUCUGAGCUCAACAUCACAAAAUUACCAACUUCUGUUCUAUGGUGUGAUAACCAGAGUGCUGGAGAUCUAGCUAGAAAUCCAGUUUUUCAUUCAAAAUCAAAACACAUAGAGCUAGACAUUCAUUAUAUUAGAGACAAGGUUCUUAACAAUGAAUUGGAAGUGAGGUACAUUCCCACUGAAGAGCAAGUUGCAGAUGUUCUUACUAAGCCCCUGUCAUUUCCUAAGUUUAGUUAUUUUCGUUCCAAACUCAAUGUGUUCAGUAGACCCUUGAGCUUGAGAGGGGAUGUUAAGGAAGCUCACAUGAGCAGAAUAGUCAGUGGAGCAGAGGAUUGCAACACCUGCAGCUUGCUGUUACAGGUUGAUGACAUGGCUUGCCAGCUGGAGCCUGGUGGUUAUAUAGUCUCUUGCGCCCGUGAAGAUUAGCAGAGUUUGUUAUAGUAUUUCUUGUGCUUGUAAUUCAGUUUUAAUUAGUUAUAACCAGCUGAUUAGCACUUGCAAUUAGUUGAGAAUUAGUUCUAAUUACUACUGAUGUAUAUAAACAGAAGUAUGUACAGAUUCAGUCAAUUAAUGACUUGAGAUAAUAAAACGAAGAAAGAGUUUUAGAAUUCUCUUAUUUUCCUUUAAGUUUUCUCUGUUUCCAAACAUCAUUGAAUUGUUACUAUGGGCAGCAAAUUCAUAUAAAGCGUAGACAAUGGUGAUCAAAAAGGUGAUUCACAAUUUCACUUUUUUUAAUGAAAUUAAUUGUUUGGUUGGAGCUGAUAUUGUUAGAAGGCCAUUGAGCUAACCUAUGUCACUACUUGCCUAGAUUACAGGGGGUCAAAACUCAAAAGAGGCAUUGAAUUUUAAAAGGCAUCCAAUAAUUCUUGUGGCCAUAUAUCAAUUCAUGUAAGUUUGAAUGUAAUUAUUGGUGAAGGGGUUUCACUUCCCGUCUCUAAAUAAAAAUACUGAUUCUUUAAGGUACAUGCCACUAGGGAUUGCGAGAUUAACGAGUCUUUGGACAUUGGAAGAGCUUCUUGUGAGUGGAGGAGGAGGUGUUCAUGUGUAGCAAAGCAUGUGGGCAGUGGGCUUGAAUCUCUUAAAAACUUGGAACUCCUCCAAGCGUAAGUAUACGUAUACUGGGAAAUGUGUUAGAUGUGGAUGAGGCUAAGAGAUUAGAGCUUGACAAAAUGAAAUACCUCUGUCAUUGAGACUUAAAUUUGAUGGGGAAGAAGAAAAAGAAUAGGGAAGGAGAAAGAAUGAGAAUAAUCAACUUGUUCUUGAAGCCUUGCAACCACCUCUGAAUUUGAAGGAAUUAGAGAUUUGGUCAUACAGAGGCAACAUUGUUUCCCCCCGGAUGAUGCAAAAGUUGAAGGAAUUUACCAAUCUAAGGAGUUUGACACUCUUUAAAACUGCAAAAAUUGAGAGCAGUUGCCUUCUUUGGGAAAAUUGUGAUCCUUUGAAAAUCUCAGCAUAUUGUACAUGGAGAGUGUGAAAACAGUGGGUAAUGAAUUUAUGGGAAUAGAAAGUGAUCUUCAUGACUCAUCUUCAUCUUCAUCAGUUAUUAUUGCCUUCCCCAAAUUGAAAUCACUUUCAGUUGAGGGAUUGAUGGAAUUGGAGGAGUGGGAUUAUGGGAUUAAAAGAACAGGAAACACCUUCACCAACAUUAUGCCACGUCUUUCUUCCUUGGAAAUUAGUGUGGGGUUAUGGGAUCGCACAACGACGUUGAAGGUAUUGCAGAUUGUGGCAUGUGGUACUCUAAGAAGACGUUACAGACAGGGGAGAGCAGAAGACUGGCCUAAAAUGCUAAUGUGGAGUACAAUCAUAAAAUGCUAAUGUGGCCACCCUGGUUCUUAAUUAAGGUUGUGCAUAUUAUUGUAAAAGAUGAUUAAUUCAAUUUGAGUCAUUCGUUUGCUUUGAUAAUGAUAGUAAUUUUAUAUUUUGACAAUUUGCAAGGUGAGAAUGGUGCUGAUUGGUGAUACAGGAUAUGGUUCAAACACCAUUGAAUAAAGCUACGGACAUGGUGGCUCAACUUAGCUAGAUUGCUGUCAAAAUUGGUAAGUUGGCUUGUCAAUGUAUUGAUGCUUUUGUUUUCUCUCAACCCUAAUUACCUUACCUUCAUUUAGUUUGGCUUUGGAGUUGAGUAAUAACUUUCAAGGUUCUCAAACAGAGCAGGACAACCGAAAAAAAAUAGCUUAAUUUGCUGCAGAUCACGUGUUACCAAUUAUUUAAGGUAAUUCUCGUUUACUUGCUUCUACACUAUAGAGUACGUGUUCUGGCUGGUUUAUGUAAUUCAUCAAAUGUUAUUUCCUUAUUGUUCCAUUGAUAUGUUUGUUAGAAAGUGAAACCAUUUCCAGGCAGCAGUUGGCAGUGAAUUCAUGCAAAUGUUGAUGCCAUUCAUAGAUAUUGAAGACAAUGAUGAGCCAAAGGUGAUAAAUCAUUAAUGCAUAGUUACCAAAACCUCCAUCCUUCUCUCAUUGUAAUUUGAUUUGAAAUGAAUAAUUGCUAGGUAAUUGAAGCCAAUAUUGUUAGAAACGGUGUUGAGCUACCCAAGCUAAGAAGUUAGCUGCCAAAAAAUGCAGGGGAUCAAAAGAAGCAUUGCAGUGCUACAAUGAAGCUACUGGGAAAUUUAAAUCCCAUAUUAGACUUUCCUCACAUCAGAAGCUGUGGAUCUUCGGACAUCAGGUUUUUUCACAGUUCUGAAACUCUCAGGAUUAAACUCUAUUAAAGUUGUUGUAGUUGUCUACGUUCUCAGGUCAAGGAUUCUAAGCUGCCUAUUAAGGCAAAAUGUCAGAAUUCCCCUAUUAUUUUUUUUUCAUGUAAAAUUAUGUUGUUGUCUUCGCCCAUGAAUCUUAGCUAAAUUCUGAACCAAUUGUUUGCUAUUAUAAAUUUCAUUGUUAAAUAUUAAUUGUGAUGUUGGUGUUGAGUUUCUUUUAAAGUCACAGAAGCCUGACGAUUGAGUUCCGUGAUUCUGAGAAGCAGUAAUAUUUUGAACAAGUGAAGGUUCUUCGUUUUUAAUUAUGUUCUGCACCUUUACAGUAUGAGUAAAUGUCUAAGAGGCGAGAUUUUAAUUUCUGUAAAUGCUAAAUUUCGCAAAACAAUAAAAAAAUAAAUGCAUGACAGUGACUUCAAGAAAUUAGAUUAUUGAAUUUGGCCAUUUUAAAAUUGAACCAGAGCUCAGAAAUGUAGAAUAUAAAUAUUGGAGAUUUGAACUUCAAUCAUUAGAUUUGAAGCUAAAGAGGUAAGCCAUUAAUUACAUCAAAUGAUUUGGAAAAUGGAGGAAUUGUAAAAAGGAAACUUUUUCUUUGUCCGAUUCAAGAGGAACAAGAGUAGCCUAAGAUAUUAAAGACAAUGUUGAGGCAAAGGAAACAUAAAUCCCAACCAUUGCAUGUGAACAUGAUCACAAUAAAUCCCAACCAUCCAAACCAUUUUUUUGAGAAUUUUCAAUUGAAAGUGAAACCUUUUGACAUUUACCUAAUAAAGUAAGUUAAACGAGAGAAAUAAAGGGGGGAAAAAAAAGUUGACUCAAGUCAAUACAGAAUUAUUAGUUCAACCUAGAGUAACUAAAACAGAGCCACUUGAGUUUCAAAAAUAUCUGCAUUCAUCACCUUCUCCAACAGCUUAUGAGCUACACACGAAUCAUUUCCUUUUAGCAUUUUUGCAGCAGCAAUUUCUCCCCUCGUUUGUCAUCAAUUUCUCCCUUCUCUUGGGGAAAAAAGGGCAGUUGUAAAUUACAUUAUUUGUAACUUUGGCGGACUCUUUAUAUAACACAAAUUCUAUCAUUUAAAGAAAUUAUAAUGAUGCAAUCGUUUCCCCUCUCUUGGAGCAGCUGAUUAUCUUUGCUGCUGAAGAGAUGAGACAACAGGGGAAGCUGGUGAGUGUUGGAUGAGCGGAUCACAGCAUGCGCCAAAUUGCAAAUUGAGAGCGGCAUUGAUGACAAUGCUCUUGGUGCUCCUUAUCUGAAGAAGAAGGUAUAUUCCUGCUUUCCUGCUUCUUGCUUUGGUUUCAAGCAAGUCUUUCACUGUCAUAACAUUUAUUGUAAUUUCAUUUGGAGAUAUGUAAUAUCUGUUGUACAGAUAUAUUUCAUACACCAGCUGUUAAUAAUUCUGCCUGCAGAGAACUUACAAAGGAGCUGUGUGAUGUAAUAGAAGACUAUGUAGUCUGGUCAAUUUUUUCAACCUUAGAUAUUAGGAAGUUAUGUAUUUCAUUAUCAGUUAUCAUUAUGAUUUUCAUCUUCAAAAAGAUAAAUGGAUGGCUUUGAAUGGCUUGUGUUUGAGGAUUUUAGUUUGACUUAUCUUGAUUGAAGUACUUUUUGACAAUAGAAUUCCUUCAUGAUUUAAACAUUCUUUUGAAAACCAAAUAAUAAAAAAAUAAAUAAACUAACAAAUAUUAUUUUAUUAGUGCUCUUUUCAUCAAAUAUACAUAAGAGUAUUGUAAUUUAUAGCAACUAAUUUUUCAUUAAAUACACCCAUAACAAACUAUUAAAAAUAAAGUGAUAGAAAAAUGCCUAAUUUUUCAUACUUUCUAAUUUCUUUUGGCCCUAAAAUAUGGGUAUUUAUGCCAUAAUAAGCCCAUGUAGAUCUCAAUGCCGAAAGUUCGAUAAAUGGCUUUCAAGGAUUGAUAAUUAUCUAUUAACAUUCUUAAUUAUAUUCAGUUAAAAUAUUAAUAUUAAAUACAUUCUUAAUAUUAAUAUUCUUGGAUGAAUUUCUUUGUGGAUUUAAGAAUAAAAUAUUAAAUAAUUUUAUUUUUCUUUUAUUCCGUAACUUAGACCAAAAAAGGAAAUGAGUUUCCCAAGGACUUCUCAUGUUUCCCAUCCUCCAUACUGUGCAGAGGAGUUUAGCACCCAUCAACUUUUAUUUUUUAAAACUCAUAAUGGCCAAUGAAUAAAGCUGUGGUGGCUGAACUUAGGUUGAUGUCAAAGAGGUAAUUGAAUUGGCCUGUUAAGAUGGAUGCUUUUUGUUGAUCAGGCGACAGAGCAGGACUAUGAAAAAGACAAGCUUAUUACCGGUAACUCAAGUUUACUUGCUUGUUAUAUAAUAUGCUUUUUGUCACCGAAUUUCAUUUCCAGUACGUCUCCAUCGGUAUCAAGAAGAAACAGAACUCAAAGAAAUAUUUUUUCAAUCUUCAUAUUUGUCUGAAUUCGUCCUUUCAUUAAGAAUAACCAUUUUCAGGCAGCAGUUGGCACUGAAUUCACGCAAAUCUUGAUGCCAUUCGUAGUCGCAGACAUUAAAGACAAUGAUGAGCCAAUGGUGAUUAAUCAUAAAUGCAUAAUUAACAAACUUCCGUCCUUCUCUCAUUGUAAUUUGAUUUGAAAUUAAUUAUUGCUAGGUAACAUUAAUUCCAACCAUUGCAAGAUUUUUCCCUUAACAUAAUUCGGUAACAUUUAAUUGCAUGUGAAAUUGAUCAUAAUACCGUGAAGGACCUACCAAAACUUUUUUUUGAGAAAUUUCGAUUGAAAGUGAAACCUUUUGACGUUUACCUAAUAAAUUUAGUAAAUCUGGAAAAAAAAAAAAGUUGACACAAGCCAAUGCAGAAUAAUUAAUUAAAUCUGGAGUGACCACAUUUUCAAAAAUAUCUGCAUUCAUCACCUUCUCCAACAGCUAGUCAGCCACACACUGUUGGGGAAAAAUUAGGUUUUUAAAUUUUAUAAAACCUUUUGAAGAUCGCUCUCAUAUAAUAUAUAAGAAUUUGUAUUCUAGAAAUCGUACCUUGAAAAUCCGAGUUGGCUUUUUCCGCUGAAGUGAUUUAGGCUCCUAGAUCACGAUCCGCCACCACCACUCCUGUUAGAUCACAAUCCGUCACCACCACGCUUGUUAGAUCACGAACUGUCUCCAAUGAUCUUCCAAGUUAUAACUCAGGUUCGAUCUACACUUGACGUGUGGGUGCCUUUAUCACUACCAAAGCAACUAGCACGAGAAAAUUUUUCUUCAAUAGAGAGAAAAAUCUUAUUCUCCGAUUUGUAUAAAGUGGCUUCUACCUUUUCUUUAGAGAAAAAUAAGCUUUUUAUAUCACCCUUUAGUGAAAACCCUAGGCUCCAAAUAAUGCCCAAAAUAAAACUCACGUUACUUUUCAUUUAAUAGGGGACCCACCAUGUAAAAUAACAUAAGGCCCUUUACACAUAAGCUAAUUAAAUGGAGCCUCUUACUAAAUGAUAUAUUUAGGCUUUUGACCCAAAUAACUAGUUAUCUUGCUUAUUAGUCCAGUAGUGGUGCAGUCAAUUAAAUGAGCUAACCCGGGGAUCAUUUGGGAACAUACAAUAAUGGCUACAAUAAUUAGGCCUGUAAUUAAACUAGCCCAAUUAUUUAAUUUCAAAUCUACUCCACUAAAAGAUUGGAACUGACUUCCAUAAUUGCAUGCUCGAAUAAUAAUUCGUCCCAAGCCACAUUGAUUUCUUUACUGCACAAUCCUUUGUACCACAUCGUUAAUUAAAUUGAUAUCUCAACUGUCCAAUCAAUUUAAUAACAUCUUAUUCCUUGAUCCUUACUGAUUUUUUCUAAUGAUCAUUUUCAACAUACUAAAUAUGUUGACACACUCUGGCCAGAGAAUUCUAUGAUCAAGUGCCGAAAAUCUAUCAAGAGAUGUGUUGUACAAAUUCUAUAUUGUCAAUCCAUAACUCCAAUACUCAUAAUUGCUCCCACCAAGAUACCGGGUAAUCUUGACCACAAGGAUGUGUCGUGCCCAUUGGUAACUCAAAUGGAAUAACAAUUACAAUCAUGAAAUCAUAAUUAACUCAAGAUUAAGAUUACAGUAAAAUCAACGCCUAUGAGAUUUAAUAAGUCUGACAGUUAUUACAAAGUUAAUUAAAUCUCAUAUGUGAUCCUGUUCAAUGUAGUCGUACUACAUCAAUAAAUUCAUACAUGAUUAAGACAAAUCAUUCAAUGAAUUUAUUACAGUCUAUACCUAAAUAAAGUGCCCAACUUUAUUUAUCAACUGCAAACAAAAUUUAUUUAAUCAUAAGAUAACUUGUAUUUAUGUCUUCUGUGAAUCCACAUGGUGAUCACAUAAAUACAUAUAAUAUGAUUAAAUGGACUUUAAUAAAAAUAUUAAUACAAUUAAGAUAUUUGAAUAAAAUACCUCAUUAAUUUUAUUAAUCAGAAAAAAUGUUUAUUACAAUUAAAUAAACACAUAUGCUUUUAAAGAGCAUAUUUUCCCAACAAUCUCCCACUAGCUCUCAAAGCAUAUCUGGCAUAUUGCACAUGCUUUCGGGCUCUAAGUGCAGGUUAUAAAGGUUUCCCACUAAUGGCCAUUGUAAUAAGAUCUGCCAUUUAGCAUCUAAUGCCAUUUAGGGUACUGUCAUAUAACCUUUCUACACUAUUCCCUUAUAAGAUGAUACUUCAUGUCAGUAUGUUUUGUUUCUUGUGGUUCCUUAGAUUGAGCUACUGCACCACCAUUAUCACAAAAUAGUUUAAGGGGUGUAGUUACAACAGGUACCACCUCAAGAUUUUGUAGGAACUUGCGGAGCCUAUAUAGCUUCUUUUGCAGCUUCAGAUGUAGCCACAUAUUCAGCUUCAGUUGUGGAGUCUGUGAUACAAGAUUGUUUCACACUCAUCCAACUAAUAGCUCCACUUCCUAAUGUAAACACAUAGCCGGAAGUUGAUUUUCUAAAAUCCUUAUCUGACAAAAAAUCAGAAUUAGUAUAACUCACUAGAAUAAGUUCAUCACCAGAAUACACAAGCAUAUAAUUUUUAGUUCUUUUCAGAUACUUUAUAAUAUGCUUGACUGCAGUCCAGUAUUGAGGUCCAUGAUUAAAUUGAUAUCUGCUAACCAUCCCUACCGAAAAACAGAUGUCUGGCCUAGUGCAAAGCAUGGCAUACAUGAGACUUCCCACAGCUUCUGCAUAGGGAACUCAUCUCAUUCUCUCUAUCUCUUCAGAUGUUUUAGGUGAUUGAUCCUUAGAGAAUGUAAUUCCAUGUCUGAAUGGUAAUAAACCAGUCUUGGAAUUUUCCAUGCUAAAUCUAGCCAAUAUCUUAUCGAUAUAGACCGCUUGAGACAAGGCUAAAGUUUUAUUCUUCCAGUCUCGUAGUAACUUGAUACCAAGAAUAUAACUUGCCUUUCCCAGGUCUUUCAUAUCAAAUUGUUUUGCUAACCAAAUCUUUAUUGUAGUCAAUACAUAUAAUAUGAUUAAAUGGACUUUAAUAAAAAUAUUAAUGCAAUUAAGAUAUUUGAAUAAAAUACCUCAUUAAUUUUAUUAAUCAGAAAAAAUAUUUAUUACAAUUAAAUAAACACAUAUGCUUUUAAAGAGCAUAUUUUCCCAACACACACGAAUCAUUUCCUUUUAGCAUUUUGCAGCAUCAAUUUCUCUCCUGUUAAUCUGGAGGAAUCCGUCAGACUUUGGCUGGAUCGGCUCAAGUACGCAUCCUACGACAUUGAAGAUGUGUUGGAUGAGUGGAUCACAACAAGAGCCAAAUUGUAAACAAGAGGUUGAUGACAAAUAUAUCUGUUGCUUCUCAUCUGAAGAAGAAUGUAUCUUCCUGCUUCCCUGCUUUUUGCUUUGGUAUCAAAUAAGUCUUUCUCCGUCAUAACAUUUAUUGUAAUUUCAUAUGAGAUAUUACAUAAUAUAUCUGUUGUUCAAAUAUAUUUUAUAUACAAGCUGUUAAUACUUAUGCUUGCAGAAAGCUUACAAAGGAGUUGUGUGAUGUAAUAGAAGACUACAGUCUGGUCAAUUUUCAACUUUAGAUAUUCAGGUCAUCAGUUUCUCUUGAAUUCUUUCUUGAGUUUCUUUGAAUUAUUUGUGAAUAAGAUCUUAGUUGGCUGCUCCUCUUCAGGAUAAGGAAAGUGUGGCAAAACUCGUGAAGCUGAUAGAUAAAAGCAAUGGGUAUAUCUUUGCUGGCAUGGAUGCCAGCGCAGUUGAAUUCAGCAAGGUUGCCAUUCGCGAUGUUGAUUGGGAUUACUUCAGAUAUCCCUCUUUUCACCUAUUUUCAAUCUUGUGAUUCUCAUUUUCAUAAAACAUUUUGGUUAUUUAAUUAUGGCUCAUUGUAUGCAUCUGCAUCCUCUAACUUGUUCGUUUGAGAAACAAAUUUUGCUGUUAGGUAGGCUUCAAGCUUGAUUCAUGCUUUUUCCAUAAAUGUACCAAAAUCAUGGAAACAUCUUUUUCCCAGAUAUUGUAUCCACACUUUUCCCAUCUAAAAGACAAGUUUUGCUUAACAAAGAAAUCUACAGUAGCUGAAGUGCAGGAGAAGUACAUUAAGGAUGAUGACGAUGUUAACUAAAAGGGAACGCGAAGAUAUGUGGUGUGCAAAUCGUAAGCAAGCUGUGAGUUGAAUGAAUAAAGUUUGGUUUCCAGAAACGACCACGUUUUGGAGCUGUAAAACCUUCAUUAGUCACGUGCUGCUGUUCUUAACUGAAAACGAUUUAGUCGAAACGACAUGGGUGGAGCGCGUUUUACAUAUCAGUUUAAGUUAACCACAUGAGGAAGCAUGUGAUGAAGGUUAUUCUGAGUUUGUUAAAGGUUGUUAACCACGUGUCAACGAGCUGUACAAUCUAGAAAUCAAGUUGGCUGCCUAAACAGAGUAUAAAGGCUAGGUUUUGGGGAAAUUCAGGAACGAAUUUCAUGAGUCUUGCUGUGAGGGUUUUGUGAGAGAGAAAGUAUUAACUUGUUCUUUGUAAAGUCUGGUGGAAGGCUCUGUAACAAUCUCCAUUGUUGAUUCAAUAAAGCUCAUCUUGAGGCUUCUCCAAUGGAUGUAAGCUGAGCAUUCCAUGCUCAACUGAACCACGUUAAAUCUUGGUUUCUGUGGGUUUCUUGUUUCUAGUUCUUGUUCUUUUUGUUAUUGAGUGAGUUUGUCUAAUUAGAUCUUGGGGUUGUGCAACUUGCAUUGACUAGAUCACUAGCAUCCUGGGCAGUGAUCAAUUUAGCUUGGUUUAAAGGCUUGCUGUUCACUACAAUUGGUACUAGAGCUUGGUGUUCUGUGAUCAAGUCCAAGUAUGGUGUCUUCUAAGGUCGAUGUAGAAAAAUUUACAGGCAAGAAUGACUUCAAUAUGUGGAAGAUGAAAAUGGAAGCCUUGCUGAUCAUUUAGGGUUUGGGAGAUGCAAUUGAGCCUGAAAUGAAGGAAGGUAAAGGGGUUUCUUCAUCAAAGACUCCAGAGGAAGUUGUUGAAAUCCACAAAAAGGUCAGAAGUACAAUAAUCCUGAGUCUUGGUGAUUCAGUCAUUAAAGAAGUGGCCAAAGAUAAGACAGUUGCUGGAUUAUAGAGCAAACUGGAAAGUCUUUAUAUGACCAAGUCACUUGCAAACAGACUCUACAUCAAGAAAAGGAUGUUUACACUAAAAAUGGUGGAAGGAGCUUCACUGGAAGAACACAUCGAUGAGUUUAACAAGGUAUGUGAUACCCUGGAAACCAUUUAUGCUACUCUGGAUGAUGAGGGGAAGACUCUCUUGCUAAUCAAUUCAUUACCAAAAUCCUAUGAAAAUUUGGUUGAUGCCCUGAUGUAAGGAAGACAAACCCUAACACUUGAUGAAGUUAAAUCUACCCUAAAUACAAGGGAACUUCAAACUAAACAAGGGCAUUUGGAGAAUAAUAGAAGUGAAUGACUGAUAAUAAAGGUGAAAACUGACAAGAAGAAGAAGAAAGGCAAAUCCAAGAACAAAGAAAGAGACCUAAAAUGCUUUCAGUCUCACAAAGAAGGCCAUUUUAAGAGGGAUUGCCUUGAAAAGAGAUUCAAGCCCAAAGAUUCAAGAAACCAAAGUGGAGAUGCAGCUGUAGUGGAAGAGGAAGGAUAUGAGUCUGCUGGUGUAUGUGUGGCAAUAGAAAACAGCCAAAAAGGUAAAUGGGUUCUGGACUCUGGAUGCACUUUUCACAUGUGCCCUUUUAGAAAUUACUUUAAUAAAUAUCAAGAUUUUGAUGGAGGUAGAGUAAUUAUGGGAAAUAACUCUAUUUGUAAAAUCAUUGGAAUUGGGGAUGUAAGCCUUAAGCUACAUGAUGGUUCAAUAAGAGUGCUUAGGCAAGUCAGGCAUGUGCCAGACUUGAAAAGAAAUCUAAUUUCUCUUGAGGUGUUGGACCAAAUAAGGUGUAGAAUUAAGCUUGAAUCUGGAGAAUUGAGUGUUUUGAAUGGUUCAAAUCUAGUCAUGAAAGGGACGAGGAAGAAUGGAGUUUACAUCUUAGAUGGUGAGGUGAUAUCUGGAGUAGCUGAUGUAUCCAUUAAGCAUGCUAAAGAUAAAACCAGGUUAUGGCAUCCAAGGUUAGGGCACAUGAGUGAGAGAGGAUUAAAAGAGUUAGAAAAACAAAGGUUGUUUGGUUCUGACAAGAUUGGUAAUCUAGAGUUUUGUGAAGAUUGUGUUCUAGGGAAGUCUUCAAGAGGCAGCUUCAAUAGAUCUAGUCAAAAAUCAAAUGAGAGGUUGGAUUAUGCACACUCAGACUUGUGGGGGCCUGCACAGUGUGUAUCUCUGCGAGGGAAUAAGUAUUUUUUAUCUAUCAUAGAUGACUUCUCUAGGAAAGUUUGGGUGUAUGUGUUAAAGAACAAGGAUCAGACUUUUGAGAGGUUUAAAGAGUGGAAACAGAUGGUAGAAAACCAAACUGGUAAGAGAUUAAAGAAGCUGAAAACUGAUAAUGGUCUUGAAUUUUGCAACCAGCCAUUUGACAACUUUUGUGCAAAUAAAGGUAUUGGUAGACAUAAGACAGUAAGGAUGACCCCAUAACAAAAUGGGUUAGCUGAGAGGAUGAAUAGGACUCUAUUGGAGAAAGUAAGAUGUAUGCUGAUUUAGUCCAAGCUCCUAAAAACAUUGUGGGCAAAAAUCUUACUCACAGCAUGCUACCUUGUCAACCUAAGCCCUUCUAUUGGAAUUAAUUUCAAAACACCUUUUGAAUGUGGUCACGGAAACCUGCUGACUAUGGAAUCCUUAAAGCCUUUGGCUGCCCAACCUAUGUUCAUGUCAGUCAAGGUAAGCUAGCAGCUAAAGCCUUGAAAAGUGUUUUCAUAGGCUAUCCAGAAGGAGUCAAAUGGUUUAAAGUUUUGUGCACUGAGCUUAAUCCACCAAAAUGUAUAGUGAGUAGGGAUGUGGUGUUUAAUGUGGGGAGUUUGAUGAAGGUGAAUCAUGAACCUGAUCUGGAAACUGAAAAUUCAAGACUAAUAGAGAAACUAGAGUUUGAGGUGGAGCCAUCUACUUCCAGAAACACAACUGAAGCUGCAGAUUCAGGUGGUGUUCCUGAAAACACUGAUGACACACAGGCACCUCAAGAUCAAUCAAGUUCUCAGGAGCAAAUCAGAGAAUACCAGCUCACCAGAGAUAGACAAAAAAGGCAGAUCAAACCAACAAGGAGAUAUGGCUAUGCAGAUUUAAUAGGUUUUGCUCUAACAGUUGCAAAAGAUAUAGAUGGUGAGGAACCAAAGAAUUUUAAGGAAGCAACCCAGAGCCUGUUCAAAGAAGAAUGGCAAAGAGCUAUAGAUGAUGAAAUGGCCUCCCUCUAUAAAAACAACACAUGGGAGCUGGUCAAGAAGCCUAGAAAUAGAAGAGUGGUUGGCUGCAAAUGGAUUUUCAAAAUUAAGGAGGGCAUAAAUGGAUCUGAACCAAGGAGAUUCAAGGCUAGACUUGUGGCCAAGGGUUAUAAACAAAAGGAAGGGAUAGAUUUUAAAGAAGUAUUUUCUCUAGUGGUUAGACAUGCCUCAAUUAGAGUUAUGUUAGCCAUAACAGCUGUGCAAGACAUGGAGCUUGAUCAACUCAAUGUCAAGACAACAUUUCUGCAUGGAAGACUUGAGGAAGAAAUACCGAUGUCCCAACCUGAAGGGUAUGAGUUCCCAGGUAAAGAAGACCAUGUGUGUCAACUAAAGAAGUCACUCUAUGGGCUUAAACAGUCUCCCAGACAGUGGUACCUAAGAUUUGAUAAAUUCAUGCAACUGCAUGAGUUCAUCAAAUGUAGCUAUGACUGCUGUGUUUACUACAAGACAAUCAAGGAUGGUCUGUACAUAUACCUCCUUCUAUAUGUAGAUGACAUGUUGGUUGCUUGCAAAGAUAAAGAGGAAAUUGAUAAGCUCAAGGUGCUGCUGAAUUCAGAAUUUGAAAUGAAGGACCUGGGGUAUGCAAUGAAGAUUCUAGGAAUGGAGAUCAGAAGGAAUAUAAGUAAAGGGAUCAUGUUUCUGUCACAAGAAAAAUACUUGAAAAAAGUGUUAGAAACAUUUGACAUGAGUAAGUCUAAACCUGUGCAACUACCAUUAGCUUCACAUUUCAGGUUAAGCAAUUUGCAGUAUCCUUAAACAGAAGCUCAAAAGCAAGAUAUGGCAAAUGUGCCCUAUGCAAAUGCAGUAGGCAGCCUUAUGUAUGCAAUGGUAUUGACCAGGCCAGACAUAACUCAUGAUGUCAGUGUAGUUAGUAGAUAUAUGGCACAACUUGGGGAAGACCAUUAGAAGGCUAUAAAAUAGAUACUCAUGCAUCUCAAAGGCACUGUAAAUUGUGGUCUGAUGUAUGGCAAGACAAAAGCAAAUGAUGAGGUUUUGGAAGGGUAUGUUGACUCAGAUUAUGCAGGGGAUUUGGAUAAAAGAACGUCUCUUACAGGUUACAUAUUGAUGUUAAAUGGUUGUACUGUAAAUUGGAAGGCAACUCUACAAAGUGUAGUGGCUCUUUCAACAACUGAAGCAGAGUAUACAGCUGCUACAGAAGUUGUAAAGGAAACACUUUGGCUCAAGGGGUUGGUGACAGAGUUGGGAUUAAAUAAGAAGUCAGUAUCAAUCUGCUGUGAAAAUGGUGAAGAUUCAUACUGAUGAGAAUUCUGCAGAUGCUGUUACUAAGGUGAUUCCUGUGGAUAAGUUCAGAGCUUGCCUGGACCUAGCUGGCUUGUGCAGUCAGUGAUAUGCAUAAGGUUUGGAGAAGGAUUUAGAGUGAGGGUAAACUUUGAUUCAAGUUGGAGAAUUGUGAGUUGAAUGAAUCAAGUUGGUUUGCAUAAACGAUCGCGUUUUGGAGCUGUAAAACCUUCAUUAGCUCACAUGCUGCUCAGCUGGUUCUUAACUAAAAACGAUUUAGUUGAAAUGACAUUGGUGGAGUGCGUUUUACAUAUCAGUUUAAGUAACCACGUGAGGAAGCAUGUGAUGAAGGUUAUUCUGAGUUCAUUAAAGGUUGUUAACCACGUGUCAACGAGCUGAACAAUCUGGAAAUCAAGCUAGUUGCCCAAACAGAGUAUAAAGGUUGGGUUUUGGGGAAAUUCAGGAACGAAUUUCAUGAGUCUUGCUGUGAGGGUUUUGUGAGACAGAAAGUAUUAACUUGUUCUCUGUAAAGUCUGGUGUAAGGCUCUAUAACAAUCUCCAUUGUUGAUUCAAUAAAGCUCAUCUUGAGGCUUCUCCCGUGGAAUGCUCAGCUGAACCACGUUAAAUCUUGGUUUCUGUGGGUUUCUUGUUUCUAGUUCUUGUUCUUUUUGUUAUUGAGUGAGUUUGUCUAAUUAGAUUUUGCGGUUGUGCAACUUGCAUUGACUAGAUCACUAGCAUCCUGGGCAGUGAUCAGUUUAGCUUGAUUUAGAGGCUUGCUGUUCACUGCACAUGCCUUUUGCCUUUGUGGAUGUUCAAGCUUGUGAUUCAUGUUUGUUAAUCUAUUAUGCUCUCUUGCAGGAUUUAUAAAGUUUUCGAUCAAUCAAGCAUUUGACUCAAGUUCUUAGCUCUUCACUGCUUGAAUGGGUCAGAUAGGACAAGCGCCGAUGAGGUGGUUUUAAUCAGACCCCUCCUAAUUAUGAUGUAUGGUCCGAAUCUUGGACUUUUUGUACAAAUGUAGCUAUUGAGGACAAUGAUGAGACAAAGGUGAUCAUUCAUUAAUGCGUAAUUACCGAAACCUCCAUCCUUCUCUCAUUGUAAUUUGAUUUGAAAUGAAUAAUUGCUAGGUAAUUGAAGUCAAUAUUGUUAAAAACCGUGUUGAGCUACCCAAGCAAAGAAGUUAGUCGCCAAAAAAUGCAGGGGAUCAAAAGAAGCAUUUCAUUUGAAAAGGCAUGAGAUUCUGUUUAAAUUUGUGCUACUACGGUGCGGUAAUGCUGCUACUGGGAAAUUUGAAAAGGCAUCAGAAGCUGUGGAUCUUGGGACAUCAGGAUUUUUCACAGUUCUCAAACUCUCAGGAUUAAACUCUAUUAAAGUUGUAGUUAUCUUGUUGUCAGAAUUCCCAUAUUAUUAUCUUUUUCAUGUAAAAUUAUCUUGUUGUCUUCACCCAUGAAUCUAAGCUAAAAUUUGAACCAAUUGUUUGCUAUUAUAAAUUUCAUUGUUAAAUGUUAAUUGUGAUGUUGGCGUUGAGUUUCUUUUAAAGUCAUAGAAGCCUGACGAUUGAGUUCCAUGGGAUUCUGAGAAGCAGUAAUAUUUUGAACAAGUGAAGGUUCUUCGUUUUUAAUUAUGUUCUGCACUUUUACAGUAUGUGCAGAUGUCUAAGAGGCAGGAUUUUAAUUUCUGUAAUGCUAAAUUUCGCAAAACAAUAAAAAAAUAAAUGCAUGACAGUGACUUCAAGAAUUUAGAUUAUUGAAUUUGGUCAUUUUAAAAUUGUUGGAAUGUUGAACUUACGUAAUUUUGAUAAACCAGAGCUCAGAAAUGUAGAAUAUAAAUAUUGGAUAUUUGGACUUCAAUCAUUAGAUUUGAAGCUAAAGAGGUAAGCCAUUAAUUACAUCCAAGGAUUUGGAAAAUGGAGGGAUUGGAAAAAGGAAACUUUUUCAUAAACUUCAAGCAUUGGGCAUUUUCAUUUGUCCGAUUCAAGAGGAACGUCAUAGAAAGGGGUAAAGAAAAGAGUAGCCUAAGAUAUUAAAGACAAUGUUGAGCCAAAGGAAACAUAAAUCCCAACCAUUGCAUGUGAACAUGAUCACAAUAAAUCCCAACCAUCCAAACCAUUUUUUUGAGAAUUUUCAAUUGAAAGUGAAACCUUUUGACAUUUACCUAAUAAAGUAAGUUAAACGAGAGAAAUAAAGGGGAAAAGAAAAGUUGACUCAAGUCAAUACAGAAUAAUUAGUUCAAUCUGGAGUAACUAAAACAGAGCCACUAUAUUUUCAACAGCUAAUGAGCUACACACGAAUCAUUUCCUUUUAGCAUUUUUGCAGCAUCAAUUUCUCUCCUCGUUUGUCAUCCAAAAUUAUUCACCAAUACCAUGGCUGAUGCAAUCGUUUCCCUGGUCUUGGAGCAGCUGAUUAUCUUUGCUGCUGAAGAGUUGAAACAACAGGGGAAGCUGGUGAGUGUUGGAUGAGUGGAUAACAGCAUGCGUCAAAUCGCAAAUUGAUCAAUGCUCUUGGUGCUCCUUAUCUGAAGAAGAAGGUGCAAAUUGAGAGCUGAAUUGCACUGUCAUAACAUUUAUUGUAAUUUCAUUUGGAGAUAUGUAAUAUCUGUUGUCCAGAUAUAUUUCAUACACCAGCUGCUAAUAAUUCUGCUUGCAGAGAACUUGCAAAGUGAUUCUGGGAUAUGUAAUAUCUGUUGUAAUAUCUGGAGAUAUGUAAUAUCUGUUGUCCUAGAAAUAUAGAUGUGUGGUUCGCAAAAUUUUCUUGAUCUUAAGAAAGAGUUAUCUUGAAUAGAAGAUAACAUGGAGAAUUCAGCAACUAUACAGUCAUAUUGAUGUCUGUCAACUUGGGUCAGAUGGUGUCGUUUGGAUGGAGAUGUUAGGUCCCAGAUGGUAUGCUUGUUAUCAAUUCCAGUCUAAUUCAUUCAUGCUUUGAUGACAUAUGCGGUGCAGCUUCUUAUCUAAGACCUGUAUAUGUUCAGUCAUCAUUCAGUUCUGUAUUUGGCUGCCAUUCUUUCAAUGAAUUCAAACCACUUUCUGAAUACUUGCAAAUUCAUCCAGUGUUGUCAUUGAGAUGCCAAUAUGUAAAGGAGCAAUAGUUGCCCUUGAUAGUAUGCUUAUUGAUUGCCUCUUGCCUCACUCAGCCUAAGGAAUCUGGUUGUAUGGUGUUCUUGUAAUUUCAUUUGGAGAUAAGUAAUAUCUGUUGUUCAAAUGUAUUUUAUAUACAAGCAGUUAAUAAUUCUGCUUGCAGAAAGCUUACAAAGGAGCUGUGUGAUGUAAUAGAAGACUACAGUCUGGUCAAUUUUUCAACCUUAGAUAUUCAGGUCAUCGGUUUCUCUUGAAUUCUUUCUUGAGUUUCUUUGAAUUAUUUGUGAAUAAGAUCUUAGUUGGCUGCUCCUCUUCAGGAUAAGGAAAGUGUGGCAAAACUCGUGAAGCUGAUAGAUAAAAGCAAUGGGUACAUCUUUGCUGGCAUGGAUGCCAGUGCAGUUGAAUUCAGCAAGAUUGCCGUUCGCGAUGUGGAUUGGGAUUAUUACAGAUAUCCUUCUUUUCACCUACUUUCAAUCUUGUGAUUCUCAUAUUCAUAAAACUUUUAUGGUUCAUUGUAUGCAUCUGCAUCUUCUAAUUUGUACGUUUGAGAAACUAAUUUUGCUGUUAGGUAGGUGUCAAAUUUGAUUCAUGCGUUUUUUAUAAAUUUACCAAAAUCAUGGAAACUUCUUCUUCCCAGAUAUUGUAUCCACACUUUUCCCAUGUAAUUCAGUCAGACAAGUUUUGCUUAACAAAGAUAUCUACAGUAGCUGAAGUGCAGGAAAAGUACAUUGAGGAUGAUGACGAUGUUAACUAAAAUGGGACACGAAGAUAUAUGGUGCGCAAACCGUAAGCAUGCCUCUUACUUUUGUGCAUGUUUACUUGCUUGUGAUUCAUGUUUGUUAAUCUAUUAUGCUCUUUUGUUGGAUUUAUAAAGUUUUCAAUCAAUCAAACAUUUGACUGGUUCAGACAGGACAAGCGCGGAAGAGGUGGUUUUAAUCAAACCACUACUAAUUAUGAUGUAUCUCGGACCUUUGUACAAUAUCAAGCGAUUUUUUUAGUUGAAUCAGCUAGUGUACACAAAUGUCGUUUAUUGAUUUUUCUCUAGUAUAGUUCGUAAUUUUGGUAACACAUCUACUCUAGUAUCGAUUGUAAUUACAAGAAACAAAGUAAUGAAAUUUAUCACUGCAUUCAUAGUUAUGCUUAAGCUCAAAGACCACUGUCAAGAUCAUUUUGGGGCCUCUAUUUGUUCUAUAACAUGAUGUUGACACAUGUCAAAUUAUGAAGCUUGUGAUUAAAAUACUUUUCACAUAUAUAUUUUAAGUACCACUAAUAAUUAAAUAUAUGAAUAAAUAUGGUCAAUGAGGAGGGGAUAAAAUAAAAUGGUUUUAUUUUUUGAAUUACUCAACUGCUUCAAACUUCUAAGAAGUAGAUUUACGAUGAGCGGAAUCUUAAAUUGAGUACGAGCUAGGGAUAACUUAUAAAAUUGGGAUACAAGCUUCAAAGAAAGUGUAUUACUAUUCAUAUGUAGAUUUCGAAUUAAGAAGAUAUGCCAACUAAUUGUAUAAAAAUGUAAAAAUUGAUCACUGACAUAAUCCCAAAUGAUAAAAUGAGCUACCUCGAUCAAAAGGUCAAGAACCUACCUUCUCUUAGGGAUAAGUGAAAGCUUCCCAAUUGAAGGAAAGUGAAGAGAAGAUUCUAUGCUCUCAUUAUUAUUAUUAUUUGUUAGAAUGAAGUGCGAAGUGAGCACAUCAUGCAAGCUCAGCAGAAGUGAUAAGGUGACUUGUAACUCAGCUGGCACUCAAGAGACAAAGUGUAGUGGAGAAAAGUUUCCCAAUUGAAGGAAAGUGAAGGGAAGAUUCUAUGCUCUAAUAAUUAUUAGUUGACAAUGAAUUGGCAAAUAAAAACAAAAUAGCAAGCCUGUAAAGUAAUGAAGUGGAGACAAUGACCAUGUGAUUGAUUGGUAAAUAAAAACAAAAGAGCAAGCCUGUAAAGUAAUGUAAACUAUAGUGUAUAUUCAAGUUAAAGUAAUGGAAACAGUGUAUAUUCACAAAAAAUUCUUUUAUCUCUCAUUGUCUUGUUCUUUUCUUUAUUUACGUUGUCCAGAAGUAAAGCCAUACAUGUGAUGAAGCAUAAAUAAGAAAGCUAUCGCCCGAAAUUCAUUUUCACAAACACUUCAAUAUCCUUUUGAUCACUUUUGCAAACAUCAAUUUGUCUCCUCUUGUAUUCACCAUGGUUGAUGCCAUCGUUUCCCCUCUCGUGGAGCAGCUGAUUUCCUUCGCUGCUGAAGAGAUAAAACAACAGGUGAUCGAAGUUACACCCCUCAUAUUACAAAUACUUACAAUGAUUUUAUUUGGUUUUGCUUUUAUCAAAAACAUUAUAAUUAUAAUUUUUGAAAUUUGAAUUGAAUUUAAUUAAAAGGUGAUAUAGUAACCACUCAUUUUUAUUUUAUUUCAUUUAUAUUCUCGAUAACUACCCAUAUUGUGGUAACUUGCUAUAACUCUCGUAUAUAAGAAAUGAUCAAAACCCAUAAUUUUAACUCUGUAUAAAUAUUCAAUGUUGAGCUAAGGUUUUGUAGAACAUUCAAGUUUAUCAAACAGUCAUUAAUUUAAUGCUUAGUAAAAUCUCAACUCUGCACUGAAUCCCAUAACUAUUACUUAGACUCUAUGAAAAAUUUCAUAGUUUUCUUACAUUCUUUGAGUUUGGUAAGUGAUUUCAUAUAAUUUAUUUUCAAGUUAAAUUUUAAUUUGGUUUCUGAUAUAGUCUCUUUGCCGAAUUGUCUCUUUUAUGAUUCUUGGAUUUUGGGCUUCAACUUUUUAGGAUUUGAUAGUCACAUUUUAUGCCGUGCUCAGAUUGAUUUUCAUGAUUAUUAGUAGCCGUUAAGUGACUUACAAUUUGACGAAAGUUUGAAAGGAAAAAUGUUUCAGGAUUAUGUUUUAAUUGACCUUUUAGUGGAAAUAGGAUGCUUAUAACUUAAUGUGGAUGGUUCGUAAAAUCAUGAAAUUUGGAUAGGAUUCACUAGAAAUAUGUUCAAGACUCUCCAUAAAGUUUCAUAAUUUUUCAUUGGGUCUGGGCUGUUACAGGUGAUGCUUGUGACUGGUGUCGAGAAGGAAGUGAAAAGCCUUACGAACCACCUUCAUGCCAUUCAAGCUGUGCUCGAUGAUGCAGAGGAAAAGAAAGUGAAGAACAAAGCUGUUAGUCUUUGGCUGGGUAGGCUCAAGUAUGCAUCCUACGACAUUGAAGAUGUGUUGGAUGCGUGGAUCACAACAAGACGUAAAUUGCAAAUUGAGGGUGGCGUUGAUGACAAUGCUCUUGCUGCUCCUCAAAAGAAAAAGAAGGUGUGUUUCUGCUUUCCUGCCUCUUGUUUUGGAUUCAAACAAGAAGAAUUUGGUUUCAAACAAGUCUUUCUACGUUAUGACAUUGCCAACAAGAUCAAAGAAAUGAAUGAAGAGCUACAUGAUAUUGCCACUCAAAAAGACAUGUUUAAUCUUAAAAGUGGUGAAAGACCAAGGCGUGUACAGAGUACCUCCUUGAUUGAUGAGGAAGAGAUUUGUGGUAGAGUUGGUGAGAAGAAUGAACUCAUAAGCAAGCUGUUGCGUGAGAGUAGCGAGCAACAAAAAGGCCUCCAUAUCAUCUCAAUUGUUGGUAUGGGAGGCAUAGGGAAAACUACUCUUGCACAACUAGCUUGUAAUCAUGACGAGGUGAAGAGAAAGUUUGACAAAAUUCUGUGGGUGUGUGUAUCAGAAACUUUUGAGGAGUUUAGGGUAGCCAAAGCGAUCGUUGAAGCUUUGGAUAGUCGUGAAUCUCAUUUAGGUGAAUUUCAAUCUCUUCUUAAAUAUAUUUAUGAAUCAAUUGCAGGGAAGAGCUUUCUUCUUGUCUUAGAUGACGUGUGGGAUGGAAAUUACUUGAAAUGGGAACCAUUCUACCGUUGUCUAAAGAAUGGUCUCCAUGGAAGUAAAAUUUUAGUUACCACACGUAAAGGGUCAGUCGCAUCCAUGAUGGGAUCCAUAACUAUUAUCUCCGUUAAGGAGUUAGCUGAAGAGGAAUGUUGGUUGUUGUUUAAAAAGAUAGCAUUUUUUGAUCGGUCCAUCGAGGAACGUGAAAAAUUAGAACAAAUUGGGCAAAGAAUUGCAGGCAAGUGCAAAGGUUUACCUCUUGCAGCAAAGACAAUAGGGCAUCUCAUGCGUUCUAAACAAACUGAAGAAGAGUGGAAAAGAAUUUUAAAUAGUGAUUUAUGGAAAGUAGAAAAGAUUGAGAAAGAUGUUUUGUCCUCUUUAUUGUUGAGUUAUAAUGAUUUGCCAUCUAGAGUAAAAAGAUGUUUUUCAUAUUGUGCUGUCUUUCCAAAAGAUUAUAAUAUAAGAAAAGACAAACUAAUCUCAGUAUGGGUGGCUCAAGGUUAUCUUAGUGCAGAAGCAGCAGAACAAAAUGAGGAGUUGGAGACUAUAGGUGAAGAGUAUUUUAGCAUCUUAGCUUCUCGCUCUUUCUUUCAAGAGUUUAAGAAAAGUUAUGAUAAUUGGAUUAUAGAGUGUAAGAUGCAUGAUAUGGUACAUGAUUUUGCCCGAUUUGUAAGUCAAAAUGAAUGUUUUUCCAUGGCAAUUAAUGGUAGUGAAGAAUCAAACGCCACAAACUCUCUUGAUGAGAAGGUCCGUCAUUUAAUGUUAAUCUUUAGUAAAGGGGCUUCAUUACCUGUUUCCACUCUUAGAGUUAAAAGAAUGCGUAGCCUCUUUAUUAACGAUAGUGAAUCUGAUCAUUCAUCAUUAAAUGGUGAGAUCCUAGAAGAAUUAUUUAGGGAAUUGACAAGUUUAAGGGCAUUAGAUUUUGGCAAAUCGUGUAACUCAAGUUGGUCUUCGACUCUGGAGUAGGGAUGGCAAAAAUCCCCACGGGGACGGGUACCCUCGGGGAUUUUCCCCAUUCGGGGAGGGUAUGGGGAUAAUUUCAUACCCAAUUUCUUAUUCGGGGAGGGGACGGGGAAAUUUUUUUACCCAAUUUCUUAUUCGGGGAGGGGACGGGGAUGAGGUGGAAUCCCCAUCCCCUACCCAUUUCCCCAUUUUAAUUUUUAAUUUAAUUUUAAUUUUUUAAAAUUACUAGUAAAUAAAUUAUAAAAUUUAAAUUAUAAAAUUAUAAAUAUUGGUAAAAAUAAAAAAUAUCAAAAUAUUUAUAUUAUUAAACUUUUAGGCCUAAUUAGCUAAUUAAAGUUCUAAAUUUUUAUUUAGGACAUUAAAAAGACUGAGUAGAUUCUAUUAGCCAAAUUUUUUUUUAAUUUUGAUAUUCUUUAAAUAUUUUAAACUUAAAUCUAUUUUUUAUUUAAUUUUAGAUGUUAUAAUUGCCCACAGCGAAUCACAAUUUUAAUAUCUAAUCUAAUCUAAUCUAAUAUUUACUUUUGAUUUGCUCCGAUUUAACUAUUGUGUUGUAAAGGGAAUAGUCCACAUUUAUAAAGUGCCCACGCCACCAUUGAAAAAGUUAAUUUUGAAUCUAAAUUUGAUUUUAUUUGUAACAAUUUUGUAUUAGACUAUUAAUUUGUUCAUGAUAGUUUGUAAAAUAAGUUUGUAUCUCUUGUAUGUUGCGUUACUUACUAAUUUAAUGUAUGUGACUUUUGUAAUAGAUAUUAAUGUAAGAUAUAUUUCGAACUUUACUUUUAUUUGAAUUUUUUAUUUUAAUAUGAUUAACUCAAAAUCGAAAAAAAAAUGUAUUAGUUAAUCGGGGAUCGGGGACCCUCGGGGAUCCCCUGUUAUUAUCUUCNNNNNNNNNNNNNNNNNNNNNNNNNNNNNNNNNNNNNNNNNNNNNNNNNNNNNNNNNNNNNNNNNNNNNNNNNNNNNNNNNNNNNNNNNNNNNNNNNNNNACCUUAUUUGUGUUUUCAGAAAAUAGUGAAACUACCGGAGACAUUAUGCGAGUUGUAUAAUCUAGGAAAGUUAGAUAUUAGUUGUUGUUAUAGUCUUAAAGAAUUACCUGAAGGGAUUGGGAAGUUAAUAAACAUGAAGCAUUUACUAAAUAGAGAUACUCAUUCUUUAAGGUACAUGCCAGUAGGGAUUGGGAGAUUAACGGGUCUUAGGACCUUGGAUGAGUUCCACGUGAGUGCAGGAGGAGGUGUUGAUGAUAGGAAAGCAUGUAGGCUUGAAUCUCUAAAAAAAUUGGAACACCUUCAAGUAUGUGGUAUACGUAGACUGGGUGAUGUAUCAGAUGUGGGCGAGGCUAAGCGAUUAGAACUUGACAAAAAGAAAUACCUCUUCAGUUUGACCCUUGAGUUUGAUAAGAAGGAAAGAGGAAGAGAAAGGAGGAAGAACGAGGACGAUCAACUUCUUCUUGAAGCCCUGCGACCACCCCUGGAUUUUAAGGAAUUAGAGAUACGGUUCUACCGAGGCAACACUGUUUUCCCCAGCUGGAUGACGUCAUUAACCAACUUAAAGAGUUUAGAUCUCUGUAACUGCGAAAAUUGCGAGCAGCUGCCUCCUUUGGGAAAAUUGCCGUCCCUUGAAAAACUCAGCAUAAUGUUUAUGCCUGUGAAAAGAGUGGGUGAUGAAUUUUUGGGGAUAGAAAGUGGUCAUCGUGACUCAUCUUCAUCUUCAUCGGUUAUUAUUGCCUUCCCCAAAUUGAAAUCACUUUCAAUUGAGUCUCUGGACGAAUUGGAGGAGUGGGAUUAUGGGAUUACAGGAACGGGAAACACCUUCAUCAACAUCAUGCCACGUCUUUCUUCUUUGGAAAUUAAUUACUGCCCCAAAUUAAAGGCACUGCCCGACCACAUUCAUCAAACGACAACAUUGAAGGAAUUGCGCAUUUGGGGGUGUGACCUUCUGGAAGAACGUUACCGCAAGGGAGAAGGAGAAGACUGGCCUAAGAUAUCACACAUUCCCAACCUCCAUAUUGGGCUUUGACAAGUAAUUUCUUCUCUUACUCUGAUUUGCUUUGUUGUUGUUUUUAAUCUAAUUAAGAAGCGUAAAUAGCAUUUUGAAUCAAACUCUAUAUCAGAAAUCUGCAAUACUUACUUUCUAAUAUUCUGAUUUUCAUAUCCUAUGAAUAUACGAUUUUUAAUUUGUGAGAUGGGUAACGUUACUGUAAAAGAUUAUUAAUGCAAUAUGAGUAAUUCUUUUGCAGGACAAGUGACCUACAUUUAGUUUGGCUUUGGAGUUGAAUAAUAACCUUUCGGGAACUGGUGUGGACUGGCAAAGGAUGAUGAGAUAGUUUUUUGAGUGAGUAAAUUUUGGGAGCUUGAGUGUAUUGGGAUUUGCAAUUACAAUCAUCCUCUGCUUCAGGUGAUUUCUUCUCUUGCUCUGUCAUUGUUUGUUCUCUAAUUCAAAAGCAUGAAAUAUUUCAAUCAAUUUUUAUACCAGGAAUAUGCAAAAGUUUCUAAUAUUUUAUUUCCAUCUGUUACAAGAUCAAACUGAAGCAGAACUCAAACAAAAGUAUGCUACUUCUUGCGGAAAUCUUGCCUUUGUUCAGAUUAUGAAACCAUUUCCAUGCAGCAAAUUCAUCCAAAAGUUUGAAUAAGUUUCAUGGUCGGACACUGUUGGCUUCUUUUUCUUCUGGGGUGCAUUUAGGUGCUAUCAAGUGACAGCUGUAAGUAUGAUUGCACUAAGCUGCUGCUGGGAAAUUUGAGGUUUUGAUGGCUGCCCAUGUUAUUUUCAAGAAACUAUUGAUGUAAGAAGCCGUGGUUCUUUUCAUCAGCUUGAACCUGAAACUGUCGCUAUGGAUAACUCAGGUUUUUGUUAUCAACUAUAUCAUCUUUUUCACUAUUUUGAAACUCUUAAGAUUAAACGUUAGUAAAGUUGUUUCAGCUAUUCAAAUGAAAAACUCAUUGAUUUGAGACUUCCUUCAUUAUUGUUUCUAAUUACAAUGCUAACGAUCCAGAUAAAAUAAUAUUUAAUCGGCGAAGGUGUCCCUUGGAAGUACAUCCUUCUUUUUCUUUUAUUAUAUAAAUUCUUGCAAUGAGCUUAGUGAAGCUGUUGUGCUAUCAUGCCACUGCAUAAUUUGGCCCCUAAUGUGGGUACUCUGUUUCAUUGUUCUGCAAAUUCUCCAGCAGUUAAAAUCAAUAAAUUUUCUAUUAGCUCUAGUGCUUUGACCUAAAUGCUAUUCUAUAUUCUGAUUACAAUGUUUUAACCUUUAAAUUAACUACUCCUAGAUGUUGGAUUUUCUAGAACUUCAAAAUGAUUAAUGGAGAAAGAUCCCAUUAUCGUUAUUGCUAUAAGAAAUUGAUUUAUGCAUCCAAAGAUACAUUAUAUAUUUCUGUGUCUCUAUUUAUAGAUGACAUUUAAGCAUCCAUAAACCGUCAGACAGAGGAAGGGGGUUCAGUGCAAAGAUUCUGUUGACCUAGGGUUGACUGCAUAAUGUCACUUGUUCGCAAUCUAUUAUUUAUUUUAUAUUUUGAAGAAUUUAAUGGGUAAUCCUAAUUGUUUGUUUUGGCAGGUAUGUGUUGUUAUCUCCUUCUAUCUUACAGUCAUACCUAAAUAGCAUAGUUUCAUCUGUGUUACCAUGUGAUGUACAUAAUUUCACAUUUGCCUCAGAUUAAGCUUAAUUUCCCACAAAAUAGAGCUGUCGCGACUGGACUUAGGUUGAUGUCCAAAGAGGUAAAUUAUUGGCAUGCCUAGAUAAUUUGGCCAUUUCCUAAUUCAUAAGUCUACGUUAAUUUUGAUUUUGAGUUGACUGAUUUCUUUUCAAGGUCUGCUUCCUUAACGGAGUGACCAAUGUUUUUCAACUAAAUUUAUCAUAUGAUGCAGGAAGCAGGGCAGGAUAUGAAAUGAGAAGCUCAUUGGUGGAAGUAUUGCCAGUAGCAGAACCCAAUGAAAAUGAAACUAUUUCAAGGCAGCAGUUGGCAGUUGCAAGUGAAUGGAGGCCCUUGACAAAAUUCUCAAGCGGUUGCAAUGCAAUUACGAUCAUCCUCAGCCUCAGGUAAUUUCUUCUCCUGCUUUGUAUUUAUUUGUUAUCUAAUUAGGAAGCGUAAAGUAUCUUGAAUCAUUUUCUGUAUCUGGAAUAUAUGCAAGAGUUUCUAAAAUUUUGAUAUGAGUGUAAUGAUGGUAAUUUCUGUUUUCUGUCUGUCAUCAAAUGUUAGAAAACUUUCAUUGAGACCCUUGAACCGAGUCAUUUUUGACAAGUGAAGGACAAUUGCUGAAGAGUGGGAAUGGUGCUAGAUUGGGGAAUAAAGACAAAGGAGGUAAAUUAUUUGCAGUUUAUUCAGCAUUAUUUGCUUUGGACCAGCGCCUGAUUCACAAGUCUCCAUAAUUUGGCUUUUGACCAGUUAAUAAAUUUUUAAUUCCAUUGGUGCUAAAUGUACACGUGAAGCAGGCAGAGCAGGACUGUGGAAAUGAGAAGGUUUUUAGUGAAAGCUUAAACUCAGGUAAUUCUAAAAAGUACAUGUUUUUGCUGAUUUAUCUAAAUCAGGAAAUUUUAUUUCCAUCUGUUACAAGAUAAAACAGAAACAGUCAAACAGAACACACAGAAAAAUAUUCUACUUCUUGUGGCAAUCUUGCCUUCAUUCAGACAAUGAAACCAUUUCCUUUCACCAAUUUCUUCCAAAAGUUUGAAUAAGUUUCAUGGUUGGACAUAGUUAGCUUCUUUUUCUUUUGGUGCAUUUAGGUCCUAUCAAGUGACAGCCAUAAGUAUGAUUGCAUUAUUGGAAAAUUUUAGGUUUGGAUGGUUCCCCAUGUUAUUGCCAAGAAAGUCCUCAUGUCAGAAGCUGCGGUUCUUUUCAUCAGCCUGAACCCGAACCUGUCGUUAUGGAUAACUCAGGUUUUUGUCGUCAACUAUAUCAUCUUUUUUACUGUUUUGAAACUCUUAAGAUUAAACUUCAGUAAAGUUGUUUCAGUUAUCCAUGUAAUCCGGCUAAGGAUAUUUAGCAGCUUAUUUAGGCAACUGCCAGAAUUCAGUUUGUUUGCUCGAAACUUGUAUGGUGACAAGGAUACUGGCAAGGAUAGUGAGAUAGUUUUUUGUGUGAGUGAAAUUUGAAAGCUUGGGUGUUCUGGGAUUUGCAAUUGCAAUCAUCCUCUGAGUCAGGUGAUUUCUUCUCCUGCUCUGUCUUGAUUUUCUCUCUAAUUGAAAGCAUAAAGUAUUUCAAUCAAAUUCUGUACCAGGAAUACGUAAAAGUUACUAAUAUUUUAUUUCCAUCUGUUUGCAUUGAUAACUCGGCCGCAUAUGUUCUAGUUAAAGAACAAACAGAAACAGAGUUCAGGAAAAAGUUUCUUCGGCCACCAUAUUUGAAAAUGAAACCAUUUCCAGGAAGCAGUUGGCAGCAAAUUCAUAUGGAGUGUAGACAAUGAUGAGCGAAAAGGUGAUUCGCAAUUUCUUUUUUUUUUUUAAGUGAAAUUAUUUGUUAGAUUGAAGCUGAUAUUGUAAGAAGGCCAUUGAGCUAACCUAUGUCGCCACUUGCCUAGAUUGCAGGGGGUCAAGACUCAAAAGAAGCACUGAAAUUUAAAAAGCAUGCAAUAGUUCUUUUGCCAUGUGUCAAUUAAUGCAAGUUUGAAUAAGUUUAUUGGCUGAACGAUGUUAGCUUCUUUUCCUUUCGUGCACUUUGGUAUGCUAUCAAGUGACAGCCGUAUGUAUGGCUUGCAUAUAGCUGCUGCUGGGAAAAUUGACGAUUUCAUGGCUGGCCGUGUUAUUGUCUUAAAUUAGUUGUGAUAAGCUGUUGCUUGGAGAUUCUGUUGCCAAGACUUUGCUCACAUCAGAAGCUGUGGAAUCUGAACCCUUCGUUAUGUAUCAUCUUUUUCAUUGUUUUAAAACUCUCAGGAUUAAACUUGAGCGAAUUUGUUCGGUUGUCUAUAUAAUCAUGUAUUGAGUAAACUCUCAGGAAACUGAACAUGCAAAUGUUAUAACUCGGGUUGUUAGCCAAAAACUUGUUGAAUAGGGAUUUGGAUUUGUUAGGAAGUUAUCAUUUUUUAUUUUUUAUUUUGUUUUAUUUUUUUAUUUUUUUAUUUUUAUCUUCUGGUGGUGCUAUAUUUUCAAACGACAGUCCGAUUCAAAACUUGAUAUUCCAAUUAUAUUCAUAAGCUUCUAUAGUUAUCUUCAAAAAGACAAAUGGAAGGCUUUGAACGGCUUGGGUCUGAGUAUUGUAGUUUGAUUUAUUUUGAUGAAAGAACCUUUUGACAUUAAGAUUCUUUCAUGAGUUAAACAUUCUUUUUAAAACCAACUUAUUAAAAAAAAGUAACGAACAUAUAUUAUUUUGUUAGUGCUUUUUAAAUCAAAUAUAAAAAAGAGAACUGUAAUUCUUAGCAACCAAUUUUUCACUGAGUACAGCUACAACAAACUAUUAAAAAAUAAAGUGAUAGAAAAUGCCUGAUUUUUCGUACUUUCUAAUUACUUUUGGUCCUAAAAUAUGGCGAUUUGUGUAAUAAUAAGUCCAUGUAUAUCUUUAUGCCAUUAGUUUGAUAAAUAGCUAUCAAGGAUAACUUAUUAAGCUAAAAAUAUUUGAAGGAUAAAAUGAUAAAACUAAAAGGGUGGAGUAAUAUAGUUAUUUAGGAUUACAUAGUAAGUCAACUAUAUUCAAGGGAUAAAAUAUUAAAACUUGAAUAGUGAUAUUAAAAAUAUCUCGGUUAUUAUACUAUUAAAUCAUAUGCCGUAAUAGUAUUUUUUUUCAAACUUUAAAAAAUUCAGGAUUUUAAAUUAAAACAUGGAUUUCUUUAAGAUGCUAUAUAUGUUUUUUAUAGUAUUGAUAUUGGGAUUAGUGUGGACCCUUAGAUGAAAGAGUUUUAAUCUGAAUCAUUCAUUUAAUAUAAUAGAUAAUUAAAUAAUUAAUUAAAAUAUAGCAGGUAACUUAUAGGUUGUAGGUAAAAAAUUAAUUUUUUAAUUUUAAAUUAAAAUUAAUUUGGAAAAAUACCAUCCACACCCCUAAAGUUUACUUAAAUGAUCAUAUAAAUCCCUUUAGUUUCUACAUAGUUAUACAGAGCCUCUUAAUUUCAUAAAUUAUUAUUAUACUUUUAAUUAAAACAACCUAAAUGAAUAUAAAUAUAGUAAUAGGAUAGAAAUAAUAAAUAAAUAUCAGAUGAAACAAAUAAAAUAUUACAAUAAAUACAAUUAAUUAAAUAAUAUGUAUGAUGAAAAUUUUAUUCAUAUUAAGUUAUUAUUAGUCUAUCCCGAUGGAUUUACUCAAAUCAAUUAAUCCAAAAUUUAAUUUUAAGAUUGAUAUUAAUAUGGACAUAAUUAAAUAAGAUGUUGUAAUAUAUACUACUUUGAAUGUUAAGUAUAAUUAUCUAAUAUUAUUAGUAUGUGAAAUAGAUUUUAAUAUUAUUAAAAGAAUAUGACAAUAUAUAAUUUUGAAAUAAAUUUUUUAGUAUUCAUAAUAUUUUAUAAAUUUUAUCUUAUUUUAUAUAUUAUAUUUUUUUAUUUUAAUGUAUUAUAUAUGAUCAUUUAAGCAAAUUUUGGAGGUGCGGUGGUCUUUUCCCUAUUAAUUUUAUAGCAUAUUUAAAGUGUUAUAUCAUACAUCAUACAUCGCACUUUUGUUAAAGUGUUAUGUUAUUAAAAAUUAAACUUUGCAUUUAUAAUAUACUACCAUUUUAAUGUAAAGGUAAUAGAAAAUAUGAAGAUAUUUUUAAGUAGUCAAUUGUAGUUUUCUUUUACAAAAUAGCAGUAUAGAAAUACACACACACACACACACACAUAUCAAGUACUUGUAUGUUCCCCUAACUUUUAUUAAUAGGAAGGAAAUUAAAUUCAUAAUUUUCCCGGUGAAUUAUGAAUUGAUAAAUGAAAUAUAAAUAUUAGAAAAAAUUAAUUUGUCGACUAAAGAAGUAAACCAUAUUUUAUGGGCAUUUAAUACAUUAAUUUAAGGUCAAAUGAGAUAUAUCACAUGAUAUUUGAUAUAGUAGUCCAAUUUUCAACAUUUGCAUAUAGUUUCUAAGCUAGUAAUCUAAUAAAAUAUACCAAAUGAGAAAUUGAAGGCUAUUAUUUAUAUUUCACCAUUGGACAAACACCAUACAUUAGAAUAAAAAAAUCUCACAGUAGAGACGGCAUCUGUUUGCAUGUUUUGAAAAUAGAUUUUGAAAUUAGUUUAAUUACAUGAUAAUUAAAUUAUAUUAUAAAAUUAAGAAUAUGAUUUAAGUACUAUUUUAGCAAUUUUGAGUCUCACAUUGAGUAUUGAAGUUAAUUAAAUGUUGAAACUCUUUUCUAUUUGGCUUGAAAUCACUACUUAAUAAAAUUACAAAAAGUCAAUAAUGAAUGAUGUAGGACACAUAUGUAAAAUAAAUUUUAAAGUGUAAUUAAACAUUCCUAUCAAUAUUAGUUUUGUAUACAUAUUCAUAUAUUUUACUGAAACCAUAUAUAAUUAAAUUUUGUGUAAUUAAGUAAAAUAUAUUAUUCAAGUGAAUUUAUGAGAAUAUGUAAAAUUGUAGGGGUGGUCACUGAAAUUUGCCAAACUUGAGCCAACCGUGCAUGAUCCAAACAGUUUAUUUUAAUAAUUCUCAAUAUGUUAGUCUGUUUGACUGUUGGCAAAAUGAAUUCCUAUCAGCAAUGCAACACAAUUCAAAAUCAUAUCUGCAUACAACGAACAAUAUCUCAUCAAAGAUCAAAUUAUACAUUUUUUACACCAAAGCAUAAAUAUCUAAAUUGUCCCUCUUCAACUCACCAAGCUCAUACCUAACAACAGCAAGAUUAAAUGUCAUUUGAUCCAUCUUUUUUAUUAAGCUUUAUCAAUUCUUCUCAUGGUUGCAAUUUUGAAAGCUCGCUUCGCUAUUUCCAUUUGCUUUUAUGCUUUGUUUGAGCUCCAUCUACAUUUUACACUGUAAAAAAAAUUUAAAAAAAAUUACAAAGCUUCUUAUACUAGAAUAUGAGCAACAAUAUAAAUAAUAAACAAUAAAGUUAUGAUAGCACAGCAUACUCAUUAAAGUGCUUCUUUUUUUUUUUCAGCAAGAAAUUACUACUGAAUUAAAGAAUUGGCUUUGCAUUAAGGUUUGCCUUCAAUAACUCAACUCCCCACUUGGGUUUUGUCGUUUUCUUAAAAUCUCUGCUCAAUCAAUUUAAAGAUCCAUUUUUUUUUUCUUUCCAAAGAUCUAAAAGCAAUGUCUUUUAUUGGUACCCAACAAAAAUGCAAGGUCUGUGAGAAGACAGUUUGUCCAGUUGAACAGUUAUCUACUGAUGGGGUUGUUUAUCACAAGUCUUGCUUCAAGUGCUCUCACUGCAAAGGCACACUCAAGCUAAGCAAUUACUCAUCCCUGGAAGGUGCUCUUUACUGUAAGCCUCACUUUGAGCAGCUUUUGAAGGAGUCGAGUAACUUCAACAAGAAUUUCCAAUUACCUGCAAAGUCAGCUGAGAAGUUAACUCCUGAGCUGAGAAGGUCGCCUAGCAAAGUUGCCAGCAUGUUCUCUGGGCCCAAUAAAAAUGUGCUUCUUGCAGUAAAACAGUGUGUCCGUGGGAGAACGUAGCAGCGGAAAACCAAGCCUCUCACAAGACAUGUUUCAAGUGCUCACAUGGUGGUUAUUCCAUUAGCCCGUCAAAUUACGCAGCCCUAGAAGGCAUCUUGUAUUGCAAACAUAAUUUCUCCCAAUUGUUCAAGGAAAAAGGCAGCUACAACCACCUUAUAUAAAAUCUGCUUCCAUGAAGCGUGCUGCAGUCUCUGUUCAAGAAGCUUGAACAUGUUAUGUUAUCUUCCAUAAAUCUUAUUUGGCGUGGGUUUUCUCUGGCUUGAGGGUGUGCUUUCUAUUUUGAUCCCUCUUGUUGUUUUUGCGGGGAACUACCAAACCUUCGGUUCCCUCUGCUUCUUUGGAUCAUCUUUGUUGGGACAAAUUUCAUGUAAUUAGAGAUACUGAUUUAUGGGAGGCAUAAUCCCAUGGUCGUAAAUUGACCAUUUUCUGGCAAUGUUCUUUUUAAAAAGAGAUGAGCAGUUGUUUAACAAAAAAAAUAGCUGGCCUUCAUCAUGGUAUGUUACCAAACUGCUAUGUAUAGCUGCUAACUAUGAGCAUCCGAAAAUAUGGUGCAUCGUGAUUCAUGUAGUGCAAUAUGGCUACCAACGCAUCCUAAAUGGAGUAUUACUCAGUUAGUCAGCAAAAUAAGACAACAUAACUGAUAUUAAAAAAAUAAAAAAACUACAUUAAUAAGUGGGCAAGAUCAUGCCAGUUUAACUUUUCGCGCGUCGCUGCUGGAGAUAAUCAAAUCGGGGCAGAGAAAAGGAGAAUGGAAUCAGAGGCUAAGAUUAAUAAGUGGGCUUCUGCUUGCUUUGCCCCUCUUUCUUAAACGAUUGGUAGACUGCUGCUUCCACCGAUUAACCGGGUCUUCAACCACUGCUUUUACUGCCUGCCAUCUUGUUGUUUGUCGAAGGGAUGAAUUCGAGUCGAAAAGAGAAAGCGCGCUGAAAAAGAUAAAUCACUAGUGGUUAACUGCUUACUCAGCCAAGUGUUGGCUUCACUUGAUUCACCGAUUGAGGUUAUUUUGUCUUCUAUCUAAUGCAGCGAAGAAGCUUUGCUGCUUAACAUGCUGCAAUGCAACUUUAUCCUUUGAAGUUCACACUUCAGGGCUGCGCACUUUAUGUAAUCCUAUGAGUAAAAAGAAUUUGUUUUCAAAUGUGAAAAAAGAAAAUGUAAGGUAGUAACUAAAUAUUUUAUAGCAUCAAAGCAAUAUUUGAUAUGAAUUUAGUACAACAAAGAACAUCAAAUCUGUGAUUCCUUGUCUAGUGUCACCAUCGAGCAACAAAUUUAAAAGCCUACCUAUCAAAUACACGAGGCAAUAAACGGAGAAAAAGUUGAAUUACAAGAACAAGUUUACAAUUCUUGUCAAUGGUUAAUGAUUUGUGAACUGAGACAGCUUUCAAGAAUCCAAUUUCAAUACAACAACGUAAAAGAUAAACAGAUGAUGAAUUCUAUGAGAUAAAGAAGGAGAUCGUGUUUUAUCGUAUCUCUAUUUUCUUUCUUUUUAAAUUUAAAAUAAGCUUUUCAACCGGUUUGUUAACCGGUUAUAAUAUUUUUUAAAAUAAUUAAAUAUUUUCAUUAUUAAAAAUAAUGUGUACCGUUGAUUACAUCUAACGGUAUAUAUUUCUUACACUACUAAUAUCGUAAAAAAAAAAUACAGCAUCAUAGAGGGACCCUUAAAACAUUUUCAUUUGAAAUUAUUUGGUGAAGUGAAAAAGUUAAGAAAGAAAUAGUUGUCCCUUUGGUCAUUUCACAAAAAUGAAAGCCCCAUAUAACAUGGACUUGAAUGGAAGCCCAAUUGUUGUGUUUGAUUUCAAGCUUUAUCGGACCUUUGGACCUGGAUACUUUACUGCGGCCUCUAAGCGCUACAAAUUUUUUUUUUGGGAUAAAAGGCGCUUCAAUGAAAAAGCACUUUAAAACUUUGGAUUUUGCCAAAACUUCAAAGCGGUUGGUCCGGUUACGGUGUUAUGCUAACGGGUUUAAAGGUUCUGAUCCAAUGAGUUAGGGUGGAAUAUGAAUAUAUAAAUUCCAUAGCAUGUGAGGACUAGGAUUUGUUUGUUCAUAUCAAGAAAAAAGAUCUGAAAAUUUGAUGAUCAGAAGAUAAAAACACUUAAACACGUUUAUUACAGAGAAACAAACGACAACACGAUACUAGUAGUAGUUAUUCUUUUCAUCCGAUAUAUUACAUGGUAAUAUCACCACUCGUUCCACUGGUUUCAUAUACACCAUCGACCAGCAACAUGAUAAUUUUGUGUCAGUUCAUUUUGUUUGUAGGAAAGAGCAGUAUCUUUUUUAGAACUUGAAAAUAAUAAAAAGAUUUUAAAAUAUAAAUUGCAUAUUUGUUUAUUGCUGUUGUUUGGUCUAAUUUCUUACGUAGAAUUGCUUGUCAUUCUUUGUACGUUAUUGAUUAUAUUUUUGUCAGACUUGGCGUAUAUAUUCACAUAUGUUUUAUUUUGUCAUUUUGUAGAACAUUUUUACAUGCCAUAUUAUCACGACUCUUCUGUGUCUGAAUAAGAAGAAAGCAUAAUGCGACCCUCCAACAGCUUAAUCUAUGGAAUUAUCGUGUUUUGUAAGUUGAGGUCCAAUGGCGUUUUGGCACAUCAUAUGAUAGACCACUAUAUUGCGUUGCUUUACAAAAGAUUAAUAUUUUUAAAAUUAUUAGGUAAGUUUAGGCUCAGUGGCACUUUAACUCAUGAUAUGAUAGUCCAGGUUUUCAUCAGCCUGAACAUGGACCUGUCGCCAUGGAUAACUCAGGUUUUUUUUUUUUUAAUCAACUACGUCAUCUUUUCCACUGUUUUGAAACUCUUAAGAUUAAACUUUAGUAAAGUUAUUUUAGUUAUCCAUGUAAUCAAGCUGAGGAUACUUAGCUGCCUAUUUAGGCAAAUGUCAGAAUUUAGUUUGUUCGCUGGGAACUGGUGUGGUGACAGCGUCCUGGCAAAGGAUGAUGAGAUAGUUUUUUGAUUGAGUAAAUUUUGGGAGCUUGAGUGUAUUGGGAUUUGCAAUUACAAUCAUCCUCUGCCUCAGGUGAUUUCUUCUCCUGCCCUGUCGUUGUUUGUUCUCUAAUUCAAAAUUAUAAAAUUUUUCAAUCAAAUUUUAUGCCAGGAAUAUGCAAAAGUUUCUAAUAUUUUAUUUCCAUCUGUUUGCCUUGAUAACUUUGCGGCAUAUGUACUAGUUAAAUCCCUCAAAACGUAAACAAAACUCUGUUGGUAUUGAUUCCUAAGGUGGACCAUCCUACCAGUUUAACGAUGUUUCGGCCUAUAAGUUUAUGCACUGUCGCCUAUAAGACAGUGACUAAAAUUAUUGCCACUCGUUUACAAGAACUAUUACCUGAGCUGAUCGGGCCUCAUCAGACAAGUUUUGUUCCCGGACGACACAUUGUGGACAACAUUGUUAUUGCUCAGGAAGUGGUUCACUCCAUGCGCAGAAAAACUGGUAAAAGAGGGCUUAUGGCUAUUAAGGUGGAUCUCGAGAAGGCAUAUGAUCGGCUGAACUGGUCGUUUAUUUUUGAAACUCUUCAAUUGACAGGGCUCCCGAUUCAAUUAUCUCGGCUCAUCAUGGAAUGUGUUAAAUCAGCUAGCAUGAAUAUUUUGUGGAAUGGCGAGGUAACUGAGGAGUUUUUUCCGGGAAGAGGUAUUCGGCAGGGUGACCCUCUAUCUCCGUAUAUUUUUGUGCUCUGCAUCGAGCGUUUGAGCCAUGGAAUAUCCCAAGCUGUGGGGGAUGGAAGUUGGAAGCCAAUUCGGCUGGCUAAACAUGGCACUCCCCUUACCCACCUUUUUUUUGCUGAUGAUUUGCUUUUAUUUGCAGAAGCUUCGAUUGAUCAAGCUCAUAUCAUUGAUGCGGUUUUGGAGAAUUUUUGUCGAAGUUCUGAAGUAAAGGUUAACAAAGUGAAAACUACAAUUUUCUUUUCGAAGAACGUUGCUGCAAGAGAGGCCAAGCUCAUUGGUGCUGCCUUGGGGGUUUCGAUUACUCAUGAUCUGGGAAGCUAUCUUGGAAUGCCGUUACUUCAUUCGAGGGUGAAUAAAGCUACGUAUCAAUCUAUUUUAGACAAGGUAGACAUAAGGCUCAGUGGCUGGAACGCGGCUCAUUUAUCCUUUGCUGGUCGUGUUACUUUGGCGCAAUCGGUGAUUCAAGCUAUGCCAAUUUAUGCAAUGCAAACGACCAUGCUUCCUGCUUCGGUGCGCCAUAGAAUUGAUAAGAGCUGCCGUAGAUUUAUUUGGGAUGGGAAGUCGAAGAGUCCUAAGAUGUGCAUGGUGGGCUGGGAUAAAAUCUGCUUGCCGAAAUCAAGUGGUGGCUUGGGGUUUAAGAACUUAGAGGUGAUGAAUCAUGCCCUGUUGAUGAAGAUUAGUUGGGGCAUUAUCUCCAACUCAGAUAAGUUAUGGGUGCGGGUUCUCUGUUCCAAAUAUGGAUUGGACCCAUGCAAUUUGCCGUCUUCCCUCCCUGACAAACAAGGUUCGCGUAUCUGGUCUGCUAUAAGAAAAACGUGGAAUGCAACCAUGCAUGGAGCUCGCUGGGCAGUGUGUGAUAGUGCUCGAAUUCGUUUCUGGCUGGACUGUUGGGUGACGAAAUAUGAGCCUUUGAUUCACCUAGCUCUCCAACCGAUCCCUCAGGCCUCUCUCAAUGCUACGGUUAGCGAAUUUACUAAUGAUUAUGGUGGCUGGAGAUGGGCGAGCUUUGAAUUCCUACUGCCCCCUUCUGUUCUUAUGCAGAUUGCCUCGAUCAUGCCACCUGCGCCGCAUCUUGGUCCUGAUAGACUAUAUUGGAGUUAUAAUCCAAGAGGGUUGUUCACAGUCCGAACUGCUUAUGAGUCUCUUUGCUACCAUAACUUAGACACUCAAGAUAAAGUAUGGAAAUUGCCAUGGUCUUGGAAAGGGCCCCAAUCUAUAAAGCUCUUUAUUUGGCAGACUUUGCAUGGCAAAUUGAAGACCCACAGUGAGCUUAAUAGGCGUAAUAUCCCCGUUUCUGAAGUUUGUGUUAGGUGUGGGGUUUCGGCUGAGGGCAUUCUUCAUGCUGUGAGAGAUUGUAGUUGCAUUAAGAAUCUAUGGCUUAGUCUUGUUCCAACCUGUCAUCAACUUGCUUUCUUCCAAUCCAACUUACGUGCAUGGGUUGCUGCCAACAUGCAAAAUACGUGGAAAAUUGAUUCGGAGCUUCCUUGGGAUUGUAUUUUUGGAGUGGCUAUUUGGAGAUUAUGGUUUUGGCGUAAUCAAUUUAUUAUGGCUGGGAAUUUGGUAGAUAGCAAGACAAUAUAUUCGGAUAUUAUGGCCAGAGCUAGUGAGAUCCAUAGAAUUAAUAACUCACAUCUCAGCCCACAACCAAGGCGUAAGGAGAUUUUUAUUGGUUGGUUGCCUCCUCCAUGGCCAUGGUGUAAGUUGAACACAGAUGGUUUCUGUAAACAUACAGGAGCAACUGCAGCGGGUGGGGUUAUUCGCGACUCCGUUGGUAACUGGGUCUCAGGCUUUAGUAUGAAUAUUGGGGAAAGCUCAGUGAUUAUGGCUGAACUUUGGGGCCUGUAUCAAGGAUUGUCCCUCGCCUGGAAUGUUGGAAUUAGACAUCUUUUGGUGGAAGUAGACAGCCUCUGUGUAACUCAGAUGAUUUCUCAACAGAUGGUUGUGCCUAAUGUCUCCUACGCUUUAGUGGUGGCAAUUCGUGAUUUUUUAAACAGAAAUUGGCAGAUUAAUAUCUCGCAUAUCUACCGUGAAGCGAACUCAGCUGCGGAUUUCAUGGCAAAUAUGGCCCAUUUAAUACCGCAUGGUCUACAGUUAUUCUCUAACCCGCCUGUGGGUAUUUAUUCUAUUCUUUCACAAGACAUGUAUGGGGUUUGUCAACCCCGCAUUAUUCCUAUCUAGCUCGCCUUGAUGAGCCCCUUUUAAUAAAAAAAAAAAGAAGAACAAAUCGAAACAGAGCUCAGUUAAAAGUUUCUUCUGCCGUCAUAUUUGAAAAAUGAAACCAUUUCCAGGAAGCAAUGGGCAGCAAAUUCAUAUAAAGCGUAGACAAUGAUGAGUAAAAAGGUAAUUCACAAUUUCACUUUUUUUUUAAUGAAAUUAAUUGUUUGGUUGGAGAGGAUAUUGUUAGAAGGCCAUUGAGCUAACCUAUGUCACUACUUGCCUAGAUUGCAGGGGGUCAAAACUCAAAAGAGGCAUUGAUUUUAAAAGGCAUCCAAUAAUUCUUGUGGCCAUAUAUCAAUUCAUGUAAGUUUGAUUGUAAUUAUUGGUGAAGGGGUUUCACUUCCCGUCUCUAAAUAAAAAUACUGAUUCUUUAAGGUACAUGCCACUAGGGAUUGCGAGAUUAACGAGUCUUUGGACAUUGGAAGAGCUCCUUGUGAGUGGAGGAGGAGGUGUUGAUGGUAGCAAAGCAUGUGGGCAGUGGGCUUGAAUCUCUUAAAAACUCGGAACUCCUCCAAGCGUAAGUAUACGUAUACUGGGAAAUGUGUUAGAUGUGGAUGAGGCUAAGAGAUUAGAGCUUGACAAAAUGAAAUACCUCUUUCAUUGAGACUUAAAUUUGAUGGGGAAGAAGAAAAAGAAGAGGGAAGGAGGAAGAAUGAGGAUAAUCAACUUGUUCUUGAAGCCUUGCAACCACCUCUGAAUUUGAAGGAAUUAGAGAUUUGGUCAUACAGAGGCAACAUUUGUUUUCAAAUGUGAAAAAAGAAAAUGUAAGGUAGUAAUUAAAUAUAUUAUAGCAUCAAAGCAAGAUUUGAUAUGAAUUUAAUACAACAAAGAACAUCAAAUCUGUGAUUCCUUGUCUAAUGUCACCAUCGAGCAACAAAUUUAAAAGCCUACCUAUCAAAUACACGAGGCAAUAAACGGAGAAAAAGUUGAAUUACAAGAACAAGUUUACAAUUCUUGUCAAUGGUUAAUGAUUCGUGAACUCGGACAGCAUUCAAGAGUCUAAUUUCAAUACAACAACGUAAAAGAUAAACAGAUGAUGAAUUUUAUGAGAUAAAGAAGGAGAUCGUGUUUUAUCGUAUCUCUAUUUUCUUUCUUUUUAAAUUUAAAAUAAGCUUUUCAACCGGUUUGUUAACCGGUUAUAAUAUUUUUUAAAAUAAUUAAAUAUUUUCAUUAUUAAAAAUAAUGUGUACCGUUGAUUACAUCUAACGGUAUAUAUUUCUUACACUACUAAUACCGUAAAAAAAAAAUACGGCAUCAUAGAGGGACCUUAAAACAUUUUCAUUUGAAAUUAUUUGGUGAAGUGAAAAAGUUAAGAAAGAAAUAGUUGUCCCUUUGGUCAUUUCACGAAAAUGAAAGCCCCAUAUAACAUGGACUUGAAUGGAAGCCCAAUUGUUGUGUUUGAUUUCAAGCUUUAUCGGACCUUUGGACCUGGAUACUUUACUGCGGCCUCUAAGCGCUAUAAAUUUUUUUUUGGGAUAAAAGGCGCUUCAAUGAAAAAGCACUUUAAAACUUUGGAUUUUGCCAAAACUUCAAAGCGGUUGGUCCAGUUACGGUGUUAUGCUAACGGUUUUAAAGGUUCGGAUCCAAUGAGUUAGGGUGGAAUAUGAAUAUAUAAAUUCCAUAGCAUGUAAGGACUAGGAUUUGUUUGUUCAUAUCAAGAAAAAAGAUCUGAAAAUUUGAUGAUCAGAAGAUAAAAACACUUAAACACGUUUAUUACUGAGAAACAAACGACAACACGAUACUAGUAGUAGUUAUUCUUUUCAUCCGAUAUAUUACAUGGUAAUAUCACUACUCGUUCCACUGGUUUCAUAUACACCAUCGACCAGCAACAUGAUAAUUUUGUGUCAGUUCAUUUUGUUUGUAGGAAAGAGCAGUGUAUUUCUUAGAGCUUGAAAAUAAUAAAAAGAUUUUAAAAUAUAAAUUGCAUAUUUGUUUAUUACUGUUGUUUGGUCUAAUUUCUUAUGUAGAAUUUUCAGAAUCUGUAGGACGUUAAUUUAUAACUUUGGUAAUUUAAUUAUUUUCUUUUUAUUAAUGUCCGGACAAAAAAUUAUUAUAAAAGGGUAAUAUUGUAAAAGUAAGCCAAAAUAAAUAACAAAUAACGAUAAGAGUAUCAAUAUUUUAAUAGCAGGGAUAUUUCGAGAUAUUUUUAAAAAUACAGAGACUAACUGGACAUUAAUCUUAAAAUAUAAGGACUAAAUGAGCUUUUACCCUUUUUAUAAUCCACACCAUCCUGAUAUAAUUAAACACCAUUAAUAAUGUACCAGCCUUUUAAUAGUAAUUAAUUUAUUUAGUUGGCCACCUAAAAGAAUCCUGCAGGAAAUACUAGUUAAAAAAUUUAUUAAAUUUGAUUACCUCUGUAUCAUUAUAUAUAUAAAGACUGAAAUCCAAAUGAAAUAUUUUAUCAUUCAUUCAGCAAACACUUAUAAAACACAAAUAGUGAAUCUAUGCAUUGACAAUGUGGAUUAAGAAUUAUAACACAUGAAUUCAAACAUACCCUCGUGAAGUUAAGAAUAAGUUCAUACUUCAAAUGAUUUUUUUAGCUAAUAAAGCAAUCACUUUCAUUAAACGACAGUGUUGAAGGAAUUGUGCAAUUUUUUACGUUCUUUUCUAGACAGACGUUACAGAGAUGGGGAAAGUAGAGGACUGGCCUCAGAUAUCUCACAAUUAUUAUUCUUUUUCAUUGUUAUAAUAAUAAUUUUUUUCUUUUGACAGUUCUGCAGGACAAGUGAUCAGAGCUCAAUGAAUAUAUCCGUGGAGGGUGAACUUAGGUUGAUGUCAAAAGAGGUAAAUGAAUUGGCCUGUUUAUAUAUAUAUAUAUAUAUAUAUAUAUAUAUAUAUAUAUAUAUAUAUAUAUAUAUAUAUAUAUAUAUAUAUAUAUAUCAUAUAUAUAUAUAUAGAGAGAAAUGUUCCAGUCAGGAAUUUUAAAGUGCAGGAAAGUACGGGAAACCUUUAAAACCGCAUGGUUUUAAAGGCUUAAAACUGUAAGCCUUUAAAGCNNNNNNNNNNNNNNNNNNNNNNNNNNNNNNNNNNNNNNNNNNNNNNNNNNNNNNNNNNNNNNNNNNNNNNNNNNNNNNNNNNNNNNNNNNNNNNNNNNNNAGAAUUUCUCUGUUAAUAUAUAUAUAUAUAUAUAUAUAUAUAUAUAUAUAUAUCAUAUGAUGCAGGCCACAGCAGAGCAGGAUUAUGAAAAAGAGAAGCUUAUUAAUAAGUGUUUACUUGCUUUUGAAAUAUAUAUAUAUAUAUAUAUAUAUAUUUCAAAUUCAAGUUUACUUGCUUUUAUAUAAUAAGUGUUUUGGCCGAUUUAUCUAAUUCACCAAAUGUCAUUUCCGGUACAUAUCUCCAUUGGUAUCAAGAAGAGGCAGAACCCAAAGAAACGUUUCUUGCAUCUUCAUAUUUAUGCGAAUUCAUCCUUUCAUUGAGAAUAACCAUUUCCAGCCGGCAGUUGGCAAUCAAUACGCACGUCGAUGCUAUUCAUAGAUAUUAAAGACAAUGAUGAACCAAAGGUGAUAAAUCAUAAAUGUAUAAUUACCAAACAUCCAUCCUUCUCUCAUUAUGAUUUGAUUUUAAAUGAAUUAUUGCUUGGUAACAUUAUUUCCAACCAUUGCAAGAUUAUUAUUAUUAUUUUUUUUUGGGAGAAAUUUCAAUUGAAAGUGAAACCUUUAGACAUUUACCUAAUGAAGUUAGUUACUCGGGAGGGUGGAAAAAAAAAAGUUGACGCAAGUCAAUACACAAUAAUUAAUUAAAUCCGGAGUGACUAAAACAGAGCCACUACUUUUUCAAAAAUAUCUGCAUUCAUCACUUUCUCCAGCAGCUAGUCAGCUACACACGAAUCAAUUUCUCUCCUCGUUUGUCAUCCAAAAUUAUUCACCAAUACCAUGGUUGAUGCCGUCGUUUCCACUAUCUUGGAGCAGCUGAUUUCCUUCGCUGCUGAAGAGAUAAAACAACAGGUGAUCGAAGUUACACCCCUCAUAUUACAAAUACUUCCAAUGAUUUUAAUAAAUUUUGUUUUUAUCAAAAACAUUAUAUAUUUUUGCUUUAUUUUAUUUAUCUGGUAAUUUUAGAUUUUGAAAUUUGAAUUGAAUUUAAUUAAAAGGUGAUGUAGUUAGUAACCACUUAUUUUUAUUUUAUUUCAUUUAUAUUCUCAAUAACUACUCAUAUUUUGGUAACUUACUAUAACUUUCAUAUCUAAGAAAUGAUCAAAACCCACAAUUUUAACUCAGCACGAAUAUUCAACGUUGAGUCAUUAAUUCUAAACUCAGCACUGAAUCCCAUAGCUAUUACUUAGACUCUAUGAAAAAUUUCAUAGUUUUCUUACGUUCUUUGAGUUUGGUAAGUGAUUUCGUAUAAUUUCUUUUCAAGUUAAAUUUUAAUUUGGUUUAUGAUAUAGUCUCUGUGCCGAAUUGUAUCUUUUAUGAUUCUUGGAUUUUGGGCUUCAACUUUUUAGGAUUUGAUAGUCAUAUAUUUAUGCCAUGCUCAGAUUGAUUUUCAUGAUUUUUAGUAGCCGUUAAGUGACUUACAAUUUGACGAAAGUUUGAAAGGAAAAAUGUUUCAGGAUUCUGUUUUAAUUUACCUUUUAGUAGAAAUAGGAUGCUUAUAACUUAAUGUGGAUGGUUCGUAAAAUCAUGAAAUUUGGAUAGGAUUCACUAGAAAUAUGUACAAGACUCUCCAUAAAGUUUCAUAAUUUUUCAUUCGGUAUGGGGUGGUACAGGUGAAACUUGUGGUUGGUGUUGAAAAAGAAGUGAAAAGCCUUACCAGCCACCUUGAAGCCAUUCAAGUUGUGCUCGAUGAUGCAGAGGAAAAGCAAGUGAAGGACAAAGCUGUUAGUCUUUGGCUGGGUAGGCUCAAGUACGCAUCCUACGACAUUGAAGAUGUGUUGGAUGAGUGGAUCACAGCAAGACGCAAAUUGCAAAUUGAGGGUGGCGUUGAUGAAAAUGCUCUUGUUGUUCCUCAUAAGAAAAAGAAGGUAUGUCUCUGCUUUCCCGGCUCUUGUUUUGGAUUCAAACAAGAAGAAUUUGGUUUCAAACAAGUCUUUCUCCGUCAUGACAUUGCCGACAAGAUCAAAGAAAUCAAUGAAGAGCUACAUGAUAUUGCCGCUCAAAAAGACAUGUUUGAUCUUGUUAAGAGUGGCAAUAAAAGUAGUGAAAGACCAAGGCGUGUACAGAGUACCUCCUUGAUUGAUGAGGAAGAGAUUUGUGGUAGAGUUGGUGAGAGGAAUGAACUCAUAAGCAAGCUGUUGCGUGAGAGUAGCGAGCAACAAAAAGGCCUCCAUAUCAUCUCAAUUGUUGGUAUGGGAGGCAUAGGGAAAACUACUCUUACACAACUAGCUUGUAAUCAUGAUGAGGUGAAGAGAAAGUUCGACAAAAUUCUGUGGGUGUGUGUAUCAGAAACUUUUGAGGAGUUUAUGGUAGCCAAAGCGAUCGUUGAAGUUUUGGAUGGUCGUGAAUCUCAUUUAGCUGAAUUCCAUUCUCUUCUUCAACAUAUUUAUGAAUCAAUUGCAGGGAAGAGCUUUCUUCUUGUCUUAGAUGAUGUGUGGGAUGGAAAUUACUUGAAAUGGGAACCAUUCUACCGUUGUCUAAAGAAUGGUCUCCAUGGAAGUAAAAUUUUAGUUACCACACGUAGUGGGUCUGUUGCAUCCACGAUGGGAUCCACAGAUAUUAUCUCCGUCAAGGAGUUAGCUGAAGAGGAAUGUUGGUUGUUGUUUAAAAAGAUAGCAUUUUUUGAUCGGUCCAUCGAGGAACGUGAAAAAUUAGAACAAAUUGGGCAAAGAAUUGUAGGCAAGUGCAAAGGUUUACCUCUUGCAGCAAAGACAAUAGGGAGUCUCAUGCGUUCUAAACAAACUGAAGAAGAGUGGAAAAGAAUUUUAAAUAGUGAUUUAUGGAAAGUAGAAGAGAUUGAGAAAGAUGUUUUGUCCUCUUUAUUGUUGAGUUAUAAUGAUUUGCCAUCUAGAGUAAAAAGAUGUUUUUCAUAUUGUGCUGUCUUUCCAAAAGACUACGAUAUAAAAAAAGACGAACUAAUCACAUUAUGGAUGGCUCAAGGUUAUCUUAGUGCGGAACAAGAUGAAGAGAUGGAGACAGUAGGUGAAGAGUAUUUUGGCAUCUUAGCUUCUCGCUUGUUUUUUCAAGAGUUUAAGAAAAGUUAUGAUAAUCGUAUUAUAGAGUGCAAGAUGCAUGGUAUGGUACAUGAUUUUGCCCGAUUUGUAAGUCAAAAUGAAUGUUUUUCGAUGGCAAUUAAUGGUAGUGAAGAACCAAACGCCACAAACUCUCUUGAUGAGAAGGUCCGUCAUUUAAUGUUAAUCUUUAGUAAAGGGGCUUCAUUACCUGUUUCCACUCGUAGAGUUAAAAGAAUGCGUACCCUCGUAAUUAACGAUAGUAGAUCAUUAAAUGGCGAGAUCCUAGAAGAAUUAUUUAGGGAAUUGACAAGUUUAAGGGCAUUAGAUUAUGGCGGAUCGCCCCACUCAAGGCCGUUGUUGACUGCGGAGGUUCCAAGAAACAUAGAAAAGCUGGUACAUUUGAGAUACCUUAAUUUGUCUUUUCAGAAAAUAGUGAAACUACCGGAGACAUUGUGCGAGUUGUAUAAUCUAGAAAAGUUAGAUAUUAGUUGUUGUUUGUAUCUUAGAGAAUUACCUGAAGGGAUUGGGAAGUUAAUAAACAUGAAGCAUUUACGAAAUAGAGGUACUAGUUCUUUAAGGUACAUGCCAGUAGGGACUGGGAGAUUAACGGGUCUUAGGACCUUGGGUCAGUUCCAGGUGAGUGCAGGAGGAGGUGUUGAUGGUAGGAAAGCAUGUAGGCUUGAAUCUCUUAAAAAAUUGGAACACCUUCAAGUAUGUGGUAUACGUAGACUGGGUGAUGUAUCAGAUGUGGGCGAGGCUAAGCGAUUAGAACUUGACAAAAAGAAAUACCUCUUCAGUUUGACCCUUGAGUUUGAUAAGAAGGAAAGAGGAGGAGAAACGAGGAAGAACGAGGACGAUCAACUUCUUCUUGAAGCCCUGCGACCACCUCUGGAUUUAAAGGAAUUAGUGAUACGGUACUACCGAGGCAACACUGUUUUCCCCAGCUGGAUGACGUCAUUAAUCAACUUAAAGAGUUUAGAUCUCUCUUCCUGCGAAAAUUGCGAGCAGCUGCCUCCUUUGGGAAAAUUGCCGUCCCUUGAAAAACUCGGCCUAUCGGACAUGAAGAGUGUGAAAAGAGUGGGUGAUGAAUUUUUGGGGAUAGAAAGUGAUCAUCAUGGCUCAUCUUCAUCUUCAUCGGUUAUUAUUGCCUUCCCCAAAUUGAAAUCACUCUCAAUUGAGUUUCUGCGCGAAUUGGAGGAGUGGGAUUAUGGGAUUACAAGAACGGGAAACACCGUCAUCAACAUCAUGCCACGUCUUUCUUCAUUGACAAUUGUUGAUUGCACCAAAUUAAAGGCACUGCCCAACCACAUUCAUCAAACGACAACGUUGAAGGAAUUGUGCAUUGUGGAUUGUGAGCUUCUGGAAGAACGUUACCGCAAGGGGGAAGGAGAAGACUGGCCUAAGAUAUCACACAUUCCCAACAUAGAUAUUUUUUAAGAAGGAUUUGCGCAUUCGAGAUUUGGCGUUGACAAGUAAUUUCUUCUCUUACUCUGAUUUGCUUUGUUGUUGUUUUUAAUCUAAUUAAGAAGCGUAAAUAGCAUUUUGAAUCAAACUCUAUAUCCGAAAUCUGCAAUACAUACUUUCUAAUAUUCUGAUUUUCAUAUCCUACCAUUUUUAAUUUGUGAGAUGGGUAACGUUACUGUAAAAGAUUAUUAAUGGAACAUGAGUAAUUCUUUUGCAGGACAAGUGACCUACAUUUAGUUUGGCUUUGGAGUUGAAUAAUAACCUUUCAAGGCCAGGACCCAAAAGCAGGAAAAACAAAAAAAGGAACGAAGCUUAAUUUUGCCACAGAUUACAUGUAUUGCCAUUAUUGACAAGUUUCUGGACAAGUGAUCAAGGGUGAGAGUGGUGCUACAACAUUGAAUAAAGCAGUCGUGACUGAAUUUAGGUUGUGUCAAAAGUGGUAAAUUAUUUGCAUGUGUAGCUAAUUUGACCAUUUCCUGAUCUAUAAGUCUAUAUUAAUUUUGAUUUUUAGUUGAGUGAUUACAUUUCAAGGUUUGCUUACUUAACAGGGCGACCAAUUUCUUUUAACUAAAUGUAUUAUAUGAUGCAGGAAGCAAGGCAGGAUAUGAAAUAAGAAGCUUAUUAAUGGCAGUUGGCAGUGAAUGGAGGCCCUUGACUAAAUUCUCAAGCGGUUGCACUGCAAUUACGCUUAUCCGUAGCCUCAGGUAAUUUCUUCUUCUGCAUUUUUGUAAUUUGUUAUCUAAUUAAGGGGCGUGAGCUAUUUUGAAUCAAAUUCUAUAUCAGGAAUAUAUGCAACAUUUUUUAAAAUUUUGAUAUGAGAGUAAUGAUGGUAAUUUCUCUUUUUUGUCUGUCAUCGAAUGUUAAAUAACAUUCACUAAGACUCUUGAGAGUCAUUUUUUGACAAUUGCAGGACAAGCGACGAAGAGUGAGAAUGGUGUUAGAUUGGGGAUUGAGGCAAAAGGAGGUAAAUUAUUGGCAGAGAAUUUGGGAGCUUGAGUGUACAGGGAUUUGCAAUUACAAUCUUACUCUGCCUUAGGUGAUUUCUUCUCCUGCUUUGUCAUUGGUUGUUCUCUAGUUGAAAAGCAUAAAGUAUUUCAAUCAAAUUCUAUACCAAGAAUAUGCAAAACUUUAUUUCCAUCUGUUUGCAUUGAUAACUUUGCGGCAUAUGCGCUAGUUAAAGAACAAACAGAAACAGAGGUCAGGAACAAGUUUCCUCUGCCGUCAUAUUUGAAAAUGCAACCAUUUCCGGGAAGUAGUUGGCAGCAAAUUCAUAUAAAGUGUAGACAAUAAUGAGCAAAAAGGUGAUUCACAAUUUUAUUUUUUUUAAAUUAAUUGUUAGGUUGGAGUUGUUAAAAGGCCAUUGAGCUAACCUAUGUCAUUAGUUACCUAGAUUGCAGGGGGUCCCGAGACUCCAAAGAAGCAUUGAAUUUUAAAAGGCAUGCAAUAAUUCUUGUGGGCGUAUGAGUUUGAUUUAGAAUCAAACUCUAGAUCAGAAAUCUGCAAUGCAUAUUUUCUAAUAUUCUGAUUUUCAUAUCCUACUAUUUUUAAUUUGUGAGAUGGGUAACGUUACUGUAAAAGAUUAUUAAUGUAAUAUGAGUAAUUCUUUUGCAGGACAAGUGACCUACAUUUAGUUUGGCUUUGGAGUUGAAUAAUAACCUUUCGAGGUCAGGACAACAAAAAAAUGAAUCUUAAUUUGCCACAGAUUGCACUUAUUGCCAUUAUUGACAAAUUUCUUCACAAGGGAUCAAGGGCGAGGAUGUUGAUAGAAUAUUGAAUAAAGCUGCCGUGACUGAACUUACGUUGAUGUCAAAAGAGGUAAAUUAUUGGCAUGCCUGACUAUUUUGACCAUUACAUGAACAUGAGUUUACAUUAAUUUUGAUUUUGAGUUGAGUGACUUUUUAAGGUUUGCUUACUUAACCGGGUGAUGUGAUGCAGGAAGCAGGGCAGGAUAUGAAAUGAGAAGCGUAUUAGUGGAAGUAUUGCCAGUAACAGAACCCAAAAAAAAGUGGAACCAUUUUAAGGCAGCAGUUGGCAGUUGGGAGUGAAUGGAGGCCCUUGACAAAAUUCUCAAGCAGUUGCAAUGCAAUUACGAUCAUCCUCAGCCUCAGGUAAUUUCUUCUCCUGCUUUGUUGUUAUUUGUUACCUAAUUAAGAAGCAUAAAGUAUCUUGAAUCAUUUUCUGUAUCUGGAAUAUAUGCAACAGUCUCUAAAAUUUUGAUGACUGUAAUGAUUGUAGUUUCUGCUUUCUGUCCGACAUCGAAUGUAAGACGACUUUAUUAAGACUCUUGAACCGAGACAUUUUUGACAAUUGAAGGGCAAGUGCUGAAGAGUGGGAAUGGUGCUAGAUUGGGGAAUAAAGCAAAAGGAGGUAAAUUAUUGGUAGUUUCUGCAGCCUUGUUUUCUUUGAAUCAGCACCUGAUUCACAAGACUCCAUUAAUUUGGCUUUUGAUGAGCUGAGUGAUAAAUUUUCAAUUUCUUUGGUGCUAAAUGUAUGUGUGAAGCAGGUAGCAGGGCAUGACUGUGGAAAAGAGAAGAUUUUAGUGAAAGCUGAAACUCAGAUAAUUCUACAUUUAUCUAAUUCACGAAAUUUUAUUUCCAUCUGUUACAAGAUCAAACUGAAGCAGAACUCAAAGAAAGUAAUCUACUUCUUGCGGCAAUCUUGCCUUCGCUCAGAUUAUGAAACCAUUUCCAUGCACCAAAUUCAUCCAAAAGUUUGAAUAAGUUUCAUGGUUGGACACUGUUGGCUUCUUUUUCUUUUGGGGUGCAUUUUGGUGCUACCAAGUGACAGCUGCAAGUAUGAUUGCACUAACCUGCUGCUGGGAAAUUUGAGGUUUUGAUGGCUGCCCAUGUUAUUGUCAAGAAACUCCUCAUGUAAGAAGCUGUGGUUCUUUUCAUCAGCUUGAACCUGAAACUGUUGCUAUGGAUAACUCACGUUUUUAUUCUCAACUAUAUCAUCUUUUUUAGUGUUUUGAAACUCUUAAGAUUAAACUUUGGUAAAAUGUUUUCAGUUAUCCAUGUAAUCAGGCUGAGGAUAAUUUAGUAAAGUUGUUUCCGCUAUUCAAAUGAAAAACCCCAUUGAUUUUAACCAUGAUAAAGCUAAUGUUCCCAAUGAUUACUGCAGGUGAGACUUGUGAAGAGGGUGAGUGAGGCAACUGCUAAAAUUCCUGGCUGGGAUACAGUAACUAGAGGCUGAGAUCAGGUGGUGGAAUUUUUUGUUCCGUGGAUGAUACCAGAAUUGUCCAGAAAAGAUUUGUUGAUACUAAUUACAGAUGAUAGAAAGAGGUAUAGGUGGAGAAGAGAAAUCUGCGAGUCAAAUUAGGGAUAAUUGAUUCUGAUACUAGUUAUAUUGAAAAUAAUAAUAACAAUUGCAUGAAGAUAGUCAAUAUUCUUCUCUAGAUAUAUUGUAUGGACUUCCUUGCUGCCUUUAUCUAUGUGCAUGUUGACUAAAGCUAAUCUAGAAUCAAUAGAGAGGGAUAUUUAUCUAUUUUGUUUAACAUAAGAGUGCUGUAUAAUUUUUCACUAAAUACACCUACAACAAACUAUUAAUAAUAAAGUGAUAGAAGAAUGCCUAAAAUAUAGGUAUUAAUGUCAUAAUAAGCCCAUGUGGAUCUCAGUGCCGCAAGUUCGAUAAAUGGCUAUCAAGGAUUGCUUAUUAAGUCAAAAUAUUCAAAGGACAAAAUGGUAAAACUAUAAGGGUGGAGUAAUAUGGCUAUCUUGGGUUACAUAGUAAGUCAACUACAUUCAAAGUAUAAAAUAUUAGAACCUGAACGGCGGAGUAGUCGUCGUUAGAACCUGAACGGCGGAGUAAUCGUCGUUAGAAUCUGAAUGAUAUGUCUAAGACGUUGCAUGCAUCUAGAAAAUUGCAGAUGAUUAGACCUUGCCAUCUAUGCGUUGUAUGAGGUUAUAGCAACUAUCUAUCUGGUCACCGUUUUCAAGUCUCAAUUGGUAGUCCAAACUCCAAAGAAAAGAAUGAUUCUACAAUAGCAUUAAGUGUUAAUUGGACACAAAAAGAAAUGUUUUAACCACUUUAAGGAAAGUAAAUGUAAUUUUGUGUCCUAAAGAAAAGGUAAAUGUAUGCACUGUCAAUUAAUCUUUGGUCGACCAGCAACAUCAUAAUUUUGUGUAGGUUCAUUUUUGUUUCUUAGAGUUUGUAAAAAGAAUGGGAAGAUUUUAAAAUAUAAAUUUCAUAUCUGUUUAUUACUGUUGUUUGGUCUAAUUUCUUAUGUAGAAUUUUCAGAAUCUGUAGGACAUUAGUUUAUAAUUUUGAGAUUUUGCAGCCAUAAAUGUUUUUUUUUUCUUUUUUCUUUCUUUUUUUUUUUGUUGGCAUUUUAUUUUGCUCCUUUAUCUAUGUGCAUGUUGACUGGCUGCAGUGAGUGAAAAUUUACCCAUAUAUGCUGGCUAUUCUUGGACAAUAUUAGAGAAAAUAAUCAUAUUAUUUCGCUUGAUGUGAACUUCCAUAACUUAUCAAUUGAAUUGCUGUAAAAUAUUAAAUAGUUUUAUUUUUCUUUUAUCGUGUAACUUGGACCAAAAAAGGAAAUGAGUUUAACACGACCCUCAUUCUGCUUCUUGCUUUGGUUUCAAACAAGUCUUUCUCCUUUAUGACAUUUAUUGUAAUUUCAUUUGGAGACAUAUAUCUGUCGUUCAAAUAUAUUUCAUACGUAAGCUGUUAAUAAUUCUGCUUGCAGAAAGCCUACAAAGCAGCUGUGUGAUGUAAUAGAAGACCAUAGUCUCGUCAAUUUUUCAACAUUAGAUAUUCAGGUCAUCAGCUUCUCAUGAAUUCUUUCCUGAGUUUCUUUGAAUUAUUUGUGAUGUAAUAACUUGUGCAUUUGAGAAACUGUUCUCAUGAAUUCUUUCCUGAGUUUCUUUGAAUUAUUUGUGAAUAAGUUCCUAAUCGGCUGCUUCUCCUCAGGAUAAGGAAAGUGUUGCAAACUGGUGAAGCAGCUGAUAGAUAAAAGCAAUGGGUACAUCUUUGCUGGCAUGGAUCGAUGCCAGUGCGGUUGAAUUCAGCAAGACUGCCGUUCGUGAUGUUGUUGAUUGGGAUUACAUUAAGGAUGAUGACAACAUUGAUUAAAAUGGGACGUGAAGAUAUAUGGUGUGCAAAUUAACCCAACCCAACCAAACCCGUACAUUUUAUCAACCCAACCCAACCCAACCCGUAAAAAAUCACACGGAUUAGGUUGGUUUCACGGAUUGGGCGGGUUAAUUCUAAUUUCUUUAUAAGUUUACCAAAAUUAGAUCUGCUUACCUUUGUUCAUUCAGCAACAACACUUACAAUUCACAGCUAGAGAAUCUAUCCAUUGACAAUUGUGGAUUAAAAUUAUAACACCUGAAUUCAAACAUAUCCUUAUGAAGUUAUGAAUUUGUUCAUACUUCAAAUGAUUUUUUUUUUCCAAGCUAAUAAAGCAACGACUUUGAUCAAACGACGACGUUGAAGGAAUUACGUAUUUUCAAUGUCCUUUGCCAGACAGACGCUGGAGAGAGGGAAAGGAGAAGACUGGCCUAAUUAAGAUAUCUCACAAAGAUUAUUAUUGAGUUAAAAUGUUAUUGUAAAAGAUGUUUAAUACAAUAAUAGUACUUCUUUUGCAUUGUUAUAAUGAGGCUGGCGGGUUUCCUCAGAGGAUGGAUCUGGCUCGCUAGUAUGCAUUUGGGAAGCUGCUAAUUAUCGGCCAUAAAAAGUCAGGGGGUUGUGGCUCGUCCGUCGCCCAGAAAUUCCUAAACUCAUAUAUCAAACUUCAGAUGAACUUGGGCAUUAUGUAAAUAUGUAUUUUUGAGAAUUAAACUAGUGCGUUAGAAAAAUUUUGAGCCAUUGUAAUCAUUUUAUUUUGCUAAGAGAAAAUUUUACUCUGUGUUUCGCUUUGCCUUUUGUUUUUUCUGUGAUAAUAUGAUUCAUACGAAUGUGAUUACACACUAUCAUGCAUCUAUUUUCAUUUGCUUGUCAUGAAUGAUCAACAUGCUCGAAAUAUUUAUUUAGGUUGGAAAUAUUUAAAUCUAUUAAAAUACUAUACACACCCAUUUAAAAAUAAAAAUAUGAUUAUCAUAAUGAUCGCGAAGAUAACACGAUAUCAUACAUAAAAUAAAAUAUUUCGCAAAAAAGAAAAGAUACACUUGAAUACAUUGGUAUAAAAAAUAUUUUAGUGGAUUCAAGUAGCACUAAUGCCCCCUUAUCAAAAAAUAUAUAAAGAUAACUAAUCUGAUUGGGUAUACCGUGUGUGUGUGUAAUAUUUUUUGAUAUUAUUAUAUAAUAUUUUUUAAAAAGAAGAGAGUGGGCAAAGUCCAAAUCAAUUUUCUAAUCCCUAUCUCCUUUAGGAUUUCUAGUCAAAGAGGCUAAAUUGCACGAAAUUGUGCUAGCUUAUUUGAUUUUAAAAUUUUCCAAUGCACUGUAACACACUCUCAUGCUUGUACAUAGCUCGAAAAUCUCUAGAAUUUACCAGAGUAGUGUACCAUGUAGCUUGUACAUAGGUUUUUCUGGAACACUCCAAGCGUUACUAAGCAUAAGAGCUUUGAGAACUCUCUAGACAUAAAACAUUCAAGGGUAGGCCUACCCUAAAAAUAGGGCAUGAUGAUUGCCAUUUGAGCAUACAAGAAGUAAGAACAAAUCAAGUAUAUUUGUAAGCUCCCAAACUCUCUCGUACACACUCUUGUGAAUAAUAUGCUUUCUCUUUGACUACAUUACUCUCUCUUCUCUCUAGUUUUUUUCGUAAGUAUCAUAGCUUAGCUAGUCGAAAAGUUCAAGUAGGAAUGAUAAUUUUUCCUGACAGGAUGUGGGAUCCCAUCUCAUUUGGGACGGGAUUGGGACACAUUUUUAUCCCACAAAAAAAUAUAGGGACGGGAGUAGAAAUUUUUUUAUCCCACUUGUAUAUAUGGGACAGGACUGAGAUUAACAAAUUCAGUCUCGUCCCGUCCCGUCUCAUUACCAACUAGGGAUGGAAAUUUUUCCAAUUGGGAUGGGCUCUCGCAGAAUCCCAUUUAUUUUGGGAUGCAAUUGAGACAUAUUUUUAUCCCAAAAAAAUAUAUCGAGAGUGAGACUUUUUUUUAUCCCACUUGCAUAUUCGGGACGAGACUGAGAUUAGUAAAUCUCACCCUAUCCCAUCCCAUUGCCAACCCUAAGUUCAAGGCUUACUUUGCAAUUAUCUCAUAAAAGUUGUUUUAAGUACCACAGGAGUUUGUUGUGCAAAAUACUCAUCCCGUGACAUUAGCUAAAUAAAAUUAUUUGAAAGCCACUUACCCAAACUAUUAAACAAAUAUUAUUCUUUUAAUAUGUAAUCUUUUAAUAUAAAACUUUUGUCUUAAUUUUCUAUCUCCUACAAUAAAUUUUAUGAUUUUAAAAAUUGAAAAAAUUAGUAACUUUUAGAUAGAGCAUUCCUUACUGUGAAAAGAAAUAUGAAUGGUAAUAUAAAACUUACUUAUUAUAGUAUAAUGCUUUUAGUUUUUUGAAAUAUAGGUUCUUAUUUUUUUCAAGAUAAAGUUCAAAGAAAACAAGUUAAAUGUUGUGGAAAAUCUUACGCACAUACAAUAAAUUAUGACAGCUAAAUGCAAACCUGGCUGAAGUAUUAGUUGUUUUAUUACAGAGACAAAAGGACAAUAUCACUAUCCAAGUCAAAAGCAACUCAAUGUGAGUCUUAGGGCACUCGCAGUGAAUCCCAAGAUAAACUAAUUUCACUAGCAAGUUGGAUACCAAAGAGUAAGGCUUCAGCCUCAAUUAUAUUAACAUUAGCUGAGUAAACAUUAAAUACCACAAUCAAUCUCAGAAAUCAUAAUUAAACUAUCAUGAUUAAAAAUAAAGUUUUUUUUUUAGAUAUCCGUUUGUAGUAUCUCUUUAGAUGACAAGUAGGAGAUAAAGUAAAUAAAUAUUGGUUGCGUAAAUAAAAAUAAAUAAAUUUUUUAACUGAAAAAAAAAUUCCUAAAAACUAAAUAGUUCAAACUUUUUUUAACAUGAAAUAAAUAUUUGAUGCGUAAAUAAAAAAAAUUUAACUGAAAAAAAUUCCCAAGAACUAAAUAGAUCAAACUUUUUGUUUAACAUCAUGGGUUUUGUAUAUUCAAUUGAACCGAACAACUAAAUUAAAUCGAAAUUACCAUGUUCGGUUCAAAUGAAUAGACGAAAACCGAACAGUUUAUAUUUUUAUGAACUGAUGGUGCGUUUACUUCAUGAAAUGAAAAUAUGGUGGAAUGAGAAUGUGUUAAAAUGAAAAUGAGGAAUGAGAAUGAGAUUCUAAUGUUUAUUUAGUAAAAAUAAAGGGAAAUGAGAAUGUGCUGGAAUGUCAUUGAUGUGUUUAUUUGACAAAAUAAAUGACAAAAGUAUCAAUUCGGAUCCUGCUAAUGAUAGUUUGCCAUAUCCUUUGUCAUUGAACUUUCUUACAAAUGCUGUGGUUUGUUGUAGUAUAAUUAGUUCAAUCAGAAACUUCCUUGAUGUUAAUAUAGAUAUGAGUGUGCUGUGAAUAUUGAGGACUUCAUUAGACUAAGUGAUGUGAUGAUGGAGCAUUCACUUGGUCCCAAUGGAGGUUAGUCAGCCCAUUGUUGUUUACUCUUUCUUGCUUUAUCACGCAAUGAUAUUCCUUUGCUUCACAACAAAUUUCAUGAAAUUAACUUCAAUCGAGUGGCUAUGUUCAUACGCUAUUGAGAUUUUAUGGACAAUGAUUUGGUAGACUUUAUAUGCCGUCUUCUUUCUUUUUGCAGUGAUAUGUUUGUAUGCAAUGCACUUGUACUUGUUCUAUGGUUUCUAAAGUAGGCGUUUUUAUGAUAAACUAGGUCUUGGGUAUUGUAUGGACUAUCUAGAGAAGAAUAUUGACUGGUUGCAGUCGAAAUUGGAACCACUUUUGAAAGGUAAGAAGUGGCCAUUUUCCUUCAUUCUAAUGCCAAUAAUGCUGUCAUGAGACUCAUAAAAAUUGUUAAAACGUUAAUGUUUUUGGUAUUUUGCAGAUCAUUAUCUUCUGUUUGAUUUUCCUGGCCAAGUUGAAUUAUUUUUUCUUCAUUCCAAUGCCAAGAAUGUUAUAAUGAGACUCAUAAAGAAGUUAAAUCUCAGGGUAUUGUUACAUCUUACGUCUAUGAAGGGACUCAAAGAGUUGAGAUGAAUUCAUCAUUAUUAUUUUGAUGCCAGAAUUGUGCAAUUCUCAGUUGCUUCCUUUCACAUGCAGUUGACUGCAGUGCAUCUAGUUGAUGCGCAUCUUUGCAGUGACCCCGGGAAGUAUGUUAGUGCUUUGCUUCUCUCGUUGUCGACGAUGCUACAUCUGGAAUUUCCCCCAUGUCAAUGUCUUGUCUAAGAUCGGCCUGAUUGAGAAUUAUGGAAAGCUAGGUGUGGUUUUAAGUGUAGCUCUCCUACUUGUUUGUUUAGAUUGAGAUAUCAGAUAUUGUCACAAGCUCCUAUCUGCUACAUUUCCUCACCAAUCAAUUACUUUGGGUAUGUUGCAGCUUUUAAUCUCGAGUACUAUACGGAUGUGCAAGAUUUGUCAUUUUUACAGCAUGCUCUGGGUCAGGACCCUCGUUCUGCUAAGUAUAGGUUUGAAUUCUAGCUGAAUCAAUGAUGCAAAUUAUGUCCAUUGCUAUUUCUGACUGUCGUUUCUAUCAUUUUCAAUUGUUACCUCCCCUUGCCAUCUACUGCCAUACUGCAAUGCCCACACAAAUGUUAUGAAAUUUGUCAAUGGAAAUGACAUUCUAUUUGUCCAGAGACAGCUCUUAGAUGCAAGUGAACAAUUUUUGGCUUUGGCCGUAGUACAGCCUUAGAUUUCAACUUGCCAUAUCUUGUCUCGGAAGUCAAAAGAAAGCAUAUAUGUUAGCCAAAUUUUAUUUGAAUUUCUUGUGUAACAAUGAAUGGGGAAAAAAAACAGUUCCUCUUUUGUUUUGAUCAGACUCAAUGAAUAAGUGGUUAAAAUGUGCCUGUACUAGAAAUAUAGAUGUGUGGUUUCAUAAAAUUUUCUUGAUCUUAAGAAAGAGUUAUCUUGAAAAGAAGAUAACAUGGGGAAUUGAACAACUAUACAGUCAUAUUGAUGUCUGUCAACUUGGGUCAUAUGGUGUCGUUUGGAUGGAGAUGUUAGGUCCCAGAUGGUAAACUUGUUAUCGAAUUCCAGUCUACUUCAUUCAUGCUUUGAUGACAUAUGUGGUGCAGCUUCUUAUCUAAGACCUGCAUAUGUUACAGUCAACAUUCUGUUCUGUAUUUGGCUGCCAUUCUUUUCAAUGAAUUCAAACCACUUUCUGAAUACUUGGAAAUUCAUCCAGUGUUGUCAUUGAGAUGCCAAUAUGAAAAGAAGCCAUAAUUGCCCUUGAUAGUAUGCUUAUUGAUUGCCUCUUGCCUCACUCAACCUCAGGAAUCUGCUUGUAUGGUGUUCUUCUAAUUUCAAUUGGAGAUAAAUAAUAUCUGUUGUUCAAAUAUAUUUUAUUUACAAGCUGUUAAUAAAUCUGCUUGCAGAAAGCUUACAAAGGAGCUGUGUGAUGUAAUAGAAGUCUACAGUCUGGUCAAUUUUUCAACCUUAGAUAUUCAGGUCACCAGUUUCUCUUGAAUUCUUUCUUGAGUUUCUUUGAAUUAUUUGUGAAUAAGAUCUUAGUUGACUGCUUCUCUUCAGGAUAAGGAAAGUGUGGCAAAACUUGUGAAGCUGAUAGGUAAAAGCAAUGGGUACAUCUUUGCUGGCAUGGAUGCCAGUGCAGUUGAAUUCAGCAAGAUUGCCGUUCGCGAUGUUGAUUGGGAUUAUUUCGGAUAUCCUUCUUUUCACCUAUUUUCAAUCUUGUUAUUCUCAUAUUCAUAAAACUUUUUGGUUAUUUAAUUAUGGUUCAUCAUAUGCAUCUGCAUCUUCUAACUUGUUCGUUUGAGAAACUAAUUUUGCCGUUAGGUAGGCUUCGAGCUUGAUGAGUUGAUUCAUGCUUUUUCAUAAAUGUACCAAAAUCAUGGAAACUUCUUUUUCCCAGAUAUUGUAUCCACACUUUUCCCAUAUAAUUGGGUCAGACAAGUUUUGCUUAACAAAGAUAUCUACAGUAGCCGAAGUGCAGGAGAAGUACAUUAAGGAUGAUGACGAUGUUAACUAAAAUGAGACGUGAAGAUAUGUGGUGUGCAAACCGUAAGCCUGCCUCUUAAUUUUGUGCAUGUUUACUUGCUUGUGAUUCACGUUUGUUAAUCUAUUUUGCUCUCUUGCAGGAGUUAUAAAGUUUUCAAUCAAUCAAACAUUUAACUCAAGUCCUUAGCUCUUCACGGCUUGAAUGGGUCAGAUAGGACAAGCGCCGAAGAGGUGGUUUUAAUCAAACCCCUCCUAAUUAUGAUGUAUGGUCCGAAUCUCGGACUUUUUGUACAAUAUCAAGCGAUUUUUUUUUGGUUGAAUCGGCUAGUGUACGCAAAUGUCGAUUAUUGAUUUUUCUCCAGUAUUGUUUGUAAUUACAAGAAACGAAGUAAUGAAAUUUAUCACUGCGUUCAUAGUUAUGCUUAAGCUCAAAGAUUACCGUCAAGAUCAUUUUGGGCCCUCAAAGAAACAUGAUGUUGACACAUGUAAAAUUAUGAAGCUUGUGAUUAAAAUACUUUUCACAUAUAUAUGUUAAGUUCUAUUAAUAAUUAAAUAUAUGAAUAAAUAUGGUCAAUGAGGAGAGGAUAAAAUAAAAUGGUUUCAUUUUUUGAAUUACCCAUCCGCUUCAAACUUCUAAGAAGUAGAUAUACAAUCAGUGGAAUACUGAAUUGAGUACGAGCUGCGGAUAACUUAUAAAAUUGGGAUACAAGCUUCAAGGAAAGUGUAUUGCUAUUCAAAUGUAGAUUUCAAAUUAAGAAGAUAUGCCAACAAAUUAUUCUAAAUGAUGAAAUGAGCUAUCUUGAUCAAAAGGUCAAGAACCUACCUUACUUCUCUUAGAGAUAACUUGCAUCAACCGUUGUGGUAUUGAUACUUGUCUUCAGCUAGUAAAAGUGAAAGUUUCACAAUUGAAAUAAAGCUAAGGGAAGAUGCUAUGCUCCAUUUAUUAUUAUUAUUAUUAUUGACGUGGUCGAGAAGUAAAGCCGUGCAUAUGAUGAAGUAUAAAUAAGAAUGCAAUAGCCCGGAAUUCAUUUACACAAACACUUCAAUAUCCUUUCGAUCACUUUUGCAAACAUCAAUUUGUCUCCUCUUGUAUUCACCAUGGUUGAUGCCAUCGUUUCCCCUCUCGUGGAGCAGCUGACUUCCUUCGCUGCUAAAGAGAUAAUACAACAGGUGAUCGAAGUUACACCCCCCAUAGUAUAAAUACUUCUAAUGAUUUUAAUUGGUUUUGUUUUUAUCGAAAACAUUAACUUUGCUUUAUUUUACGCAUUUAGGCAUUUUAAAUUUUGAAAUUUGAAUUGAAUUUAAUUAAAAUGUGAUUUAGUUAGUAACCACUUUUUUUUUUCAUUUAUAUUCUCAAUAACUACCCAUAUUUUGGUAACUUACUGUAACCCCCGUAUCUAAGAAAUUAUCAAAACCCACAAUUUUAACUCCACAUAAAUAUUCCAUGUUGAGCUAAGUUCGAUGUUGAGGUAAGUUUUUUGCAUAACAUUCAAAUUUGUCAAAUAGUCAUUAAUUUAAUGUUUAGUAAAAACUCAUCUCUGAAAAAUUUCAUAAUUUUCUUACAUUAUUUGAGUCUGGUAAGUGACUUCAUAUAAUUUCUUUUCAAUUUAAAUUUUAAUUUGGUUUCUGAUAUAGUCUCUUUACUGAAUUUAUAUCUUUUAUGAUUCUUGGAUUUUGGGCUCCAACUUUUUAGGAUUUGAUAGUCACAUUUUAUGGCAUGCUUAGAUUGAUGUUCAUGAUUUUUAGUACUCGUUAAGUGACUGAGAAUUUGACAAAAGUUUGAAAGGAAAUCCGUUUCACGAUUCUUAUGUGGAAGGUUCGUAAAAUCAUGAAAUUUGGAUAGGAUUCAUUAGCAAUAUGUACAAGACUGUCCAUAAAGUUUCAUAAUUUUUCAUUCGGUCGGGGGUGGUACAGGUGAAACUUGUGGUUGGUGUUGAAGAAGAAGUGAAAAGCCUUACCAGCCACCUUCAAGCCAUUCAAGCUGUGCUCAAUGAUGCAGAGGAAAAGCAAGUGAAGGACAAAGCUGUUAGACAUUGGCUGGGUAGGCUCAAGUAUGCAUCCUACGACAUUGAAGAUGUGUUGGAUGAGUGGAUCACAGCUAGACACAAAUUGCAAAUUGAGGGUGGCGUUGAUGACAAUGCUCUUGCUGCUCCUCAAAAGAAAAAGAAGGUAUGUUUCUGCUUUCCUGCCUCUUGUUUUGGAUUCAAACAAGAAGAAUUUGGUUUCAGACAAGUCUUUCUACGUUAUGACAUUGCCAACAAGAUCAAAGAAAUGAAUGAAGAGCUACAUGCUAUUGCUACUCAAAAAGACAUGUUUAAUCUUGUUAAGAGUGGCAAUAAAAGUGGUGAAAGACCAAGGCGUGUACAGAGUACCUCCUUGAUUGAUGAGGAAGAGAUUUGUGGUAGAGUUGGUGAGAAGAAUGAACUCAUAAGCAAGCUGUUGCGUGAGAGUAGCGAGCAACAAAAAGGCCUCCAUAUCAUCUCAAUUGUUGGUAUGGGAGGCAUAGGGAAAACUACUCUUGCACAACAAGCUUGUAAUGAUGACGAGGUGAAGAGAAAGUUUGACAAAAUUAUGUGGGUGUGUGUAUCAGAAACUUUUGAGGAGUUUAGGGUUGCCAAAGCAAUGGUUGAAGCUUUGGAUGGUCGUGAAUCUCAUUUAGGUGAAUUCCAAUCUCUUCUUAAACAUAUUGAUGAAUCCAUUGCAGGGAGGAGCUUUCUUCUUGUCUUGGAUGACGUAUGGGAUGGAAAUUACGUGAGAUGGGAACCAUUCUAUCGUUGUCUAAAGAAUGGUCUCCAUGGAAGUAAAAUUAUAGUUACCACACGUAGUGGGUCCGUUGCAUCCAUGAUGGGAUCCAUAGAUAUUAUUCCCAUUAAGGAAUUAGCUGAAGAGGAAUGUUGGUUGUUGUUUAACAAGAUAGCAUUUUUUGGUAGGCCUAUCGAGGAACGUGAAAAAUUCGAACGAAUUGGGCGAAGAAUUGCAGGCAAGUGCAAAGGUUUACCUCUUGCUGCAAAGAUAUUAGGGAGUCUUAUGCGCUCUAAACAAACUGAAGAAGAGUGGAAAAUAAUUUUAACUAGUGAUUUAUGGAAAGUAGAAGAGAUUGAGAAAGAUGUUUUGUCCUCUUUAUUGUUGAGUUACAAUGAUUUGCCAUCUAGAGUAAAAAGAUGUUUUUCAUAUUGUGCUGUCUUUCCAAAAGACUACAAUAUAAAAAAAGACAAACUAAUUACAUUGUGGAUGGCUCAAGGUUAUCUUAGUGCAGAAGAAGAUGAGGAGAUGGAGACUAUAGGUGAAGAGUAUUUUAGCAUCUUAGCUUCUCGCUCUUUCUUUCAAGAGUUUGAGAAAAGUUAUGAUAAUCGUAUUAUAGAGUGCAAGAUGCAUGAUAUGGUACAUGAUUUUGCCCGAUUUGUAAGUCAAAAUGAAUGUUUUUCGAUGGAAAUUAAUGGUAGUGAGGAACCAAACACCAUAAACUCUCUUGAUGAGAAGGUUCGUCAUUUAAUGUUAAUCUUUAGUAAAGGGGCUUCAUUACCUGUUUCCACUCUUAGAGUUAAAAGAAUGCGUACCCUCUUAAUUAACGAUAGUAGAUCUGAUCAUUCAUUAUUAAAUGGUGAGAUCCUAGAAGAAUUAUUUAGGGAAUUGACAAGUUUAAGGGCAUUAGAUUUUGGCGGAUCGUACACACAUUUUUCUUUGACUCUGGAGAUUCCAAGAAACAUAGAAAAGCUGGUACAUUUAAGAUACCUUAAUUUGUCUUGUCAGAAAAUAGUGGAGCUACCGGAGACAUUGUGCGAGUUAUAUAAUCUACAAAAGUUAGAUAUUAGUGAUUGUUUUAAUCUUAAAGAAUUACCUGAAGGGAUUGGGAAGUUAAUAAACAUGAAGCAUUUACGAAAUAGAAGUACUAGUUCUUUAAGGUACAUGCCAGUAGGGAUUGGGAGAUUAACGGGUCUUAGGACCUUGGGUGAGUUCCACGUGAGUGCAGGAGGAGGUGUUGAUGGUGGGAAAGCAUGUAGGCUUGAAUCUCUUAAAAACUUGGAACACCUUCAAGUAUGUGGUAUACGUAGACUGGGUGAUGUAUCAGAUGUGGGCGAGGCUAAGCGAUUAGAACUUGACAAAAAGAAAUACCUCAUCAGUUUGACCCUUGAGUUUGAAAAGAAGGAGGAAGGAGGAGGAAGGAGGAAGAACGAGGACGAUCAACUUCUUCUUGAAGCCCUACAACCACUUCUCAAUUUAAAGGAAUUAGAGAUACAGUACUACCGAGGCAACACUGUUUUCCCCAGCUGGAUGACGUCAUUAACCAACUUAAAGAGUUUAGAUCUCUCUUUGUGCCUAAAUUGCGAGCAGCUGCCUCCUUUGGGAAAAUUGCCGUCCCUUGAAAAACUCAGCAUAAUGUUUAUGCCUGUGAAAAGAGUGGGUGAUGAAUUUUUGGGGAUAGAAAGUGGUCAUCGUGACUCAUCUUCAUCUUCAUCGGUUAUUAUUGCCUUCCCCAAAUUGAAAUCACUUUCAAUUGAGUCUCUGGACGAAUUGGAGGAGUGGGAUUAUGGGAUUACAAGAACGGGAAACACCGUCAUCAACAUCAUGCCACGUCUUUCUUCAUUGGAAAUUAAUUACUGCCCCAAAUUAAAGGCACUGCCCGACCACAUUCAUCAAACGACAACAUUGAAGGAAUUGCGCAUUUGGGGGUGUGACCUUCUGGAAGAACGUUACCGCAAGGGAGAAGGAGAAGACUGGCCUAAGAUAUCACACAUUCCCAACCUCCAUAUUGGGCUUUGACAAGUAAUUUCUUCUCUUACUCUGAUUUGCUUUGUUGUUGUUUUUAAUCUAAUUAAGAAGCGUAAAUAGCAUUUUGAAUCAAACUCUAUAUCAGAAAUCUGCAAUACUUACUUUCUAAUAUUCUGAUUUUCAUAUCCUAUGAAUAUACGAUUUUUAAUUUGUGAGAUGGGUAACGUUACUGUAAAAGAUUAUUAAUGCAAUAUGAGUAAUUCUUUUGCAGGACAAGUGACCUACAUUUAGUUUGGCUUUGGAGUUGAAUAAUAACCUUUCGGGAACUGGUGUGGACUGGCAAAGGAUGAUGAGAUAGUUUUUUGAGUGAGUAAAUUUUGGGAGCUUGAGUGUAUUGGGAUUUGCAAUUACAAUCAUCCUCUGCUUCAGGUGAUUUCUUCUCUUGCUCUGUCAUUGUUUGUUCUCUAAUUCAAAAGCAUAAAAUAUUUCAAUCAAUUCUUAUACCACGAAUAUGCAAAAGUUUCUAAUAUUUUAUUUCCAUCUGUUACAAGAUCAAACUGAAGCAGAACUCAAACAAAAGUAUGCUACUUCUUGCGGAAAUCUUGCCUUUGUUCAGAUUAUGAAACCAUUUCCAUGCAGCAAAUUCAUCCAAAAGUUUGAAUAAGUUUCAUGGUCGGACACUGUUGGCUUCUUUUUCUUCUGGGGUGCAUUUAGGUGCUAUCAAGUGACAGCUGUAAGUAUGAUUGCACUAAGCUGCUGCUGGGAAAUUUGAGGUUUUGAUGGCUGCCCAUGUUAUUUUCAAGAAACUAUUGAUGUAAGAAGCUGUGGUUCUUUUCAUCAGCUUGAACCUGAAACUGUCGCUAUGGAUAACUCAGGUUUUUGUUAUCAACUAUAUCAUCUUUUUCACUAUUUUGAAACUCUUAAGAUUAAACGUUAGUAAAGUUGUUUCAGCUAUUCAAAUGAAAAACUCAUUGAUUUGAGACUUCCUUCAUUAUUGUUUCUAAUUACAAUGCUAACGAUCCAGAUAAGAUAAUAUUUAAUCGGCGAAGGUGUCCCUUGGAAGUACAUCCUUCUUUUUCUUUUAUUAUAUAAAUUCUUGCAAUGAGCUUAGUGAAGCUGUUGUGCUAAUCAUGCCACUGCAUAAUUUGGCCCCUAAUGUGGGUACUCUGUUACAUUGUUCUGCAAAUUCUCCAGAAGUUAAAAUCAAUAAAUUUUCUAUUAGCUCUAGUGCUUUGACCUAAAUGCUAUUCUAUAUUCUGAUUACAAUGUUUUAACCUUUAAAUUAACUACCCCUAGAUGUUGGAUUUUCUAGAACUUCAAAUUAUAUAUAACCUUUAAAUUAUAUAUUUCUGUGUCUCUAUUUAUAGAUGACAUUUAAGCAUCCAUAAACCGUCAGACAGAGGAAGGGGGUUCAGUGCAAAGAUUCUGUUGACCUAGGGUUGACUGCAUAUGUCACUUGUUCGCAAUCUAAUAUUUAUUUUAUAUUUUGAAAAAUUUAAUGGGUAAUCCUAAUUGUUUGUUUUGGCAGGUAUGUGUUGUUAUCUCCUUCUAUCUUACAGUCGUACCUAAAUAGCAUAGUUUCAUCUGUGUUACCAUGUGAUGUACAUAAUUUCACAUUUGCCUCAGAUUAAGCUUAAUUUCCCACAGAAUAGAGCUGUCGCGACUGGACUUAGUUUGAUGUCCAAAGAGGUAAAUUAUUGGCAUGCCUAGAUAAUUUGGCCAUUUCCUAAUUCAUAAGUCUACAUUAAUUUUGAUUUUGAGUUGACUGAUUUCUUUUCAAGGUCUGCUUCCUUAACGGAGUGACCAAUGUUUUUCAACUAAAUUUAUCAUAUGAUGCAGGAAGCAGGGCAGGAUAUGAAAUGAGAAGCUCAUUGGUGGAAGUAUUGCCAGUAGCAGAACCCAAUGAAAAUGAAACUAUUUCAAGGCAGCAGUUGGCAGUUGCAAGUGAAUGGAGGCCCUUGACAAAAUUCUCAAGCAGUUGCAAUGCAAUUACGAUCAUCCUCAGCCUCAGGUAAUUUCUUCUCCUGCUUUGUUUUUAUUUGUUAUCUAAUUAGGAAGCAUAAAGUAUCUUGAAUCAUUUUCUGUAUCUGGAAUAUAUGCAAGAGUUUCUAAAAUUUUGAUAUGAGUGUAAUGAUGGUAAUUUCUGUUUUCUGUCUGUCAUCAAAUGUUAGAAAACUUUCAUUGAGACCCUUGAACCGAGUCAUUUUUGACAAGUGAAGUGCCGAAGAGUGAAGAGUAAGAAUGGUGCUAGAUUGGGGAAUAAAGCAAAAGGAGGUAAAUUAUUGGCAGCUUCUUCAGCCUUAUUUUCUUUGGACCAGUGCCUAAUUCACAAGUCUCCAUAAUUCGGCUUUUGACCAGUUGAUAGAUAAAAUUUUAAUUUCAUUGGUGCUAAUGUACCCGUGAAGCAGGCAGAGAAGGACUGUGGAAAAGAGAAGGUUUUUAGUGAAAGCUUAAACGCAGGUAAUUCUAUAAAUUAUAUGUUUUUGCUGAUUUAUCUAAAUCAGGAAAUUUUAUUUCCAUCUGUUACAAUAAAACAGAAACAGAACACAAAGAAAAAUAGUCUACCUCUUGUGGCAAUCUUGCCUUCAUUCAGACUAUGAAACCAUUUCCUUUCACCAAUUUCUUCCAAAAGUUUGAACACGUUUCAUGGUUGGACAUAGUUAGCUUCUUUUUCUUUUGGUGCAUUUAGGUGCUAUCAAGUGACAGCCAUAAGUAUGAUUGCAUUAUUGGGAAAUUUUAGGUUUUGAUGGCUCCCCAUGUUAUUGCCAAGAAAUUUUAAGUCCUCAUGUCAGAAGCUGCGUUUCUUUUCAUCAGCCUGAACCCGAACUGAGGUUUUUGUCAUCAACUAUAUCAUCUUUUUCACUGUUUUGAAACUCUUAAGAUUAAACUUCAGUAAAGUUGUUUCAGUUAUCCAUGUAAUCAGGCUAAGGAUAUUUAGCAGCUUAUUUAGGCAACUGCCAGAAUUCAGUUUGUUUGCUCGAAACUUGUAUGGUGACAAGGAUACUGGCAAGGAUAGUGAGAUAGAUUUUUGUGUGAGUGAAUUUUGAAAGCUUGGGUGUUCUGGGAUUUGCAAUUGCAAUCAUCCUCUGCUUUAGGUGAUUUCUUCUCCUGUUCUGUCUUUAUUUUCUCUCUAAUUGAAAGCAUAAAGUAUUUCAAUCAAAUUCUGUACCAGGAAUACGAAAAACUUACUAAUAUUUUAUUUCCAUCUGUUUGCAUUGAUAACUUGGCCGCAUAUGUACUAGUUAAAGAACAAACAGAAGCAGAGUUCAGGAAAAAGUUUCUUCGGCCACCAUAUUUGAAAAUGAAACCAUUUCCAGGAAGCAGUUGGCAGCAAAUUCAUACAAAGUACAGACAAUGAUGAGCAAAAAGGUGAUUCGCAAUUUCAUUUUUUAAAAAUGAAAUUAUUUGUUAAGUUGGAGCUGAUAUUGUUAGAAGGCCAUUGAGCUAACCUAUGACACUACUUGCCUAGAUUGCAGGAGGUCAAGACUCAAAAGAUGCACUGAAUUUUAAAAGGCAUGCAAUAAUUCUUAUGGCCAUUUGUCAAUGGUGGAAUGCUUUUAGCUUCUUUUCCUUUCGUGCAUUUUGGGGUUCUAUCAAGCGACAGCCGUAUGCAUGGAUGGAUAUAGCCGCUGCGUUGAUUUCUAAUGCGUUGUAUGAUGUUAUAGCAACUAUCCAUCUGGUCAAUGUUUCAAAAGAAUAAAACACAGGGAAAAAGAGAAAGCAAGUGGCCAAUCAAGUAUUCAUGUCCCAAAGAAAAGAAUGAUUCGACAAUAGCAUUAAGGGUUAAUUGGACACAAGAGAAGUGUUUUAACCACUUCAAGGAAUGUAAAUGUAAUUUUCUAUUCUGAAGAAAAAGUAAAUAUAUGCACUGUCAAUUAAUCUUUGGUCAACCAGCAACAUUCAUAAUUUCGUGUAAGUUUCAUUUCUGUUUGUUGGAAAUAGCAGUGUAUUUCUUAGAGUUUGUAAAAAAUGGAAAGAUUUUAAAAUAUAAAUUUCACAUCUGUUUAUUACUGUUGUUUGAUCUAUUUUCUUAUGUAGAAUUUUCGGAAUCUGUAGGACAUUAAUUUAUAAUUUUGAGAUUUUGUAGCCAUAAAUGUUUUUGUUCUUUUUUUCUUUUUUUUGUUGGCAUUUUAUUUUGCUCCUUUAUCUAUAUGCAUGUUGACUAAAGCUAAUCUAGAAUCAAUAGAGAGGGAUAUUUAUCUAUUUUGUUUAACAUAAGAGUGCUGUAUAAUUUUUCACUAAAUACACCUACAACAAACUAUUAAUAAUAAAGUGAUAGAAGAAUGCCUAAUUUUUCGUACUUUUUAAUUUCUUUCAGCCCUAAAAUAUAGGUAUUAAUGUCAUAAUAAGCCCAUGUGGAUCUCAGUGCCGCAAGUUCGAUAAAUGGCUAUCAAGGAUUACUUAUUAAGUCAAAAGUAUUCAAAGGACAAAAUGGUAAAACUAUAAGGGUGGAGUAAGAUGGCUACCUUGGGUUACAUAGUAAGUCGACUACAUUCAAAGGAUAAAAUAUUAGAACCUGAACGGCGGAGUAGUCGUCGUUAGAACCUGAACGGCGGAGUAAUCGUCGUUAGAAUCUGAAUGAUAUGUCUAAGACGUUGCAUGCAUCAAGAAAAUUGCAGAUGAUUAAACCUUGCCAUCCAUGCGUUGUAUGAGGUUAUAGCAACUAUCUAUCUGGUCACCGUUUUAAAAGAAUAAGACAAAGGGAAAAAGAGAAAGAAAAGAAUGAUUCGACAAUGGCAUUAAAGUUCAACGUACCCCAAGAUCUUGUAAUAAUGCCAUUAAUCAUUCUCUAGCUAGGCUAGCCUUAGAGAAAAGUGAAACUGUUGCACAGGUAGAAUCACACCCCUCAGAGAUAAUGUAUUUAUUCAGCUCUUCGAAUGAAUGAAGUUUAUUUUCUCGUCAAAAAAAAAAACUGCUCGCUCCGCUGGUUUCAUACAAUGUCAACUAGAAACAUCAUACUUUCGUGUAAGUUCAUUUCAGAAUAUUUCUUAGAGUUUGUAUAAAAUGAAAAGAUUUUAAAAUAUAAAUUUAAUAUUUGUUUAUUACCGUUGUUUGGUCUAAUUUCCUCGGGAGAAUUUUCAGAAUUUAUAGGACAUUAGUUUAUAAUUUUGAAAUUUUGUAACCUAAAUGAUUUUUUUUUCGGUUACCAUUUUGUUUUCCUGCUUUAUCUACGUGUAUGUUGACUAAAACUAAUCUAUUUUGUUAAACCUUUACCACUCUAGACAUUGCACUAAAUAUGAGUUCGUGAUGCUUGCAUUUUAUUGAUGCUGAUGAUUCGUUGAAUGUUUUAUGUUUUUGAUUUUUAAGUAUUCCGGAUCGAAGUUUGUGUCUACGCGGAAAUUGUAAAGGCAGCAUAUAAAGUACUCGUCGUUCUUUAGAUUUUAUUGAGUACACUUUUGUCACAUUUAGCGUAUGCUAUACACUACUGAUUUGCGCAUUGACAUAUAUCUUUUUUUUUUAUGAGAGGGGGCUCGUCAAAACGAGCUAAACAGGAACAAACCGGGGGUUAGAAAUCCCAAACAAGUCUUGCGAAAUGAUAGAAUAAACACCCAUAGGAGGGUUAGAGAACACAUGGAGGCCAAGAGGAGCUGAAUGAGCCAUAUUAGCCAUGAAAUCCGCAGCUGAGUUUGCUUCGCGAUAAAUAUGGGUGAUAGCAGUCUGCCAAUUUCUACUUAGUAAUUCCCGGACAGCUGAUAAUAAAGCAGUGAACGCAUUAGGAACAACCACCUGCUUAGAAAUCAUUUGUGUAAUACAAAUACUAUCCACUUCCACCAACAACCGUUUUAUGCCUACAUCCCAAGCAAGAAUUAGGCCCUGAUACAGCCCCCAAAGCUCAGCCAUAAGCACUGACCUGUCCCCAAUUUUCAUACAAAAGCCGGAUACCCAAUGACCAACUGAGUCUCGAAUAACACCUCCCGCUCCUGCUUCCCAAGUAUUUUUACAGGAGCCAUCUGUAUUUAAUUUACACCAUGGCCAAGGCGACGGCAGCCAAUGAAUAUAAAUCUCCUGUCUCCUCGGCUGCUGGCUUAGGCAAGAAUUAUUUACUCUGCAAAUUUCUUUAGCUCUCGCCAUAACAUCCAUAUAGAUUGUUAGACUAUCCACCAGCUUUCCCUCAAAGAAAAAAUGGUUCCUCCAGAACCAUAGCCUCCAAACUACCACACCAAAGAUACAAUCCCAGGGGAGGGGAGACCCAAUCUUCCAUUUAUUUUGCAGGUUCCCAGCAAUCCAUUCUCGUAAGUUCGAAUUGAAGAAAGUGUUAUGACUGGCCAUCGGAACAAGCUUCCGCCAAACCUGCUUGAUACAGCUGCAGUCUCUCAAUGCAUGGAGGAUAUCUUCAACCGCACCCCCACACCUAUCACAAUCCUCAGGAACAUUAAUAUGGCGCCUAACAAGUUCAUCACGAGUCUUGAGUUUCCCAUGCAUAAGCUGCCAAAGAAAAAGGCGGAUGGAUUGAGGCCCCUUCCAACUCCAUGGAAGCUUCCAAUUUCUGUCAUGAACAGCAGCUUGAUGAUAGCAAAGUGAUUCAUAAGCUGACCGAACCGAAAACAUGCCGCUUGGAUCAAAGCCCCAGUAAAUAAUAUCAGCCCCAAGAUGAGGAGCCGGAGGCAAGACUGAAGCAAUCUGCAUGAGAAUACCAUGCGGCAGAAGAUGCUCAAAGCUCGACCAAUUCCAUCCCCCAUGCCCAUUCGUAAAGUCACUCACAGUGGCAUUGAUAAGCUCGUGAGGAAUCGGCAAGAUGGCAAGGCUGAUCAGAGGAUAUUUCGUAGCCCAACAAUCAACCCAGAAUCGAGUUCUAACACCAUCACGAACUGACCAGCGAGCUCCCUGCACUGUUGCCAACCACGUGCUACGAAUAGCCCUCCAAAUCUGAGAACCCGGUUUGUCUGAAAGAGACAUUGGUAGGUUGCGAGACUCCAAACCAUAUUUGGAGCAGAAGACUUGCACCCACAGUUUAUCCGAAUUGGAAACAACCUCCCAGCUCAAUUUCAUCAACAUCGCCUGAUUCAUUUCGUCCAUUUUUUUGAAUCCCAGGCCUCCAUGUUUUUUCGGCUUGCAAAUUUUGUCCCACCCCACCAUACUCAUCUUGUGACUCUUUGAAUUCCCAUCCCAAAUAAAUCUUCGACAAGCUUUGUCUAUUUUAUGUCUCACUGGAGAAGGAAGUAAGGUCGUUUGCAUGGCAUAAACAGGCAUUGCUUGCAGGACUGAUUGAGCCAGAGUGACGCGUCCAGCAAAAGAUAGAUGAGCCGCGUUCCAACCAGUUAACCGCUUAUCCACUUUAUCAAGGAUGGAUUGAUACGUGUAUUUAUUAACCCGCGAAUGGAUUAAGGGCAUUCCAAGAUAAUCACCCAAAUUAUUUGUGGCCGAAACUCCCAAAGUCGAGCCUAUGAUAUUGGCAUCCCGAGAAGCGACAUUUUUUGAGAAGAAAACUUUAGUUUUCAUUUUGUUGACUUUUGCUUCCGAACUCCUACAAUAAUUAUCCAGAACAGCAUCUACGACAUAAGCUUGAUCAAUUGAAGCUUCCGCAAAUAAAAGCAAAUCAUCUGCAAAAAAGAGAUGCGUUAAAGGAGUUCCAUAUUUGGCCAACCGGAUAAGCCUCCAUCUCCUCUCCAUCACCGCUUGGGUUAUACCAUGGCUUAACCGUUCAAUGCACAGAACAAAAAGAUAAGGCGAGAGGGGAUCGCCCUGACGGAUACCCCUUCCCGGAGUGAAAGCUUAUGUCGCCUCGCCAUUCCACAAAAUACGCAUACUAGCUGAAGUUACGCAUUCCAUGAUUAGUCUAGAUAAGUGAAUUGGAAUACCAGUCUGGUUAAGCGUAUCAAAAAUGAAAUCCCAACUGAGCCGGUCAUAAGCCUUCUCAAGGUCGACCUUAAUGGCCAUAAAUCCUUUCCUGCCAGUUUUUCUGCGCAUAGAGUGAACUACUUCCUGAGCCACUACAAUAUUAUCUACUAUAUGCCUCCCAGGAACAAAGCUCGUCUGAUUGGGGCUUAUUAGAUUGGGCAGCAGUGUUUGCAAUCGAGUGGCUAUAAUUUUAGUCACCGUCUUGUAGGCCACUGUGUAUAGGCUUAUGGGCCUAAACAUCUUUAAGCUAGUGGGGUGCUCCUCUUUAGGAAUCAAAACCAAGAGGGUAGUAUUUAUCUCUUGCGGCACCUUCCCCGUUGUAAAAAUAUCAUGAAUAAACCUGCAAAACGACGGACCAACCACAUGCCAUUGGGAUUGAUAAAAUAUAGCGUGCAAACCAUCCGUACCUGGGGCUUUCAGCGGCUUCAUGCUAAACACAACGUUCCGAAUUUCCUCCCUCAAAAUUGGGGCUGCAGCCCCAUCUACGUCAUGAGAAUCCAAGGCUGGGAAAAAGUUUGGAGCAUGGUAAUUCCGAUAAGUUGCAUUAUCACUUGUAAAUAGGUCAGAAAAAUACCCCACUACAUGCCUCCUUAUAUCCUCCUCAUCAUAUAGCCAAUUCCCCGAACAGUCUCGGAUGGCCUCAAUUCUAUUCCGCCGCCUUCGAGCAAUGGUUUUUUGGUGGAAAAAAUUCGUAUUUCUGUCCCCAUGCAGAAGCCAAUCCUUUCGAGAUUUCUGAAGCCAAAGAAUUUCCUCCGAUUCAUCACCAUUUCGAGCUCAUUUUGCAUGCGGGCUUAUAAGCGCAACAAACUGUUAGAGCUAUAAUUCUCUAGAGUAGCUUGAAUUCCAUUAAUCCGAGCCAUAAGCCGGCGUUUUCUCUGAAAGAUAUUCCCAAACACAUCUCGAUUCCAAGCUUGAACCUCCUGGACAAAAUGAGAGGCUGCUGCACUAUAAUGGAUUUGCGGAUUCCACACCCGCUUAAUAAAGUUAUGAAAAUGCUCGUGAGUUAACCAAGCAGCCAAAAAGCGGAAAGGCCUGUUCCUCCUGUGACCGGCCACAGCUCUCUCAAACCGAACCAGCACCGGCCUGUGAUCCGAGGCAACCUUCGGGAGGUGGAGGACAGAAUUAUUCGGAUACUUAUGUAGCCAAUCACUAUUGCACAGAGCUCUAUCAAGCCGUUUAAAGAGCAAUCCACGUGACCAAGUAAACCUUGGACCUUUAAACUUUAAAUCAAAAAUUUGGUGCCCAUCAAACCAUUUCCGAAACAGAUUACACACUCCUGGGUUCCUGGCCUCACCCCCCUGCUUUUCAGAGGCAUAUAAGAUAGAAUUGAAAUCCCCACCUAUCAGCCAAGGGCCUCGAAUUGAAGGCGCAAGGUUCUCCAUAUGGCUCCACAACUGUCUCCUUAGCAUUGGAUUUGGGCUGGCAUACACAGCCGUUACCCAAGACACAAAGGUCUUAUUCAUACAAAAUUUAAAGUGAAUGAACUGCCUAUGAUUAAUUAAGACUUCCACCUCUAUGGAAUUUCGCCAAAGAAGCCAAAUUCCUCCAGAAAAACCCACAGCUUCCACCCGGUGCGAAUACUCAAAUCCACUUUUCUUUAUAAAGUCAUCGGCUUUAGCACCACUAGUGCGAGGUUCCAUUAACACCACCAUCGAUGGAUUGUAGUUUUUAAUAAUUGUUUUAAACGAGCGCCUAAAUACCCCCGAGGCUGCCCCUUGUACAUUCCAGAACAUGAUACUAGCUGACAUAAUAAAAAUAACAGGAGAGAAACAAACGUCUACUGCUGCUGUCCAAGGACUUCCUCCAUCCACGCCAAUGGCGUUUCUUGAACCAUCUCAACUUCAUUCUCAACCAUCCCAUCGCCAUCAACACCAUUUAUAGGUACAACUGGAUGGUUAUGAGCACUGUCACCUUCAUUCACCCGAUGGAUGGUUUGAUCAUCUGGAGGGUCUGCUACUUGUUGUGGAUCCGGACCUUGCCUCUCUAUGUGUUCCGCGGUCACGUCCCUUUCAUCACCAUUAGGAAGGGUUUGGGAGGAGCAAACAAACACUGUGUGUUUAGAGGGGUCCAGGGUGGUUGCGAAUGGUGCCACGAGUUGAUUGCUAGAAGCUUUCUGAGGGAAAAUAUGGGGUUCAAAGCUUCGGUUUGCAUGAGGUAGGAUGGAUAUUUCCUUCUCUCUGGUGCUGAAGACACUAGGCUGGAGAGGGUUACAGGUAGGAGUUACUGGGACGUUUGGUUUCCUGCUCUGAUUCCUUGCUGCCACGGCCUUAUUUUGCGGCUUACGACGAGCCAUAGUCUUUGCUGAGGUAUCUGCUCUGGCUGUGAAAGUAUGGUUUGAUGCGGGCAUGAAAGGUUGCCGUGAGGUGGAAGGGAAGUCUGGGCAAGCCUCAUGCACAUGGUUUCCACCUUCAUCCGAGACUUUGGAUAAUAUGUGAAACCGUGAGGUACCAGCUCCAGUAAACUCCCUAUUACGGUUUGAGUCUCCAGUGUUCUCCUUACCAAUAUUCGGCUUCCUUCCUCUCCUAGUGGCAAUCAUCCAGGGUCCGAAUAGUUCCACAUUAUUAUCACCAUUACUACCUACAGCCUGCUGGCCAGGAGCCUCAUUUUCCGGCACUGCCUGUUGGGGUUGACCAGCAUCUUCAGGGCUUGUCGAACUCUUAGCAUCCUUACAGUUGCUGCUACUAUGCCCGUAAGAUUCCACACUUAUAACAAAUUACUGGCAAUCCCUCGUAUUCCACCUUCUGGAUCUUCCCAUCCAAUUCAAACUGAGAUACCAGCGGCCUUGUUAACGAGAUACUUACUGCAAGACGUGCAAAUCUUCCACGAGAUGAGGAGGCUGUAUUCGAAUCGAUUUUAAUCACGUUACCCACUAACUGACCCAGCUUCUGUAGAACUUUUCGAUUAUAAAGAUGAACCGCAAGGCCUGGUAAACAGAUCCAUACCGUGACUUGAUCAAGAUCCGCAUUUGUGAAAUCAAAAGAGGGUGUCCAUGGCUGCACAGUUAAAUAUUGACCCAUUAUAAGCCACGGUCCCUUAGUUAAAACAUCCAUAGCAUCCCCUACCGAUCUGAAACGAACCAGAUAAUAAUUGUUUUCCAAGUCAAUCACGGAAAAACCCAUGGCUGAUUUCCACAUGACAUUUAAUCUUGCACACAUAGCUCUAUAGCCAAUUGUGCGGCCAAGCAACUUCACAACCACCGAGUUCUUCCAAGGCUCACUUAACUUAGCAUGAACCCUAGCCGAAAAAGUGAUGGAUGGCAUGGGUCCCUCGUUAGUUUCAAUAAUGUCUCCUUCCUCAAAAUCCCAGUCCUCUAGUCCACCUCCAAUUCCUUGCUCCAUCGCUUGUGUUGCAUUCACUAGGGUUUCUUUGUACGAAAACUGUACAGUGGUAUCCCCAGCAUGUUCUUCAUCACGAAAUCUUGCUUUUUUAAUCGUUCUAGCCUCCCUAAACGGCGGGGGAAAAAUCCCUCCGGAGUUAGGGUUUCCUUCACGUCCGAGGUUUUCGGAGCCUUCCAUAUGGUGUUGAUCUUUUUAAGUCACUCGUUUCAAUAUUUCAUUUAUUUCCUUUUCAAGCUAACAAUUAAUGUAUAUGAAUGUGCGGAUGCAUUGACAUAUAUCUUAUUUUAUCAUUUUGAAUGAAUUGCACGGCGAGGCUUAUCAACUUUGGAUGAAUCCUCCAAUUGUCGCAGUCCAAGACUGGCUGCAGUGAGUGAAAAUUUACCCAUAUAUAUGCUGGCUAUUUUUAUUGGCGACGAAUUCGUUGUAGUUGGUCCAUCUUGCUAUUCUCGGACAAUAUUAGAGAAAAUAAUCAUAUUAUUUCGCGUGAUGUGACCUUCCAUAACGUAUCAAUUGAAUUACUGUAAAAUUAUUGUGUAAGUUUAGGCCCAAUGGCACUUUAGUUCAUCACAUGAUAGCCUGGAUUUAAAAGGAAAACUAUAUUGCAUUGCUUCAAAAAAAAAAUUUAAUGUUUUUAAUAUGAAUAUUUUUAACUAUAUUCAGUUAAAAUAAUAUAUUCUUAAUAUUAAUAUUCAUAGAUGAAAUUCUUUUGCGGAUUUAAGAAUAAAAUAUCAAAUAGUUUUAUUUUUCUUUUGUUGUGUAACUUGGACCGAAAAAGAAAAUGAGCUUAACAUGACCCUCCUUCCGGCACUAUGCAUGUUUUUCUUUUAUUUUUCUUGUAUUGAUGACAGUGCUCUUGGUGCUUCUCAUCUGCUUCUUGCUUUGGUUUCAAACAAGUCUUUCUCCGUCGAGACAUUUAUUGUAAUUUGAUUUGGAGACAUCUGUCGUUCAAAUAUAUUUCAUAUGCAAGCUGUUGAUAAUUCUGCUUGAGAAAGCCUUCAAAGCAGCUGUGUGAUGUAAUAGAAGACUAUAUAUGCAAGCGGGUACCGAGCUCGAAUUCUUUCUUGAGUUUCUUUGAAUUAUUUGUGAAUGAGUUCUUAAUCGGCUGCUGCUCUUCAGGAAAAGGAAAGUGUUGCAAACUGGUGAAGCUGAUCGAUAAAAGCAAUGUACCAUCUUUGCUGCCAUGGAUCGAUGCCAGUGAGUUUUUUAAUUUGUCAACCUUUUUAAUAAUGCAUAUGUGUUUCUUCAACUUGAAGCGGCAUUUAAGACGAAAGAAGUGAUCUUUAAAGCAUUCUAUAGCAUUAUCCUUUCCUAUUAUAUAUAUCCAAUUGCUCCAAAUUAUUUGUAAAUUACUGAACACGAAUGCUGAUGAAUAAACUGAUGGCUCUAUGUAUGUAUGCACAUGCAUGGAGAAAUUUUAAGUCAGACAUUCCCAUAUAUAACUCGUGCUACCAAAUCAUUAAAUAAUCUUGAAAUCAAAGUAAUAAUUAAAUACAAAUAAAUUGCUCGAAUUGUACAUAUAUCUGAAUCAUGUAGUGAAGAAAAUACAACAACAACAACCAAUGGCUCAAAUUCCCCAUCAACUUCUAAUCUCAACACUUUUGAGUGUCAGAAGCAUUACUCUGCUACCAGUUAACAAACAUAUAAUUAGUAAUUUGCCAUUCACUUCCCUUUUAGGCCUAACACAUUUUCUAUAAAGGAGCCACAGAGUGAACUCAGCAGGAAACACUCAAUUUCAACCUACGUAGGACCAGGAAUUUCAACCAAAAAAAAAGUGUGCAAUUGCUUAUCCUAUCCUAUUGCUACUAGAAAGAAAGUGAACAAUUAAUUUCAGUGAAUAAAUUAAAAAAAAUUACUUCUGCAGAUACUCAAGCUAAGAACACAUUAACCCAUUAAAGACUCCAAAUUGCAUCAAACAAAUUGUUGUUAAACAAGUAAAACAAAGAAAGAGAGUUAAGGAAGCUGACCUAGUAGUAGGGGAGCUGAAGAAAGACUGCCAGUGAAUGUAAGAGAAAAUAAAAUGCAAUAAAUGGUGAAGUGCAGCUUUUCAUGUCAACUUGAAAUUGUUUCUUCUGUUUUUUUUUUUUUUAAUCUUUUGGAUUUUUAAAACAAAGAAAAUGAGGAGCAACCAGGGAGAUAAAAAGGGCGCCAAGGCAACUGUGUGUUGGGUUUAGAGCCCAAAAAAAAAGGAGGAUAAGACAUCGUGUUCUUGUGGAGACCAGACCUAUUACGUAACGUCCCCUUCAAUACCACUUGUUCCGUAUCUGGUUUUUUCUUCGUCUUUUACAUAUUUAUCCUGUGAUUUUACAAUAACUAAAUAAUCCCCGCAUAGUUUGCAAUUUUAUUCAUUUGAGCCCUACAGAUUUCAGUAAUAGGUAGAGUUGGCAAAACGGGUCAUCGGGUCGUGUUCGUGUCAUGUCAAAUUUAAGUCGACCCAAACCCGACCCAUUUAAUAAUCGUGUCAAAAUAUUGAGACCUAAAUCCGACACGGAAAAAUAAUCGGGUUACCCAAUAACUCGUUUAAUAUCAAUAUAUUGAACAAAAGUUACAUCAAAUAUUUACACACUAUCAUACAUACAUACAUAAUUUAUCGAUAUUAUAAAAUAUAUAUAUCUACUAAUAUAUUACACAUUUACACUAUUGAGGUUUUAAUUAUAUAUAUAUAUAUAUAUAUACCUACGAUGAUUGUUUAAGCCGCGGUAAACGCUUCUAGAACGCCCUCUGGCAGGAAGGAAGGUACUCAAAGAAAGUGGAGAUGAGGGAAACUCCGCUGGAGUGAGGGGAUUUAUCGGAAUCUCGUUCAGAGUGAGGAGUCAAUGAGGGUUUGCUUGUACUUGUGGUUCUAUUGAUAGGUGUUUGCAAUGGGCUUUCGUCUCAGGUAGUUCAGUCUCCGGGGUUACGCUUAGUUUCAUAUAAAAUAAAUGAAGAAGACAGCUGGACUUCAGAGUGGGAUCCUCCUAUGUUGUCGGCUGUUUGUUUGUCCGCAGCUAUUACAGCUUGUGCUCGAAUAUAUAUGUAUCCAUAUAUUUCCAGAUAUUAUAUAUCAAUAUAUAUAUAUAUUAUUUAUCAAUAUUAUAAAAUCUACAUAUCUAUCAAUUUUUUCACAUUUACACUAUUGAAGCUCUAAAUGUAUUUAAAAUUUUAUAAAUAAAAUAUUAUGUUUAUAUUCACCCUUUUAAAGAAUAAAAAAGAAAAUCAUUACUAAUAUUUGAGUUUUAAUGAUAAGAAUAUGUAAAUUAUUUUAAAAUAGAAAAUAUAAUCGGGUCAUUGAUCGGGUAAAUGGGUCAAGAAUUUUAACUCUAACCCGACACGGAAAAAAAUCGUGUUGACCCGGACCCGACCCAUUUAAUAAUCGUGUUAAAUUUGACGACCCAUAUUCAUUUAUUUAUGUCGUGUUCGUGUCGAGUAAUCGGGUCGUGUCAAAUUUUGCCAGCUCUAGUAAUAGGAAUUAUUAAGGGACAAGAGCGCAAAACAAAAACUCUGUCCACUACUGAUGAUAUAACAACGAACCUUUGUUUUUUUCUUCUUUUUUUUUUACAAAAUAUCAUUAGAGAAAUGAAAAUAUUAACUAACAUCACCCUACUGAUGAUAUAACAACGAACCUUUGUAGUUUCUGCCUGUUAAUAUGAAUUGAUCAGGAGUGUUUCCUCACUUAAAAAUUACGAAUUUACAAAUAUGUAUGUAAGUAUGUAUGUAUGUACGUACGUACGUGAGUAUGUAUGUACAUAUAUGCAUACACCUAUGUAACAUUUACUUAUCCAUCCUUUUGAGUUUAAAACUUAAUACACAUUUUCAUGAAAUUUUUAUUUUAUUAAGUAUACAACUACAGUAAUGUAUAUAUUUUUUAUAUAAGACAUGCCGUCAUAUUAUUCAUAAGUAAAACAAUGUGUUGUAAAUAGUUUAAUUAUUAAAUAUCAUACAAUAUCUUUCAACAACCGGCAAUAGACCUUUACCCAUUUUUCUUUUUCGACCAUUAGAUUCAUUCAGUUUACAUCCAACGGCAGUUUAGGAUGGAGACAAAAAGUGUGGUACGUUACCACAGUGGUAACAUUGGAUUGGGAUUGUAUGUCGUGUUUAAUUUGAAUUGGUUGAUUCCUCUAAUGAAUUAUUUUGAUAAAUUUAGUAGCAGUAUUUGGCGGCAAAAGUAUCAUUAAUUUUUGGAAAUAUGAUUAUGUUAUUAAUUAUUUUAGCAUUCUAAAAAGUCAAUGGUUAUGUUGGAAAUACUCUAAGGUAGAAUAGAGUACAAAUCACAGUCACACAUACAAAAUGAUAAAUAAUAAAAAAUAUAUUAUAUUUUUGAUCAUAUGAUUAUGAAGACGUAUUUUACCUUAAAGAAGUUCUAAUAAGCGAAUUCUUCUAAAACAAUAUAAAAUUUCUUUUUUAUCAUACUCAACCGCUUCAAACUUCUAAGAAGUAGAUAUACAAUGAGUGGAAUACUGAAUUGAGUGCGAGCUGCGGAUAAUAUAUAAAAUUGGGAUACAAGCUUCAAGGAAAGUGUAUUGCUAUUCAAAUGUAGAUUUCAAAUUAAGAAGAUAUGCCAGCAAAUUGUAUAAAAAUGUAUAAAUUGAUCAGUAACAUUAAUUCCAAAUGAUGAAAUGAGUUAUCUUGAUCAAAAGGUCAAGAACCUACCUUACUUCUCUUAGAGAUAACUUGCAUCAACCGUUGUGGUAUUGAUACUUGUCUUCAGCUAGUAAAAGACUAAAAGUGAAAGUUUCACAAUUGAAAUAAAGCUAAGGGAAGAUGCUAUGCUCCAUUUAUUAUUAUUAUUAUUGAUGUGGUCGAGAAGUAAAGCCAUGCAUAUGAUGAAGUAUAAAUAAGAAUGCAAUAGCCCGGAAUUCAUUUACACAAACACUUCAAUAUCCUUUUGAUCACUUUUGCAAACAUCAGUUUGUCUCUUGUAUUCACCAUGGUUGAUGCCAUCGUUUCCUCUCUUGUGGAGCAGCUGACUUCCUUCGCUGCUAAAGAGAUAAUACAACAGGUGAUCGAAGUUACACCCCCCAUAUUAUAAAUACUUCUAAUGAUUUUAAUUGGUUUUGUUUUUAUCGGAAACAUUAACUUUGCUUUAUUUUAUUUAUUUAGGCAUUUUAAAUUUUAAAAUUUGAAUUGAAUUCAAUUAAAAUGUGAUGUAGCUAGUAACCACUUUUUUUAUUUCAUUUAUAUUCUCAAUAACUACCCAUAUUUUGGUAACUUACUGUAACCCCCGUAUCUAAGAAAUGAUUAAAACCCACAAUUUUAACUCCACAUAAAUAUUCCAUGUUGAGCUAAGUUUUUGCAUAACAUUCAAGUUUGUUAAAUAGUCAUUAAUUUAAUGUUUAGUAAAAACUUAUCUCUGAAAAUUUUCAUAAUUUUCUUACAUUCUUUGAGUUUGGUGAGUGACUUCAUAUAAUUUCUUUUCAAUUUAAAUUUUAAUUUGGUUUCUGAUAUAGUCUCUUUACUGAAUUUAUAUCUUUUAUGAUUCUUGGAUUUUGGGCUCCAACUUUUUAGGAUUUGAUAGUCACAUUUUAUGGCAUGCUUAGAUUGAUUUUCAUGAUUUGAGUACUCGUUAAGUGACUGAGAAUUUGACAAAAGUUUGAAAGGAAAUCCGUUUCACGAUUCUUAUGUGGAAGGUUCGUAAAAUCAUGAAAUUUGGAUAGGAUUCGCUAGCAAUAUGUACAAGACUCUUCAUGAAGUUUCAUAAUUUUUCGUUCGGUCUGGGGUGGUACAGGUGAAACUUGUGGUUGGUGUUAAAGAAGAAGUGAAAAGCCUUAUCAGCCACCUUCAAGCCAUUCAAGCUGUGCUCGAUGAUGCAGAGGAAAAGCAAGUGAAGGACAAAGCUGUUAGACAUUGGCUGGGCAGGCUCAAGUAUGCAUCCUACGACAUUGAAGAUGUGUUGGAUGAGUGGAUCACAGCUAGACACAAAUUGCAAAUUGAGGGUGGCGUUGAUGACAAUGCUCUUGCUGCUCCUCAAAAGAAAAAGAAGGUAUGUUUCUGCUUUCCUGCCUCUUGUUUUGGAUUCAAACAAGAAGAAUUUGGUUUCAGACAAGUCUUUCUACGUUAUGACAUUGCCAACAAGAUCAAAGAAAUGAAUAAAGAGCUACAUGAUAUUGCCACUCAAAAAGACAUGUUUAAUCUUGUUAAGAGUGGCAAUAAAAGUGGUGAAAGACCAAGGCGUGUACAGAGUACCUCCUUGAUUGAUGAGGAAGAGAUUUGUGGUAGAGUUGGUGAGAAGAAUGAACUCAUAAGCAAGCUGUUGCGUGAGAGUAGCGAGCAACAAAAAGGCCUCCAUAUGAUCUCAAUUGUUGGUAUGGGAGGCAUAGGGAAAACUACUCUUGCACAACUAGCUUGUAAUGAUGACGUGGUGAAGAGAAAGUUCGACAAAAUUCUGUGGGUGUGUGUAUCAGAAACUUUUGAGGAGUUUAGGGUUGCCAAAGCAAUCGUUGAAGCUUUGGAUGGUCGUGAAUCUCAUUUAGGUGAAUUCCAAUCUCUUCUUAAACAUAUUGAUGAAUCCAUUGCAGGGAAGAGCUUUCUUCUUGUCUUAGAUGACGUGUGGGAUGGAAAUUACUUGAAAUGGGAACCAUUCUAUCGUUGUCUAAAGAAUGGUCUCCAUGGAAGUAAAAUUUUAGUUACCACACGUAGUGGGUCCGUUGCAUCCACGAUGGGAUCCAUAGAUAUUAUUCCCAUUGAGAAAUUAGCUGAAGAGGAAUGUUGGUUGUUGUUUAACAAGAUAGCAUUUUUUGGUAGGCCUAUCGAGGAACGUGAAAAAUUCGAACGAAUUGGGCGAAGAAUUGCUGGCAAGUGCAAAGGUUUACCUCUUGCAACAAAGACAAUAGGUAGUCUCAUGCGUUCUAAACAAACUGAAGAAGAGUGGAAAAGAAUUUUAAAUAGUGAUUUAUGGAAAGUAGAAGAGAUUGAGAAAGAUGUUUUGUCCUCUUUAUUGUUGAGUUACAAUGAUUUGCCAUCUAGAGUAAAAAGAUGUUUUUCAUAUUGUGCUCUCUUUCCAAAAGACUACGAUAUAGAAAAAGACAAACUAAUCACAUUGUGGAUGGCUCAAGGUUAUCUUAGUGCAGAAGAAGAUGAGGAGAUGGAGACUAUAGGUGAAGAGUAUUUUAGCAUCUUAGCUUCUCGCUCUUUCUUUCAAGAGUUUAAGAAAAGUUAUGAUAAUCGGAUUAUAGAGUGUAAGAUGCAUGAUAUGGUACAUGAUUUUGCCCGAUUUGUAAGUCAAAAUGAAUGUUUUUCGAUGGCAAUUAAUGGUAGUGAAGAACCAAACGCCACAAACUCUGUUGAUGAGAAGGUCCGUCAUUUAAUGUUAAUCUUUAGUAUAGAGGCUUCAUUACCUGUUUCCACUCCUAGAGUUAAAAGAAUGCGUACCCUCUUAAUUAACGAUAGUAGAUCUGAUCAAUCAUUAUUAAAUGGUGAGAUCCUAGAAGAAUUGUUUAGGGAAUUGACAAGUUUAAGGGCAUUAGAUUUUGACAAAUUGUACCACUCAAUUUGGUCUUCGACUCUGGAGAUUCCGAGAAACAUAGAAAAGCUGGUACAUUUAAGAUACCUUAAUUUGUCUUCUCAGAAAAUAGUGGAGCUACCGGAGACAUUGUGCGAGUUAUAUAAUCUAGAAAAGUUAGAUAUUAGUUUUUGUUUUGAUCUUAGAGAAUUACCUGAAGGGAUUGGGAAGUUAAUAAACAUGAAGCAUUUACUAAAUUAUGAUACUGAUUCUUUAAGGUACAUGCCAGUAGGGAUUGGGAGAUUAACGGGUCUUAGGACCUUGGAUGAGUUCCACGUGAGUGCAGGAGGAGCUGUUGAUGGUAGGAAAGCAUGUAGGCUUGAAUCUCUUAAAAACUUGGAACACCUUCAAGUAUGUGGUAUACGUAGACUGGGUGAUGUAUCAGAUGUGGGCGAGGCUAAGCGAUUAGAACUUGACAAAAAGAAAUACCUCUUCAGUUUGACCCUUGAGUUUGAUAAGAAGGAGGAAGAAGAAGGAGAAAGAAGGAAGAACGAGGACGAUCAACUUCUUCUUGAAGCCCUGCGACCACCUCUGGAUUUAAAGGAAUUAGAGAUACGGUUCUACCGAGGCAACACUGUUUUCCCCAGCUGGAUGACGUCAUUAACCAACUUAAAGAGUUUAAAACUCUCUUUCUGCGAAAAUUGCGAGCAGCUGCCUCCUUUGGGAAAAUUGCCGUCCCUUGAACAGCUCUUCAUAUCGUACAUGUCGAGUGUGAAAAGAGUGGGUGAUGAAUUUUUGGGGAUAGAAAGUGAUCAUCAUGGCUCAUCUUCAUCUUCAUCGGUUAUUAUUGCCUUCCCCAAAUUGAAAUCACUUUCAAUUGAGUUUCUGUGCGAAUUGGAGGAGUGGGAUUAUGGGAUUACAAGAACGGGAAACACCGUCAUCAACAUCAUGCCACGUCUUUCUUCCUUGACAAUUGCUCUUUGCCCCAAAUUAAAGGCACUGCCCGACCACAUUCAUCAAACGACAACAUUGAAGGAAUUGCACAUUUGGGAUUGCAGGCUUCUGGAAGAACGUUAUUGCAAGGGGGAAGGAGAAGACUGGCCUAAGAUAUCACACAUUCCCAACCUCCAUAUUGGGCAUUGACAAGUAAUUUCUUCUCUUACUCUGAUUUGCUUUGUUGUUGUUUUUAAUCUAAUUAAGAAGCGUAAAUAGCAUUUUGAAUCAAACUCUAUAUCAGAAAUCUGCAAUACUUACUUUCUAAUAUUCUGAUUUUCAUAUCCUAUGAAUAUACGAUUUUUAAUUUGUGAGAUGGGUAACGUUACUGUAAAAGAUUAUUAAUGCAAUAUGAGUAAUUCUUUUGCAGGACAAGUGACCUACAUUUAGUUUGGCUUUGGAGUUGAAUAAUAACCUUUCGGGAACUGGUGUGGACUGGCAAAGGAUGAUGAGAUAGUUUUUUGAGUGAGUAAAUUUUGGGAGCUUGAGUGUAUUGGGAUUUGCAAUUACAAUCAUCGUCUGCCUCAGGUGAUUUCUUCUCCUGCUCUGUCAUUGUUUGUUCUCUAAUUCAAAAGCAUAAAAUAUUUCAAUCAAUUUUUAUGCCAGGAAUAUGCAAAAGUUUCUAAUAUUUUAUUUCCAUCUGUCACAAGAUCAAACUGAAGCAGAACUCAAACAAAAGUAUGCUACUUCUUGCGGAAAUCUUGCCUUCGUUCAAAUUAUGAAACCAUUUCCAUGCAGCAAAUUCAUCCAAAAGUUUGAAUAAGUUUCAUGGUUGGACACUGUUGGCUUCUUUUUCUUCUGGGGUGCAUUUAGGUGCUAUCAAGUGACAGCUGUAAGUAUGAUUGCACUAAGCUGCUGCUGGGAAAUUUGAGGUUUUGAUGGCUGCCCAUGUUAUUUUCAAGAAACUAUUGAUGUAAGAAGCCGUGGUUCUUUUCAUCAGCUUGAACCUGAAACUGUCGCUAUGGAUAACUCAGGUUUUUGUUAUCAACUAUAUCAUCUUUUUCACUAUUUUGAAACUCUUAAGAUUAAACGUUAGUAAAGUUGUUUCAGCUAUUCAAAUGAAAAACUCAUUGAUUUGAGACUUCCUUCAUUAUUGUUUCUAAUUACAAUGCUAACGAUCCAGAUAAAAUAAUAUUUAAUCGGCGAAGGUGUCCCUUGGAAGUACAUCCUUCUUUUUCUUUUAUUAUAUAAAUUCUUGCAAUGAGCUUAGUCAAGAUGUUGUGCUAAUCAUGCCACUGCAUAUAAAUUCUCCAGAAGUUAAAAUCAAUAAAUUUUCUAUUAGCUCUAGUGCUUUGACCUAAAUGCUAUUCUAUAUUCUGAUUACAAUGUUUUAACCUUUAAAUUAACUACCCCUAGGUGUUGGAUUUUCUAGAACUUCAAAAUGAUUAAUGGAGAAAGAUCCCAUUAUCGUUAUUGCUAUAAGAAAUUGAUUUAUGCAUCCAAAGAUACAUUAUAUAUUUCUGUGUCUCUAUUUAUAGAUGACAUUUAAGCAUCCAUAAACCGUCAGACAGAGGAAGGGGGUUCAGUGCAAAGAUUCUGUUGACCUAGGGUUGACUGCAUAAUGUCACUUGUUCGCAAUCUAUUAUUUAUUUUAUAUUUUGAAGAAUUUAAUGGGUAAUCCUAAUUGUUUGUUUUGGCAGGUAUGUGUUGUUUUCUCCUUCUAUCUAACAGUCGUACCUAAAUAGCAUAGUUUCAUCUGUGUUACCAUGUGAUGUACAUAAUUUCACAUUUGCCUCAGAUUAAGCUUAAUUUCCCACAGAAUAGAGCUGUCGCGACUGGACUUAGGUUGAUGUCCAAAGAGGUAAAUUAUUGGCAUGCCUAGAUAAUUUGGCCAUUUCCUAAUUCAUAAGUCUACAUUAAUUUUGAUUUUGAGUUGACUGAUUUCUUUUCAAGGUCUGCUUCCUUAACGGAGUGACCAAUGUUUUUCAACUAAAUUUAUCAUAUGAUGCAGGAAGCAGGGCAGGAUAUGAAAUGAGAAGCUCAUUGGUGGAAGUAUUGCCAGUAACAGAACCCAAAGAAAAUGAAACUAUUUCAAGGCAGCAGUUGGCAGUUGCAAGUGAAUGGAGGCCCUGACAAAAUUCUCAAGCGGUUGCAAUGCAAUUACGAUCAUCCUCAGCCUCAGGUAAUUUCUUCUCCUGCUCUGUUUUUAUUUGUUAUCUAAUUAAAAAGCAUAAAGUAUCUUGAAUCACUUUCUCUAUCUGGAAUAUAUGCAGCAGUUUCUAAAAUCUUCAUAUGAGUGUAAUGAUGGUAAUUUCUGUUUUUUGUCUGUCAUUGAAUGUUAGACAACUUUCAGUGAGACUCUUGAACCGAGACAUUUUUGACAACUGAAGGACAAUUGCUGAAGAGUCGGAAUGGUGCUAGAUUGGGGAAUAAAGACAAAGGAGGUAAAUUAUUUGCAGUUUAUUCAGCAUUAUUUGCUUUGGACCAGCGCCUGAUUCACAAGUCUCCAUAAUUUGGCUUUUGACCAGUUAAUAAAUUUUUAAUUCCAUUGGUGCUAAAUGUACACGUGAAGCAGGCAGAGCAGGACUGUGGAAAUGAGAAGGUUUUUAGUGAAAGCUUAAACUCAGGUAAUUCUAAAAAGUACAUGUUUUUGCUGAUUUAUCUAAAUCAGGAAAUUUUAUUUCCAUCUGUUACAAGAUAAAACAGAAACAGAACACAAAGAAAAAUAUUCUACUUCUUGUGGCAAUCUUGCCUUCAUUCAGACAAUGAAACCAUUUCCUUUCACCAAUUUCUUCCAAAAGUUUGAAUAAGUUUCAUGGGUGGACCUAGUUAGCUUCUUUUUCUUUUGGUGCAUUUAGGUCCUAUCAAGUGACAGCCAUAAGUAUGAUUGCAUUAUUGGGAAAUUUUAGGUUUGGAUGGCUCCCCAUGUUAUUGCCAAGAAAGUCCUCAUGUCAGAAGCUGCGGUUCUUUUCAUCAGCCUGAACCCGAACCUGUCGUUAUGGAUAACUCAGGUUUUUGUCAUCAACUAUAUCAUCUUUUUUACUGUUUUGAAACUCUUAAGAUUAAACUUCAGUAAAGUUGUUUCAGUUAUCCAUGUAAUCAGGCUAAGGAUAUUUAGCAGCUUAUUUAGGCAACUGCCAGAAUUCAGUUUGUUAGCUCGAAACUUGUAUGGUGACAAGGAUACUGGCAAGGAUAGUGAGAUAGUUUUUUGUGUGAGUGAAAUUUGAAAGCUUGGGUGUUCUGGGAUUUGCAAUUGCAAUCAUCCUCUGAGUCAGGUGAUUUCUUCACCUGCUCUGUCUUGAUUUUCUCUCUAAUUGAAAGCAUAAAGUAUUUCAAUCAAAUUCUGUACCAGGAAUACGUAAAAGUUACUAAUAUUUUAUUUCCAUCUGUUUGCAUUGAUAACUCGGCGGCAUAUGUUCUAGUUAAAGAACAAACAGAAACAGAGUUCAGGAAAAAGUUUCUUCGGCCACCAUAUUUGAAAAUGAAACCAUUUCCAGGAAGCAGUUGGCAGCAAAUUCAUAUGGAGUGUAGACAAUGAUGAGCAAAAAGGUGAUUCGCAAUUUCUUUUUUUUUUUAAGUGAAAUUAUUUGUUAGAUUGAAGCUGAUAUUGUAAGAAGGCCAUUGAGCUAACCUAUGUCGCCACUUGCCUAGAUUGCAGGGGGUCAAGACUCAAAAGAAGCACUGAAAUUUAAAAAGCAUGCAAUAGUUCUUUUGCCAUGUGUCAAUUAAUGCAAGUUUGAAUAAGUUUAUUGGCUGAACGAUGUUAGCUUCUUUUCCUUUCGUGCACUUUGGUAUGCUAUCAAGUGACAGCCGUAUGUAUGGCUUGCAUAUAGCUGCUGCUGGGAAAAUUGACGAUUUCAUGGCUGGCCGUGUUAUUGUCUUAAAUUAGUUGUGAUAAGCUGUUGCUUGGAGAUUCUGUUGCCAAGAAUUUGCUCACAUCAGAAGCUGUGGAAUCUGAACCCUUCGAUUCUGUUGCCAAGAAUUUGCUCACAUCAGAAGCUGUGGAAUCUGAACCCUUCGUUAUGUAUCAUCUUUUUCAUUGUUUUAAAACAGUAAACUCUCAGGACACUGAGCAGGCAAAUGUUAUAACUCGGUUUGUUAGCCAAAAACUUGUUGAAGAUUCUUGACAAAGCUGCGUCGAGUGAAUUGUCGGAGCUCUGAGGGUGAGAGAAAUUAGAGGGUGUAUAGGGAUUUGGAUUUGUUAGGAAGUUAUCAUUUUUAUUUGUCCGAUUCAAAACUUGAUAUUCCAAUUAUAUUCAUAAGCUUCUACAGUUAUCUUCAAAAAGACAUUCCAAUUAUAUUCAUAAGCUUCUACAGUUAUCUUCAAAAAGACAAAUGGAAGGCUUUGAACGGCUUGGGUCUGAGUAUUGUAGUUUGAUUUAUUUUGAUGAAAGAACCUUUUGACAUUAAGAUUCUUUCAUGAGUUAAACAUUCUUUUUAAAACCAACUUAUUAAAAAAAAAGUAACGAACAUAUAUUAUUUUGUUAGUGCUUUUUAAAUCAAAUAUAAAAAAGAGAACUGUAAUUCUUAGCAACCAAUUUUUCAUUGAGUACACCUACAACAAAUUAUUAAAAAAUAAAGCGAUAGAAAAUGCCUGAUUUUUCGUACUUUCUAAUUACUUUUGGUCCUAAAAUAUGGCGAUUUGUGUAAUAAUAAGCCCAUGUAUAUCUUUAUGCCAUUAGUUUGAUAAAUAACUAUCAAGGAUAACUUAUUAAGCUAAAAAUAUUUGAAGGAUAAAAUGGGAAAACUAAAAGGGUGGAGUAAUAAAGUUAUUUAAGAUUACAUAGUAAGUUAACUAUAUUCGAGGGAUAAAAUAUUAAAACUUGAAUAGUUAUAUUAAAAAUAUCUCGGCUAUUAUACUAUUAAACCAUAUGCCGUAAUAAUGUUUUUUUUCAAACUUUAAAAAAUUCAGGAUUUUAAAUUAAAACAUGGAUUUCUUUAAGAUGCUAUAUGUGUUUUUACAGUAUUGAUAGUGGGAUUAGUGUGUACCCUUAUAUGAAAGAGUUUUAAUCUGAAUCAUUCAUUUAAUAUAAUAGAUAAUUAAAUAAUUAAUUAAAAUAUAGCAGGUAACUUAUAGGUUGCAGGUAAAAAAUUAAUUUUUUAAUUUUAAAUUAAAAUUAAUUUGGAACAAAACCAUCCACACCCCUAAGGUUUACUUAAAUGAUCAUAUAAAUCCCUUUAGUUUCUACAUAGUUAUACAGACCCUCUUAAUUUCAUAAAUUAUUAUUAUACUUUUAAUUAAAACAACCUAAAUGAAUAUAAAUAUAGUAAUAGGAUAGAAAUAAUAAAUAAAUAUCAGAUGAAACAAAUAAAAUAUUACAAUAAAUACAAUUAAUUAAAUAACAUGUAUGAUGAAAAUUUUAUUCAUAUUAAGUUAUUAUUAGUCUAUCCCGAUGGAUUUACUCAAAUCAAUUAAUCCAAAAUUUAAUUUUAAGAUUGAUAUUAAUAUGGACAUAAUUAAAUAAGAUGUUGUAAUAUAUACUACUUUGAAUGUUAAGUAUAAUUAUCUAAUAUUAUUAGUAUGUGAAAUAGAUUUUAAUAUUAUUAAAGAAUAUGACAAUAUAUAAUUUUGAAUUAAAUUUUUUAGUAUUCAUGAUAUUUUAUAAAUUUUAUGUGAUUUUAUAUAUUAUAUUUUUUAAUUUUAAUGUAUUAUAUAUGAUCAUUUAAGCAAAUUUUGGAGGUGCGGUGGUCUUUUCCCUAUUAAUUUUGUAGCAUAUUUAAAGUGUUAUAUCAUACAUGAUACAUCACACUUUUGUUAAAGUGUUAUGUUAUUAAAAAUUAAACUUUGCAUUUAUAAUAUACUACCAUUUUAAUGUAAAGGUAAUAGAAAAUAUGAAGAUAUUUUUAAGUAGUCAAUUGUAGCUUUCUUUUACAAAAUAGCAGUAUAGAAAUACAAUUGGUAAAAUGUAAUAAAAAUGGUAUGGAAAAAAGUUAGUAGAGGCAAUUAUUCUUGUAGUUGCUAAAACAUAUGAAGUGACACACACACACACACACAUAUCAAGUACUUGUAUGUUCCCCUAACUUUUAUUAAUGGGAAGGAAAUUAAAUUCGUAAUUUUCCCGGUGAAUUAUGAAUUGAUAAAUGAAAUAUAAAUAUUAGUAAAAAUUAAUUUGUCGACUAAAGAAGUAAACCAUAUUUUAUGGGCAUUUAAUACAUUAAUUUAAGGUCAAAUGAGAUAAUAUCACAUGAUAUUUGAUACAAGAGUCCAAUUUUCAACAUUUGCAUAUAGUUUCUAAGCUAGUAAUCUAAUAAAAUAUACCAAAUGAGAAAUUGAAGGCUAUUAUUUAUAUUUCACCAUUGGACAAACACCAUACAUUAGAAUAAAAAAAUCUCACAGUAGAGACGGCAUCUGUUUGCAUGUUUUGAAAAUAGAUUUUGAAAUUAGUUUAAUUACAUGAUAAUUAAAUUAUAUUAUAAAAUUAAGAAUAUGAUUUAAGUACUAUUUUAGCAAUUUUGAGUCUCACAUUGAGUAUUCAAGUUAAUUAAAUGUUGAAACUCUUUUCUAUUUGGCUUGAAAUCACUACUAAAUAAAAUUACAAAAAGUCAAUAAUGAAUGAUGUAGGACACAUAUGUAAAAUAAAUUUUAAAGUGUAAUUAAACAUUCCUAUCAAUAUUAGUUUUGCAUACAUAUUCAUAUAUUUUACCGAAACCAUAUAUAAUUAAAUUUUGUGUAAUUAAGUAAAAUAUAUUAUUCAAGUGAAUUUAUGAGAAUAUUUAAAAUUGUAGGGGUCGUCACUGAAAUUUGCCAAACUUGAGCCAACCGUGCAUGAUCCAAACAGUUUAUUUUAAUAAUUCUCAAUAUGUUAGUCUGUUUGACUGUUGGCAAAAUAAAUUCCUAUCAGCAAUGCAACACAAUUCAAAAUCAUAUCUGCAUACAACGAACAAUAUCUCAUGAAAGAUCAAAUUAUACAUUUUUUACACCAAACCAUAAAUAUCUAAAUUGUCCCUCUUCAACUCACCAAGCUCAUACCUAACAACAGCAAGAUUAAAUGUCAUUUGAUCCAUCUUUUUUAUUAAGCUUUAUCAAUUCUUCUCAUGGUUGCAAUUUUGAAAGCUCGCUUCGCUAUUUCCAUUUGCUUUUAUGCUUUGUUUGAGCUCCAUCUUUUCUCUCCAUCUACAUUUUACACUGUAAAAAAAAUUUUAAAAAAAUUACAAAGCUUCUUAUGCUAGAAUAUGAGCAACAAUAUAAAUAAUAAACAAUAAAGUUAUGAUAGCACAGCAUGCUCAUUAAAGUGCUUCUUUUUUUUUUUUUUCAACAAGAAAUUACUACUGAAUUAAAGAUUUGGCUUUGCAUUAAGGUUUGCCUUCAAUAACUCAACUCCCCACUUGGGUUUUGUCGUUUUCUUAAAAUCUCUGCUCAAUCAAUUUAAAGAUCCUUUUUUUUUUCUUUCCAAAGAUCUAAAAGCAAUGUCUUUUAUUGGUACCCAACAAAAAUGCAAGGUCUGUGAGAAGACAGUUUGUCCAGUUGAGCAGUUAUCUACUGAUGGGGUUGUUUAUCACAAGUCUUGCUUCAAGUGCUCUCACUGCACUGCAAAGGCACACUCAAGCUAAGCAAUUACUCAUCCCUGGAAGGUGUUCUUUACUGUAAGCCUCACUUUGAGCAGCUUUUGAAGGAGUCGAGUAACUUCAACAAGAAUUUCCAAUUACCUGCAAAGUCAGCUGAGAAGUUAACUCCUGAGCUGAAAAGGUCGCCUAGCAAAGUUGACAGCAUGUUCUCUGGGCCCAAUAAAAAUGUGCUUCUUGCAGUAAAACAGUGUGUCCGUGGGAGAAGGUAGCAGCGGAAAACCAAGCCUCUCACAAGACAUGUUUCAAGUGCUCACAUGGUGGUAAUUCCAUUAGCCCGUCAAAUUACGCAGCCCUAGAAGGCAUCUUGUAUUGCAAACAUAAUUUCUCCCAAUUGUUCAAGGAAAAAGGCAGCUACAACCACCUUCUAUCAAAUCUGCUUCCAUGAAGCGUGCUGCAGUCUCUGUUCAAGAAGCUUGAACAUGUUAUGUUAUCUUCCAUAAAUCUUAUUUGGCGUGGGUUUUCUCUGGCUUGAGGGUGUGCUUUCUAUUUUGAUCCCUCUUGUUGUUUUUGCGGGGAACUACCAAACCUUCGGUUCCCUCUGCUUCUUUGGAUCAUCUUUGUUGGGACAAAUUUCAUGUAAUUAGAGAUACUGAUUUAUGGGAGGCAUAAUCCCAUGGUUGUAAAUUGACCAUUUUCUGGCAAUGUUCUUUUUAAAAAGAGAUGAGCAGUUGUUUAACAAAAAAAAUAGCUGGCCUUCAUCAUGGUAUGUUACCAAACUGCUAUGUAUAGCUGCUAACUAUGAGCAUCCGAAAAUAUGGUGCAUCGUGAUUCAUGUCGUGCAAUAUGGCUACCAACGCAUCCUAAAUGGAGUAUUACUCAGUUAGUCAGCAAAAUAAGACAACAGUAAGAUAUUAAAAAAAUAAAAACUACAUUAAUAAGUGGGCAAGAUCAUGCCAGUUUAACUUUUCGCGCGUCGCUGCUGGAGAUAAUCAAAUCGGGGCAGAGAAAAGGAGAAUGGAAUCAGAGGCUAAGAUUAAUAAGUGGGCUUCUGCUUGCUUUGCCCCUCUUUCUUAAACGAUUGGUAGACUGCUGCUUCCACCGAUUAACCGGGUCUUCAACCACUGCUUUUAUUGCCUGCCAUCUUGUUGUUUGUCGAAGGGAUGAAUUCGAGUCGAAAAGAGAAAGCGCGCUGAAAAAGACAAAUCACUAGUGGUUAACUACUGACUCAGCCAAGUGUUGGCUUCACUUGAUUCACCGAUUGAGGUUAUUUUGUCUUCUAUCUAAUGCAGCGAAGAAGCUUUACUGCUUAACAUGCUGCAAUGCAACUUUAUCUUUUGAAGUUCACACUUCAGGGCUGCGCACUUUAUGUAAUCCUAUGAGUAAAAAGAAUUUAUUUUCAAAUGUGAAAAAAGAAAAUGUAAGGUAGUAACUAAAUAUAUUAUAGCAUCAAAGUAAGAUUUGAUAUGAAUUUAGUACAACAAAGAACAUUAAAUCUGUGAUUCCUUGUCUAAUGUCACCAUCGAGCAACAAAUUUAAAAGCCUACCUAUCAAAUACACGAGGCAAUAAACGGAGAAAAAGUUGAAUUACAAGAACAAGUUUACAAUUCUUGUCAAUGGUUAAUGAUUCGUGAAUUGAGAUAGCAUUCAAGAAUCCAAUUUCAAUACAACAACGUAAAAGAUAAACAGAUGAUGAAUUUUAUGAGAUAAAGAAGGAGAUUGUGUUUUAUCGUAUCUCUAUUUUCUUUCCAUUUAAAUUUAAAAUAAGCUUUUCAACCGGUUAUAAUAUUUUUUGAAAUAAUUAAAUAUUUUUAUUAUUAAAAAUAAUGUGUACCGUUGAUUACAUCUAACGCUACAUAUUUCUUACACUAUUAAUACCGUAAAAAAAAUCAUAGAGGGACCCUUAAAACAUUUUCAUUUGAAAUUAUUUGGUGAAGUGAAAAAGUUAAGAAAGAAAUAGUUGUCCCUUUGGUCAUUUCACAAAAAUGAAAGCCCCAUAUAACAUGGACUUGAAUGGAAGCCCAAUUGUUGUGUUUGAUUUCAAGCUUUAUCGGACCUUUGGACCUGGAUACUUUACUGCGGCCUCUAAGCGCUACAAAUUUUUUUUUUGGGAUAAAAGGCGCUUCAAUGAAAAAGCACUUUAAAACUUUGGAUUUUGCCAAAACUUCAAAGCGGUUGGUCCAGUUACGGUGUUAUGCUAACGGGUUUAAAGGUUCCGAUCCAAUGAGUUAGGGUGGAAUAUGAAUAUAUAAAUCCUAGUCAUGUAAGGACUAGGAUUUGUUUGUUCAUAUCAAGAAAAAAAAUCUGAAAAUUUGAUGAUCAGAAGAUAAAAACACUUAAACACGUUUAUUACAGAGAAACAAACGACAACAUGAUGCUAGUAGUAAUUUUAUUUUUCUUUUAUUGUGUAACGUGGACCAAAAAAAAGGAAAUGAAUUUAAUAAAACCGUCAUUCCGCAAUAAUAAUGUACCAGCCUGGUUUUUAUAAUCCAUACCAUCCUGAUAUAAUUAAACACCAUUAAUAAUGUACCAGCCUUUAAAUAGUAAUUAAUUUAUUUAUCUAAUUCACCAAAUGUCAUUUCCGGUACAUAUCUCCUGGUAUCAAGAAGAGGCAGAACCCAAAGAAACGUUUCUUGUAUCUUCAUAUUUGUGCGAAUUCAUCCUUUCAUUGAGAAUAACCAUUUCCAGGCGGCAGUUGGCAAUCAAUUCAUGCGCAAGUCGAUGCUAUUCAUAGAUAUUAAAGACAAUGAUGAACCAAAGGUGAUAAAUCAUAAAUGCAUAAUUACCAAACCUCCAUCCUUCUCUCAUUAUGAUUUGAUUUUAAAUGAAUUAUUGCUUGGUAACAUUAUUUCCAACCAUUGCAAGAUUAUUAUUAUUUUUUUUUGGGGAGAAAUUUCAAUUGAAAGUGAAACCUUUAGACAUUUACCUAAUGAAGUUAGUUAAUGGGGAGGGUUGGAAAAAUUCCCAAGCCGUUGCACAGCAAUUACGAUCAUCCUCGGCCUCAGGUAAUUUCUUCUCCUGCAUUUUUGUUAUUUGCUAUCAAGUGACAUUCGUAAGUAUGAUUGUAUUAAGCUGCUGCUGGGAAAUAUAAGGUUUUGAUGGCUGCCCAUGCUAUUGUCAGAAGCUGCGGUUCUUUUCAUCAGCCUGAACCUGGACCUGUCGCCAUGGAUAACUGAGGUUUUUUUUUUUUUAAAUCAACUACGUCAUCUUUUCCACUGUUUUGAAACUCUUAAGAUUAAACUUUAGUAAAGUUGUUUUAGUUAUCCAUGUAAUCAGGCUGAGGAUACUUAGCUGCCUAUUUAGGCAAAUGUCAGACUUUAGUUUGUUCGCUGGGAACUGGUGUGGUGACAGCGUCCUGGCAAAGGAUGAUGAGAUAGUUUUUUGAUUGAGUAAAUUUUGGGGGCUUGAGUAUAUUGGGAUUUGCAAUUACAAUUAUCCUCUGCCUCAGGUGAUUUCUUCUCCUGCCCUGUCGUUGUUUGUUCUCUAAUUCAAAAUUAUAAAAUAUUUCAUCAAAUUUUAUGCCGGGAAUAUGCAAAAGUUUCUAAUAUUUUAUUUCCAUCUGUUUGUCUUGAUAACUUUGCAGCAUAUGUACUAGUUAAAGAACAAAUCGAAACAGAGUUCAGUUAAAAGUUUCUUCUGCCGUCAUAUUUGAAAAAUGAACCCAUUUCCAGGAAGCAAUGGGCAGCAAAUUCAUAUAAAGCGUAGACAAUGAUGAGCAAACAGGUGAUUCACAUUAAUGAAAUUAAUUGUUUGGUUGGAGCGGACAUUGUUAGAAGGCUAUUGAGCUAACCUAUGUCACUACUUGCCUAGAUUACAGGGGGUCAAAACUCAAAAGCGGCAUUGAAUUUUAAAAGGCAUCCAAUAAUUCUUGUGGCCAUAUAUCAAUUCAUGUAUGUUUGAAUGUAAUUAUUGGUGAAGGGGUUUCACUUCCCGUCUCUAAAUAAAAAUACUGAUUCUUUAAGGUACCUGCCACUAGGGAUUGCGAGAUUAAUGAGUCUUUGGACAUUGGAAGAGCUCCUUGUGAGUGGAGGAGGAGGUGUUGAUGGUAGCAAAGCAUGUGGGCAGUGGGCUUGAAUCUCUAAAAAACUUGGAACUCCUCCAAGCGUAAGUAUACGUAUACUGGGAAAUUUGUUAGAUGUGGAUGAGGCUAAGAGAUUAGAGCUUGACAAAAUGAAAUACCUCUUUCAUUGAGACUUAAAUUUGAUGGGGAAGAAGAAAAAGAAGAGGGAAGGAGGAAGAAUGAGGAUAAUCAACUUGUUCUUGAAGCCUUGCAACCACCUCUGAAUUUGAAGGAAUUAGAGAUUUGGUCAUACAGAGGCAACAUUGUUUCCCCCCGGAUGAUGCAAAAAUUGAAGGAAUUUACCAAUCUAAGGAGUUUGACACUCUUUAAAACUGCAAAAAUUGAGAGCAGUUGCCUCCUUUGGGAAAAUUGUGAUCCUUUGAAAAUCUCAGCAUAUUGUACAUGGAGAGUGUGAAAACAGUGGGUAAUGAAUUUCUGGGAAUAGAAAGUCAUCUUCAUGACUCAUCUCCAUCUUUAUCAGUUAUUAUUGCCUUCCCCAAAUUGAAAUCACUUUCAGUUGAGGGAUUGAUGGAAUUGGAGGAGUGGGAUUAUGGGAUUAAAAGAACAGGAAACACCUUCACCAACAUUAUGCCACGUCUUUCUUCCUUGGAAAUUAGUGUGGGGUUAUGGGAUCGCACAACCACGUUGAAGGUAUUGCAGAUUGUGGCAUGUGGUACUCUAAGAAGACGUUGCAGACAGGGGAGAGCAGAAGACUGGCCUAAGUUCUCUCACAUUCUAGACAUCAUGAUUGUGUGAAAAGAGGCCCUUGACAAAAUUCUCUAGGCGGCUACAUGGAGUACAAUCAUAAAAUGCUAAUGUGGCCACCCUGGUUCUUAAUUAAGGUUGUGAAAUAUUAUUGUAAAAGAUGAUUAAUUCAAUUUGAGUCAUUCGUUUGCUUUGAUAAUGAUAGUAAUUUUAUAUUUUGACAAUUUGCAAGGUGAGAAUGGUGCUGAUUGGUGAUACAGGAUACGGUUCAAACACCAUUGAAUAAAGCUACGGACAUGGUGGCUCAACUUAGCUAUUGCUGUCAAAAUUGGUAAGUUGGCUUGUCAAUGUAUUGAUGCUUUUGUUUUCUCUCAACCCUAAUUACCUUACCUUCAUUUAGUUUGGCUUUGGAGUUGAGUAAUAACUUUCAAGGUUCUCAAACAGAGCAGGACAACCGAAAAAAAAAGCUUAAUUUGCUACUGAUCACGUGUUACCAAUUAUUAAGGUAAUUCUCGUUUACUUGCUUCUACACUAUAGAGUACGUGUUCUGGCUGGUUUAUCUAAUUCAUCAAAUGUUAUUUCCUUAUUGUUCCAUUGAUAUAUUUGUUAGAAAGUGAAACCAUUUCCAGGCAGCAGUUGGCAGUGAAUUCAUGCAAAUGUUGAUGCCAUUCAUAGAUAUUGAAGACAAUGAUGAGCCAAAGGUGAUAAAUCAUUAAUGCAUAGUUACCAAAACCUCCAUCCUUCUCUCAUUGUAAUUUGAUUUGAAAUGAAUAAUUUCUAGGUAAUUGAAGCCAAUAUUGUUAGAAACGGUGUUGAGCUACCCAAGCUAAGAAGUUGGCUGCCAAAAAAUGCAGGGGAUCAAAAGAAGCAUUGCAUUUGAAAAGGAAUGAGAUUCUGGUUGCUACAUGUCAAUUCGUAGAAGUUUCAAUAAAUUUAAUGGUUCAAGAUUUUAGUUUCUGUUUAAAUUUGUGCUACUGCAGUGCUGCAGUGCUGCUACUGGGAAAUUUAAAUCCCAUAUUAGACUUUCCUCACAUAAGAAGCUGUGGAUCUUCGGACAUCAGGUUUUUUCACAGUUCUGAAACUCUCAGGAUUAAACUCUAUUAAAGUUGUUGUAGUUGUCUACGUUCUCAGGUCAAGGAUUCUAAGCUGCCGAUUAAGGCAAAAUGUCAGAAUUCCCCUAUUAUUUUUUUUUUCAUGUAAAAUUAUGUUGUUGUCUUCGCCCAUGAAUCUUAGCUAAAUUCUGAACCAAUUGUUUGCUAUUAUAAAUUUCAUUGUUAAAUAUUAAUUGUGAUGUUGGUGUUGAGUUUCUUUUAAAGUCAGAGAAGCCUGACGAUUGAGUUCCAUGGGAUUCUGAGAAGCAGUAAUAUUUUGAACAAGUGAAGGUUCUUCGUUUUUACAGUAUGUGCAGAUGUCUAAGAGGCAGGAUUUUUAUUUCUGUAAUGCUAAAUUUCGCAAAACAAUAAAAAUAAAUAAAUGCAUGACAGUGACUUCAAGAAUUUAGAUUAUUGAAUUUGGUCAUUUUAAAAUUGUUGGAAUGUUGAACUUAAGUAAUUUUUAUAAACCAGAGCUCAGAAAUGUAGAAUAUAAAUAUUGGAGAUUUGGACUUCAAUCAUUAGACUUGAAGCUAAAGAGGUAAGCCAUUAAUUAUAUCAAAGGAUUUGGAAAAUGGAGGGAUUGGAAAAAGGAAACAUUUUCAUAAACUUCAAGAGGAACGUCACAGAAAGGGGUAAAGAGAAGAGUAGCCUAAGAUAUUAAAGACAAUGUUGAGCCAAAGGAAACAUAAAUCCCAACCAUUGCAUGUGAACAUGAUCACAAUAAGGUCAAAAACCAUUUUUUUGAGAAUUUUCAAUUGAAAGUGAAACCUUUUGACAUUUACCUAGUAAAGUUAGUUAAACGAGAGAAAUAAAGGGGAAAAGAAAAGUUGACUCAAGUCAAUACAGAAUAAUUAGUUCAAUCUGGAGUAACUAAAACAGAGCCACUAUAUUUUCAAAAAUAUCUGCAUUCAUCACCUUCUCCUCCAGCUAGUGAGCUACACACGAAUCCUUUCCUUUUAGCAUUUUUGCAGCAUCAAUUUCUCCCCUCGUUUGUCAUCAAUUUCUCCCUUCGUUUCACCAAUACCAUGGCUGAUGCAAUCGUUUCCCCUCUCUUGGAGCAGCUGAUUAUCUUUGCUGCUGAAGAGUUGAAACAACAGGGGAAGCUGGUGAGUGUUGGAUGAGUGGAUCACAGCAUGCGCCAAAUCGCAAAAUAGAUCAAUGCUCUUGGUGCUCCUUAUCUGAAGAAGAAGGUGCAAAUUGGGAGCUGCAUUUCACUGUCAUAACAUUUAUUGUAAUUUCAUUUGGAGAUAUGUAAUAUCUGUUGUCCAGAUACAUAUCAUACACCAGUUGCUAUGUAAUUUCGUUUAGGUUCAUUUUUGUUUCUUAAGAGUUUGUAAAAAGAAUGGAAAGAUUUUAAAAUAUAAAUUUCAUAUCUGUUUAUUACUGUUGUUUGGUCUAAUUUCUUAUGUAGAAUUUUCAGAAUCUGUAGGACAUUAGUUUAUAAUUUUGAGAUUUUGCAGCCAUAAAAAAAAUUUUUUUUUUUUGCCAUUUUAUUUUGCUCCUUUAUCUAUGUGCAUGUUGACUGGCUGCAGUGAGUGAAAAUUUACCUAUAUAUGCUGGCUAUUCUUGGACAAUAUUAGAGAAAAUAAUCAUAUUAUUUCGCGUGAUGUGAACUUCCAUAACUUAUCAAUUGAAUUGCUGUAAAAUAUUAAAUAGUUUUAUUUUUCUUUUAUCGUGUAACUUGGACCAAAAAAGGAAAUGAGUUUAACACGACCCUCAAUAUAACCUCCAUUUCAGCACAAUACAUGUUAAUUGUUCCCCAAGGACUUCUCCUGUUUCCCAUUCCCACCUCCAUGCUCUCGAGAGGAAUUUAGCACCCAUCAAUUUUUAUUUUUGAAAACUCGUAAUGGUCUGAUAAAAUUAAACAACAUCAAUAAUGUUACCAGUCUUUAAAUAGUAAUUAAUUUAUUUAAUUUGCCACCUAAAAGAAUCCUGCUGGAAAUAGAGGUUAAAAAUUUUAUUAGAUCUGCUUACCUUUGUUCAUUCAGCAAAAACACUUACAAUUCACAGCUAGAGAAUCUAUCCAUUGACAAUUGUGGAUUAAAAUUAUAACACCUGAAUUCAAACAUAUCCUUAUGAAGUUAUGAAUUUGUUCAUACUUCAAAUGAUUUUUUUUUCCAAGCUAAUAAAGCAACCACUUUGAUCAAACGACGACGUUGAAGGAAUUACGUAUUUUCAAUGUCCUUUUCCAGACAGAUGUUGGAGAGAGGGAAAGGAGAAGACUGGCCUAAUUAAGAUAUCUCACAAAGAUUAUUGAGUUAAAAUGUUAUUGUAAAAGAUGUUUAAUACAAUAAUAGUAAUUCUUUUGCAUUGUUAUAAUGAGGCUGGUGGGUUUCCUCAGAGGAUGGAUAUGGCUCGCUAGCAUGCAUUUGGGAAGAUGCUAAUUAUCGGCCAUAAAAAGUCAGGGGGUUGUGGCUCUUCCGUCGCCCAGAAAUUCCUAAACUCAUAUAUCAAACUUCAGAUGAACUUGGGCAUUAUGUAAAUAUGUAUUUUUGAGAAUUAAACUAGUGCGUUCGAAAAAUUUUGAGCCAUUGUAAUCAUUUUAUUUUGCUAAGAGAAAAUUUUACUUUGUUUCGCUUUGCCUUUUGUUUUUUCUGUGAUAAUAUGAUUCAUACGAAUGUGAUUACACACUAUCAUGCAUCUAUUUUCAUUUGCUUGUCAUGAAUGGUCAACAUGCUCGAAAUAUUUACUUAGGUUGGAAAUAUUUGAAUCCACUAAAAUACUAUACAAACCCAUUUUAAAAUUAAAAAAAUGAUUAUCAUAAUACUCGUGAAGAUAACACGAUAUCAUACAUAAAAUAAAAUAUUUCGCAAAAAAGAUAAGAUACAAAUCUUGAGUAAAUAGGUACAAAAAAUAUUUUAGUGGGUUAAGUAGCACUAAUGCCCCCUUAUCAAAAAAUAAAUAAAAAUAACUAGUCUGAUUGGGUAUACCGUUUAUAUAUAUGUACAUAUUCUUGAUAAUGUGUAAUGUACAUUAUAGACAAAGAUUUUGAAAGCAAUAUUUUUUAAAAAGUCGAGAGAAUAGGAAAAGUCUAAAUCAAUUUUCUAAUCUCUACCUCCUUUAUGAUUUAAACUUUAGUGUUUAGUGUCGCGAGCCACUCAAAUUUUCUAAUCAAAGAGACUAAAUUGCACGAAAUUGUGCUAGCUUAUUUGAUUCUAGAAAUUUCUACUACACUGUAACACACUCUCACGUAGGGAUGGCAAUGGGGAGGGGAGGGGAGGGGACCAAUCUCCCCAUAUCCAUCCCCGAUAUUUUACAUAUGUCCCCGUCCCCGUCAGAAUUGCUUGAGAGAAUCCCCAUCCCCUCCUCGAAUAAUAACAGGGGAUCCCCGAGGGUCCCCGGUCCCCGAAUAACUAAUAAUCUAAUACAUUUUUUUAUUUUCGAUUUUAAAUUAAUCAUAUUAAAAUAAACUCAUACCGCUAUUGUAAGCUCGUAACCAAUUUUGACAGCACAUUAAGGCCUCCAAUGUGCUUGGAUGAAGUCUGUUAUGGUAUGGGCUCACAACUCUACCACUAGUGUUAAAAGCUGAUUCAGAAGCAACUGUUGUAAUUGGAAUUGCCAAAAUAUCUCUAGCAAUUCGAGCUAAUGUAGGAUACCUAUUAGCAUUUGUCUUCCACCAACUCAAAAUAUUAAAAUCUUCCAUCCGAGGUAUAACUUUCUCAUCCAAAUAUGAAUCUAAUUCAUCUGCAACAACUGCACAAUCUCCAUUGUUUACAUAAUCAUCAAAACCUAUCAUCCAUUUGGUUGCUUUCUUAUAAGAAUCCCCUGUAGAUCUAGUAGAAGAACUACUACCAGUAUAAUCAAAGCAAUAAACAGUUGGUGAAAACUUCAAUUAAUACUCUUCAACUAAUUCCCGGCAAAGGAUGACCACUUUCCCAACAUACAACUAUUUUGAUAUUUAUUAUUUUUAACAAUAUUUAUAAUUUUGUUAUUUAUUUAUUAGUAAUUUUAAAAAUAAAAAUAAAAUUAAAAAUUAAAAUGGGGAAAUGGGUAGGGGAUGGGGAUUCCACCUCAUCCCCGUCCCCUCCCCGAAUAAAAAAUUGGGUAAAAAAUUUUCCCCGUCCCCUCCCCGAAAAAAAAAUUGGGUAUAAAAUUAUCCCCGUACCCUCCCCGAAUGGGGAAAAUCCCCGAGGGUAUCCGUCCCCGUGGGGAUUUUUGCCAUCCCUACUCUCACGCUUGUACAUACCUCGAAAUUCUCUAGAAUUUACUAGAGUAGUGUUGCAUGUAGCUUGUACAUAGGUUUUUCUGGAACACUCCAGGCAUUACUAAGCAUGAGAGCCUUGAGAACUCUCUAGCCAUAAAACAUUCUAGGGUAAGCCUACCCUAAAAAUAGGGCAUGAUGCUUGCCACUUGAGCAUACAACAAGUAAGAACAAAUCAAGCAUACUUGUGAGCUCUCAAACUCUCUUAUACACACUUUUAUGAAUAAUAUAUUCUCUCUUUGGCUAUAUUGCUCUCUCUUCUCUCUAGUUUUUUUCGCAAGCAUCAAACCUUAGUUAGUCGAAAAAUUCAAGGCUUACUUUAUAGCUAUCUCGUAAAAGUUGUUUAAGUACCAUAGAGAUUUGCUGUGCAAAAUACUCAUCACAUGACAUUAGCUAAAUAAAAUUGUUUGAAAGCCACUUACCCAAACUAUUAAACGAAUAUUGACUUUUGUCUUAAUUUUCUAUCUCCUACGAUAAAUUUUAUAGUUAAAAAUUGAAAAAAAUUAAUAACUAUUAGAUAGAGCAUUCUUUAUUGUUAAAAGAAAUCUAUAUAGAUAGAUAGAUGGUAAUAUAAAAACUUACUUAUUGUAGUAUAAUGUUUUUAGUUUUUUGAAACACAGAUUCUCACUUUUUAAAGAUAAAAUUCAAAGAAAACAAGUUAAAUGUUGUAGAAAAUCUUCCAGCCAUACAAGAAAUUGUGAUGGCUAAAUGCAAACCUAACUAAAGUAUUAGUUGUUUUAUUACAAUCUCCAAAAAGAUGAGCAAUUCCAAAAUCUUUUUUUGUGACAAUAAACACUACACGUCAGUAAUUAUCCAGGUCAAAAGCAAGCUACUCUAUUAAAAAAAAAAAAAACUUGCAGUGAAUUCGAAGAUAAACCAAUUUUACUAGCAAGUUGGAUACAAAAGAGUAGGGCUUCGGCCUCAAUUACUCAGUGUACCAACAACUCAAUCUCGGUGAGUUAAAAUCAACUUCCAUCAGUCUUUUAUUUGUUGAUAGAUCGAUUAAGGUACCAAAAAGAAUAAUUAAAGAUGUAUUAGUUCAAGUUAAUAAAUUCAUAUAUCUUGUGGAUUUUAUUAUUUUGGAAACUGAACCAAUUGCUAAUGAAUGCAAACAAAUUCCUGUUACAUUGGGUCGUCCAUUUUUAACUACUGCUAAUACAUUGAUUAAUUGCUGGAAUGGAGUAAUGAAUUUAUCUUUCGGCAACAUGACAUUGGAACUUGAUGUGUUCAACAUAUGUAAACAACCUCACCACCAGGAAGAUGAUGAUAAUGAGAAUUAGGAGAUUGAUUUCAUCGAGCCAAUCAUUGAGGAACACAUUCAGAAUAAGAAUUUUACAAAUUCUGUGGAAAUUUAUUCUUCUUGUUCUUUUGAAUCGAGUAAAGAAUUAAAUUAUGAUACUGCUAACAUAUAACCUACAAUUGAUUCUAUGCAGGUACAUGCUGACAAUGGCCAAUCAAACUUUAAAGAUACAGAACAACCUGAAGAACCAAACGAAGAGCAAGUACCAGAGCUCAAAUUAAAGCCCUUACUGGAAGAAUUGAAGUAUGUCUAUCUUGGAGAACAACAGAUUUAUCCUGUGGUAAUUUUUUUCCCAACUCACGCUUGAUCAAGAAGGUAAGUUGUUGUCUGUACUAAAAAGGCAUAAAACUGCAUUUGGCUGGACUUUAAAAGACAUAAAAAACAAUAAUUCUUUAAUCUGCACACACCGAAUACACUUAGAGGAAAAUACCAAAACAACCCAUCAACAUCGACAUUAUAUGUGUAAACAUUAAAUACCAAAAUCAACCCCAAAAACUAUAAAUAAAAUAUCAUGAUUAAAAUGAAGUUUUUUUUUAGAUAUUCGUUGUAGUAUCUCUUUAGAUCGCAAACAAGAGAUAAAAUAAAUAAAUAUUUGCUAUGUAAAUAAAAAUAAAUAAUUUUUUUUAACUGAAAAAUAUUCUCAAAAACUAAAUAGUUCAAACUUUUUUUAACAUCAUGUGUUUCUAGGGUUGGGCAUUCAGUUCGGUUUUUACCGAACCGAACAACUAAAUUAAAUCGAAAUUACCUGUUCGGUUCAAUUGAAUAGACAAAAACCGAAGAGUUUAUAUUUUCAUGAACUGAAUGAUUUGUGUUUCAGUUGAGUUCGGUUCGAUUCUGGACCUGAACCGAACCGAACCGAUCCGUGAAUCGUAAACUGCCCACCCUUACGUAGUAGUUUCCGUUAACCGACGUUGUAUUGCUCGUAUAAAAUUGUUCAAAUGUUCAAAUCACAGUCUCCCGCUCUCAGCUCAGUCAGAGUUUCCAGGUCCAGAGACUUCCCGCUGACUGAGAACUUUUUCGUAGCAGGUCUACAAAUAAUGGAGUAGAGCUGAUUUUAUGAUUAAUUUAUUUCCUUUUUCAAUUUCUCUUGAUUGCGAUUUAAUCUGGAAAGUUAAACGUGAAUUGUUUAGUGCGGAUUAAAUGUUCGACGAAUUUCCCACAAGAGUAUUAAGUUCAAGAGAAAAAAAGAAAACAAUUGAGCGUGAGCGUGAGCGAGAAUGGUGUUUGGGCAAGUGGUGAUUGGUCCGCCCGGCUCGGGAAAGACCACUUACUGCAAUGGCAUGUCUCAGUUUCUCAGCCUUGUUGGCAGGUAACUUCGUUUCUUGAUUUCAAGCAGCUUUAUCUUCGAUGACCAAAAAUAUUGAUUUGGGCUUUGCCAUUAAAUGAAUGUAAGAGCAGUAGGGAAUAACUGAGUUAUAGGAUUAGCUUUAAGUGAACAUUGAUGGUAAUGUGAAGGUUGUAUGUGUUCAGUGGCAAGCUGUAUGCCAAUUUGGUCUAUAUGGUUGCUUAGGUAGUAACUUAUUAAUUUUUAGGCAGGAAGGUUGCAGUCAUCAAUUUAGUUCCUGCUAAUGAUAGUUUGCCGCAUCCUUUGUCAUUGAACUUUCUUACAAAUGCUGUGGUUUGUUGUAGUAUAAUUAGUUCAAUUGGAAAUUUCCUUGAUGUUAAUAUAGAAAUGAGUGUGCUGUGAAUAUUGAGGACCUCAUUAGACUAAGUGAUGUGAUGAUGGAGUAUUCACUUGGUCCCAAUGGAGGUUAGUCAGCCUAUUGUUGUUUACUCUUUCUUGCUUUAUCACGCAAUGAUAUUCCUUUGCUUUACAACAAAUUUCAUGAAAUUAACUUCAAUCAAGUGGCAAUGUUCAUACGCUGUUGAGAUUUUAUGGACAAUGAUUUGGUAGAAUUUAUAUGCCGUCUUCUUUCUUUUUGCAGUGAUAUGCUUGUAUUCAAUGAGCUUGUACUUAUUCUAUGGUUUCUAAAGUAGGUGUUUUUAUGAUAAACUAGGUCUUGUGUAUUGUAUGGACUAUCUAGAGAAGAAUAUUGACUGGCUGCAGUCGAAAUUGGAACUACUUUUGAAAGGUAAGUAGAGGCCAUUUUCCUUCAUUCUAAUGCCAAUAAUGCUGUCAUGAGACUCAUAAAAAUUGUUAAAACGUUAAUGUUUUUGGUAUUUUGCAGAUCGUUAUCUUCUGUUUGAUUUUCCUGGCCAAGUUGAAUUAUUUUUUCUUCAUUCCAAUGCCAAGACUGUUAUAAUGAGACUCAUAAAUAAGUUAAAUCUCAGGGUAUUGUUACAUCUUACAUCUAUGAAGGGACUCAAAGAGUUGAGAUGAAUUCAUCUUUGUUAUUUUGAUGCCAGAAUUGUGCAAUUCUCAGUUUGUUCCUUUCACAUGCAGUUGACUGCAGUGCAUCUAGUUGAUGUGCAUCUUUGCAGUGACCCCAGGAAGUAUGUUAGUGCUUUGCUUCUCUCAUUGUCUACGAUGCUACAUCUGGAACUUCCCCAUGUCAAUGUCUUGUCUAAUCGAUCUGAUUGAGAAUCAUGGAAAGCUAGGUGUGGUUUUAAGUGUAGCUCUCCUGCUUGUUUGUUUAGUUUGAAAUAUCAGAUAUUGUCACAAGAUCCUAUUUGCUACAUUUCCUCACCAAUCAAUUAUUUUGGGUCUGUUGCAGCUUUUAAUCUCGAGUACUAUACAGAUGUGCAAGAUUUGUCAUAUUUACAGCAUGCUCUCGGUCAGGACCCUCGUUCUGCUAAGUACAGGUUUGAAUUCUAGCUGAAUCAAUGAUGCAAAUUAUGUCCAUUGUUAUUUCUGCUGUUGUUUCUAUCAUUUUCAAUUGUUACUUCCCCUUUCCAUCUACUACCACACUACAAUACCCACACAAAUGUUGUGAAAUUUGUCAAUGGAAAAAAAACAGUUCCUCUUUUAUUUUGAUCAGACUCAAUGAAUAAGUGGUUAAAAUGUGCCUGUCCUAGAAAUAUAGAUGUGUGGUUUCGUAAAAUUUUCUUGAUCUUAAGAAAGAGUUAUCUCGAAAAGAAGAUAACAUGGAGAAUUCAACAACUAUACAGUCAUAUUGAUGUCUGUCAACUUGGGUCAUAUGGUGUCGUUUGGAUGGAGAUGUUAGGUCCCAGAUGGUAAACUUGUUAUCGAAUUCCAGUCUACUUCAUUCAUGCUUUGAUGACAUAUACGGUGCAGCUUCUUAUCUAAGACCUGCAUAUGUUCAAUCAUCAUUCUGUUCUGUAUUUGGCUGCCAUUCUUUUCAAUGAAUUCAAACCACUUCUGAAUACUUGCAAAUUCAUCCAGUGUUGUCAUUGAGAUGCCAAUAUGAAAGGAAGCCAUAAUUGCCCUUGAUAGUAUGCUUAUUGAUUGCCUCUUGCCUCACUCAGCCUCAUGAAUCUGCUUGUAUGGUGUUCUUGUAAUUUCAUUUGGAGAUUAGUAAUAUCUGUUGUUCAAAUGUAUUUUAUAUACCAGCAGUUAAUAAUUCUGCUUGCAGAAAGCUUACAAAGGAGCUGUGUGAUGUAAUUUUUCAACCUUAGAUAUCCAGGUCAUCAGUUUCUCUUGAAUUCUUUCUUGAAUUUCUUUGAAUUAUUUGUGAAUAAGAUCUUAGUUGGCUGCUUCUCUUCAGGAUAAGGAAAGUGUGGCAAAACUCGUGAAGCUGAUAUAUAAAAGCAAUGGGUACAUCUUUGCUGGCAUGGAUGCCAGUGCAGUUGAAUUCAGCAAGAUUGCCGUUCGCGAUGUUGAUUGGGAUUAUUUCGGAUAUCCUUCUUUUCACCUAUUUUCAAUGUUGUUAUUCUCAUAUUCAUAAAAUUUUUUGGUUAUUUAAUUAUGGUUCAUCAUAUGCAUCUGCAUCUUCUAACUUGUUCGUUUGAGAAACUAAUUUUGCCGUUAGGUAGGCUUCGAGCUUGAUGAGUUGAUUCAUGCUUUUUUCAUAAAUGUACCAAAAUCAUGGAAACUUCUUUUUCCCAGAUAUUGUAUCCACACUUUUUCCAUGUAAUUGGGUCAGACAAGUUUUGCUUAACAAAGAUAUCUACAGUAGCCGAAGUGCAGGAGAAGUACAUUAAGGAUGAUGAUGAUGUUAACUAAAAUGAGACGUGAAGAUAUGUGGUGUGCGAACCGUAAGCCUGCCUCUUAAUUUUGUGCAUGUUUACUUGCUUGUGAUUCACGUUUGUUAAUCUAUUUUGCUCUCUUGCAGGAGUUAUAAAGUUUUCAAUCAAUCAAACAUUUAACUUAAGUCCUUACCUCUUGCUGCAAAGACAAUGGGAAGUCUCAUGAGCUCUAAAAAAACUGAAGAAGAGUGGAAAAUAAUUUUAAAUAGUGAUUUAUGGAAGGUAAAAGAGAUCGAGAAAGGUGUUCUAACCCCUUUGUGGUUGAGUUAUAAUGAUUUGCCGUCCAGAGGAAAAAGAUGUUUCUCGUAUUGUGCUGUCUUUCCAAAAGACUACAAUAUAAAAAAAGACAAAUUAAUUACUUUGUGGAUGGCUCAAGGUUAUCUUAGUGCAGAAGCAGCAGAACAAGAUGAGGAGUUGGAGACUAUAGGUGAAGAGUAUUUUGGCAUCUUAGCUUCUCGCUCUUUCUUUCAAGAGUUUCAGAAACGUUAUGAUAAUCGUAUUAUAGCGUGCAAGAUGCAUGAUAUGGUACAUGAUUUUGCCCAAUUUGUUAGUCAAAAUGAAUGUUUUUCGUUGGAAGUUAAUGGUAGUGAGGAACUAACCGUCACAAACUCUACAAACUCUCUUGAUGAGAAGGUCCGUCAUUUAAUGUUAAUCUUUAGUAAAGGGACUUCAUUACCUGUUUCCACUCGUAGAGUUAAAAGAAUGCGUACCCUCUUAAUUAACGAUAGUAGAUCUGAUCAUUCAUUAUUAAAUGGUGAGAUCCUAGAAGAAUUAUUUAGGGAAUUGACAAGUUUAAGGGCAUUAGAUUUUGGCAAAUCGUAUAACUCAAGUUGGUCUUCGACUGUGGAGAUUCCGAGAACCAUAGAAAAGCUGGUACAUUUAAGAUACCUUAAUUUGUUUUAUCAGGGAAUAAAGAAACUACCGGAGACAUUAUGCGAGUUGUAUAAUCUAGAAAAGUUAGAUAUUAGUUUAUGUUUUAAUCUUAAAGAAUUACCUGAAGGGAUUGGGAAGUUAAUAAACAUGAAGCAUUUACGAAAUAGAGGUACUAGUUCUUUAAGGUACAUGCCAGUAGGGAUUGGGAGAUUAACGGGUCUCAGGACCUUGGAUGAGUUCCACGUGAGUGGAGGAAAGCGUGUAGGCUUGAAUCUCUUAAAAAAUUGGAACACCUUCAAGUAUGUGGUAUACGUAGACUGGGUGAUGUAUCAGAUGUGGGCGAGGCUAAGCGAUUAGAACUUGACAAAAAGAAAUACCUCUUCAGUUUGACCCUUGAGUUUGAUAAGAAGGAGGAAGAAGAAGGAGAAAGGAGGAAGAACGAGGACGAUCAAGUUCUUCUUGAAGCCCUACAACCACCUCUCAAUUUAAAGGAAUUAGAGAUAGAGUACUACCGAGGCAACACUGUUUUCCCCAGCUGGAUGACGUCAUUAACCAACUUAAAGAGUUUAGAUCUCUCUUCCUGCGAAAAUUGGGAGCAGCUGCCUCCUUUGGGAAAAUUGCCAUCCCUUGAAGCACUCAGCCUAUGGGACAUGAAGUGUGUGGAAAGAGUGGGUGAUGAAUUUUUGGGGAUAGAAAGUGAUCAUCAUGGCUCAUCUUCAUCGGUUAUUAUUGCCUUCCCCAAAUUGAAAUCACUUUCAAUUGAGGUUCUGCGCGAAUUGGAGGAGUGGGAUUAUGGGAUUACAAGAACGGGAAACACCGUCAUCAACAUCAUGCCACGUCUUUCUUCCUUGACAAUUGCACUUUGCCCCAAAUUAAAGGCACUGCCCGACCACUUUCAUCAAACGACAACAUUGAAGGAAUUGCACAUUUGGGAUUGCAGGCUUCUGGAAGAACGUUAUUGCAAGGGGGAAGGAGAAGACUGGCCUAAGAUAUCACACAUUCCCAACCUCCAUAUUGGGCUUUGACAAGUAAUUUCUUCUCUUACUCUGAUUUGCUUUGUUGUUGUUUUUAAUCUAAUUAAGAAGCGUAAAUAGCAUUUUGAAUCAAACUCUAUAUCAGAAAUCUGCAAUACUUACUUUCUAAUAUUCUGAUUUUCAUAUCCUAUGAAUAUACGAUUUUUAAUUUGUGAGAUGGGUAACGUUACUGUAAAAGAUUAUUAAUGCAAUAUGAGUAAUUCUUUUGCAGGACAAGUGACCUACAUUUAGUUUGGCUUUGGAGUUGAAUAAUAACCUUUCGAGGUCCCGACAACCAAAAAACGAAGCUUAAUUUGCCACAGAUUGCACGUAUUGCCAUUAUUGACAAUUUUCUGCACAAGCUUAGGUUGAUGUCAAAAGAGGUAAAUUAUUGGCAUGCCUGACUAUUUUGACCAUUACACGAUUCAUAAGUUUACAUUAAUUUUGAUUUUGAGUUGAGUGAUUAGUUUUCUAGGUUUGCUUACUUUAACUGGGUGACCAAUUUCUUGUAACUAAAUGUAUGAUGUGAAGCAGAACUCAAACAAAAGUAUGCUACUUCUUGCGGAAAUCUUGCCUUUGUUCAGAUUAUGAAACCAUUUCCAUGCAGCAAAUUCAUCCAAAAGUUUGAAUAAGUUUCACGGUUGGACACUGUUGGUUUCUUUUUCUUCUGGGGUGCAUUUAGGUGCUAUCAAGUGACAGCUGUAAGUAUGAUUGCACUAAGCUGCCGCUGGGAAAUUUGAGGUUUUGAUGGCUGCCCAUGUUAUUUUCAAGAAACUAUUGAUGUAAGAAGCUGUGGUUCUUUUCAUCAGCUUGAACCUGAAACUGUCGCUAUGGAUAACUCAGGUUUUUGUUAUCAACUAUAUCAUCUUUUUCACUAUUUUGAAACUCUUAAGAUUAAACUUUAGUAAAGUUGUUUCAGCUUUUCAAAUGAAAAACUCAUUGAUUUGAGACUUCCUUCAUUAUUGUUUCUAAUUACAAUGCUAACGAUCCAGAUAAGAUAAUAUUUAAUCGGCGAAGGUGUCCCUUGGAAGUACAUCCUUCUUUUUCUUUUAUUAUACAAAUUCUUGCAAUGAGCUUAGUGAAGCUGUUGUGCUAAUCAUGCCACUGCAUAAUUUGGCCCCUAAUGUGGGUACUCUGUUACAUUGUUCUGCAAAUUCUCCAGAAGUUAAAAUCAAUAAAUUUUCUAUUAGCUCUAGUGCUUUGACCUAAAUGCUAUUCUAUAUUCUGAUUACAAUGUUUUACCUUUAAAUUAACUACCCCUAGAUGUUGGAUUUUCUAGAACUUCAAAAUGAUUAAUGGAGAAAGAUCCCAUUAUCGUUAUUGCUAUAAAAAAUUGAUUUAUGCAUCCAAAGAUACAUUAUAUAUUUCUGUGUCUCUAUUUAUAGAUGACAUUUAAGCAUCCAUAAACCGUCAGACAGAGGAAGGGGGUUCAGUGCAAAGAUUCUGUUGACCUAGGGUUGACUGCAUAAUGUCACUUGUUCGCAAUCUAUUAUUCUUUUCAAGGUCUGCUUCCUUAACGGAGCGACCAAUGUUUUUCAACUAAAUUUAUCAUAUGAUGCAGGAAGCAGGGCAGGAUAUGAAAUGUGAAGCUCAUUGGUGGAAGUAUUGCCAGUAACAGAACCCAAAGAAAAUGAAACUAUUUCAAGGCAGCAGUUGGCAGUUGCAAGUGAAUGGAGGCCCUUGACAAAAUUCUCAAGCGGUUGCAAUGCAAUUACGAUCAUCCUCAGCCUCAGGUAAUUUCUUCUCCUGCUUUGUAUUUAUUUGUUAUCUAAUUAGGAACCGUAAAGUAUCUUGAAUCAUUUUCUGUAUCUGGAAUAUAUGCAAGAGUUUCUAAAAUUUUGAUAUGAGUGUAAUGAUGGUAAUUUCUGUUUUCUGUCUGUCAUCAAAUGUUAGAAAACUUUCAUUGAGACCCUUGAACCGAGUCAUUUUUGACAAGUGAAGUGCUGAAGAGUGAAGAGUAAGAAUGGUGCUAGAUUGGGGAAUAAAGCAAAAGGAGGUAAAUUAUUGGCAGCUUCUUCAACCUUAUUUUCUUUGGACCAGUGCCUAAUUCACAAGUCUCCAUAAUUCGGCUUUUGACCAGUUGAUAGAUAAAAUUUUAAUUUCAUUGGUGCUAAUGUACCCGUGAGGCAGGCAGAGAAGGACUGUGGAAAAGAGAAGGUUUUUAGUGAAAGCUUAAACUCAGGUAAUUCUAAAAAUUAUAUGUUUUGGCUGAUUUAUCUAAAUCAGGAAAUUUUAUUUCCAUCUGUUACAAUAAAACAGAAACAGAACACAAAGAAAAAUAUUCUACUUCUUGUGGCAAUCUUGCCUUCAUUCAGACUAUGAAACCAUUUCCUUUCACCAAUUUCUUCCAAAAGUUUGAACACAUUUCAUGGUUGGACAUAGUUAGCUUCUUUUUCUUUUGGUGCAUUUAGGUGCUAUCAAGUGACAGCCGUAAGUAUGAUUGCAUUAUUGGGAAAUUUUAGGUUUUGAUGGCUCCCCAUGUUAUUGCCAAGAAAUUUUAAGUCCUCGUGUCAGAAGCUGCGUUUCUUUUCAUCAGCCUGAACCCGAACCUGUCACUAUGGAUAACUGAGGUUUUUGUCAUCAACUAUAUCAUCUUUUUCACUGUUUUGAAACUCUUAAGAUUAAACUUCAGUAAAGUUGUUUCAGUUAUCCAUGUAAUCAGGCUAAGGAUAUUUAGCAGCUUAUUUAGGCAACUGCCAGAAUUCAGUUUGUUCGCUCGAAACUUGUAUGGUGACAAGGAUACUGGCAAGGAUAGUGAGAUAGUUUUUUGUGUGAGUGAAUUUUGAAAGCUUGGGUGUUCUGGGAUUUGCAAUUGCAAUCAUCCUCUGCUUUAGGUGAUUUCUUCUCCUGUUCUGUCUUUAUUUUCUCUCUAAUUGAAAGCAUUUCAAUCAAAUUCUGUACCAGGAAUACGAAAAAUUUACCAAUAUUUUAUUUCCAUCUGUUUGCAUUGAUAACUUGGCCGCAUAUGUACUAGUUAAAGAACAAACAGAAGCAGAGUUCAGGAAAAAGUUUCUUCGGCCACCAUAUUUGAAAAUGAAACCAUUUCCAGGAAGCAGUUGGCAGCAAAUUCAUACAAAGUAUAGACAAUGAUGAACAAAAAGGUGAUUCGCAAUUUCAUUUUUUUAAAAUGAAAUUAUUUGUUAAGUUGGAGCUGAUAUUGUUAGAAGGCCAUUGAGCUAACCUCUGACACUGCUUGCCUAGAUUGCAGGAGGUCAAGACUCAAAAGAUGCACUGAAUUUUAAAAGGCAUGCAAUAAUUCUUAUGGCCAUUUGUCAAUGGUGGAAUGCUUUUAGCUUCUUUUCCUUUUGUGCAUUUUGGGGUUCUAUCAAGCGACAGCCGUAUGUAUGGAUGGAUAUAGCUGCUGCGUUGAUUUCUAAUGCAUUGUAUGAUGUUAUAGCAACUAUCCAUCUGGUCAAUGUUUCAAAAGAAUAAGACAGGGAAAAAGAGAAAGCAAGUGGCCAAUCAAGUUGCAUCAACCAAAUUGUUGUUAAACAAGUAAAACAAAGAAAGAGAGUUAAGGAAGCUGACCUUGUAGUAGGGGAGCUGAAGAAAGGCUGCCAGUGAAUGUAAGAGAAAAUAAAAUGCAAGAAAUGGUGAAGUGCAGCUUUUCAUGUCAACUUGAAAUUGAUUUUUCUGUUUGUUUUUUUUUUUUUGUAAUCUUUUGGAUUUUUCAAACAAAGAAAAUGAGGAGCAACCAGGGAGAUAAAAAGGGCGCCAAGGCAACUGUGUGUUGGGUUUAGAGCCAAAAAUAAAUAAAUAAAUAAAUAAGACAUCGUGUUCUUGUGGAGACCAGACCUAUUACGUAACGUCCCCUUCAAUACCACUUGUUCCGUAUCUGGUUUUCUCUUCGUCGUUUACAUAUUUAUCCUGUGAUUUUACAAUAACUAAAUAAUCCCCGCAUAGUUUGCAAUUUUAUUCAUUUGGGCCCUACAGAUUUCAGUAAUAGGAAUUAUUAAGGGACAAGAGCGCAAAACAGAAACUCUGUCCACUACUGAUGAUAUAAUAACGAACCUUUGUUUUUUUUUUUUAAAAAAAAAAAGAGUAACAAAAUAUCAUUAGACAAAUGAAAAUAUUAUCUAACAUCACCUAUUCACCUUACUGAUGAUAUGAAAAUAUGUAUGUAUGUAUGUAUGUAUGUACAUAUAUACAUACACCUAUGUAACAUUUACUUAUACAUUCUUUUGAGUUUAAAUCUUAAUACAACUACAUACAACCACAUCAAUGUAUAUAUUUUUUACAUAAGACAUGCCGUCCUAUUAUUCAUAAGUAAACAAUGUGCCGUAAAUAGUAUUCUGUGUUUUCUCAAAGUUGACUUUUCGUCUUUUAUUUUCAGACGCAGACGCUAUGUCAUUUUGUAAUCGUCCGAACAUAUACAGAGCAGAAUUGGUGUUAUCUGAUUUUGUGAUGCAAUAAGAUUUGCACUUCCUGUGCAUUCAAUGGAAUCAUGCCACGCUAGUAGACAAUAUGCUAGUUUGAACAAACUUGUUUGAAUGGCAAAAACGACAUGACCUGCUGUAGUAUUAAUUCUUUCCCGAACCAACGGGUGAUUUGCUACGUUGGAUCAUGAAAAUUAACCAAAAUAAAAAUUCUUAAGGAAUUAGUUAGUUAAUUGAUUGAUCGAAUUUAAUCUAAAUUUGAAAAUGAUAAGAUAAAUUUAAAUUUAUUAUUAUUAUUAUUAUUAUUAUUUUAAAGUGGGUGGGUUUAUACAAUUUGAGCGGUGGAAAUAUCACUGCUGAAUUAUUAAAUAUACAGUGUAAAAUUUUGACCUUUAAAAUAUUCCCUUUUUUUUUUUAUUUAGCACUAUAAGUUUAAAAAUUUAACAUUUUACCUCAAUAAUUAAAUACUUUUAACUUUAAUCUUCAAAUAUUUACCCUACAACAUUUGGACCUAAAUUUUUAAUCCGACUCGGCCCCUGACCCAAGUGGGAAGAAGAUCAGGCUUAUAAGUUAUAACUAUCACCAACAUAACAUCUUCUGGAAAAUAAUAAGAUUACUCACCUGCAAUUAUGUGAUCAAACUAAUGGUAAGCAAAAUAGAACAGCGUUAUUUCAGUCCCCUUUCAGUUUCUUUAUCAUUUUUCUUUUCCUAUUUAUAAGCUUAAUUCGGUUCAAAAUCGGCUAAUUCACUUUGAUUUCACUUUUCUUUCUUUCGGUUCAAAAAAAUUGAACCCAUUGGCUGUCAAUUCAAUUUUGUUGAAAACCAACUUUGCCUGAAUUUAAGUAAUAAUAGAGGAAAAAAAAAGAGUACUUAGCAGAAGAGAUUUCUCAUUUUUUUCUCAUUCAAACUUCUAAAAUAAAAGAAAAAAAAACAAGAGUAAUUGUUAAUUAUCAAAAUUUUGUUUAUACUAUUCCACCAAGAAAAUUAUACAAAAAAAAAAAUUUUAAAAAUUGGAGAAGAAAUAUGAGGUGAAAUACGUGGAUGGCUUAGACUAAUAAUGUGAACAAAUUCCUCUUGGAAGCAUGUCAUUGUUCAUCCGGACAACACGCGGCGAUGAGAUUCGAGAAUAAAAGGAUAGGAAUCAACUGUAACCUCAUAAACAAAUGGCCUUGGAGUUGUAACCAAAGCUUUUAAUUAUUGAUCAUUAAGAUCGAUAUAAAGUAUCACGAAAUGAUGUGUACGACGACAAUAUCAAUAGCGUAGUGUGAAGACCUGGCUGUAAACACAAGGCUCGGCAGAUUAAUUAAACAAGAGUAUCCGAAUUUUCUAUGAUAAUCUCUAGGAAACGAUCAGCUAUAAUGUACGAAAUUAAAAUAUUGCAUAUAUUUUUGAAUUUUUGAACUCAUGCAUUAAUUUAAAAAAUUAUAUCGUAUUAUAAUUUAUUCACAAAAGAAAGAAAAAUUCACUAAUCAAGUGAAAUCGUAUUCUUAUUGAAAUGAAUUCCAGUAAUUGGAUAAAUAUAAGUAUUUCUUCCGUUGUAAUUUUUGUUUAACAGAAAAUCUAUUUGAGAUUUUGUGAGAAGAAACUCAACAAUAAAGUUUGAUAGACUUUGUGGAUAUUAAGAGUUUGACAAGUAAUUGAAAUCUGAAGUUUACUGAAAUUUACGAGCAAACAAACUGAAAUCCGAAGUUUACUGAAGUUUACUAUCAAGAGUUUCAAAACAGUGAAAAAGAUGAUAUAGUUGAUGACAAAAACCUGAGUUAUCCAUAGCGACAAGUAACAUACUGAAGUAAGCCGUUGGGAGCUGGCCUGUUCAUGGGCUAUUUUUCUCUGAUGAUCUGCAUUUUUCUUCCUUUUAAAGUGAACCUUGACUCGUAUCAAACCUGUCAAAAGAACAGUUCAUCAACUGAGCUGAGAUUUGCUUUCCUUUUUCAAAACCCACCUGAGAUAUUGUAAUUCCCAAAUUUCUCUCUCUCAGCUACACGAGCAAGCAGCCGCUUUUUCACUUCAUCGAAGAAGGUAAGCGAUUUAUCUAUUUCGUCCGAUUGAUUUCUUGUUUCGUUUUCAGUGUUCGGGUAAAUUAUUGGCAUGCCUGACUUUUUGACCAUUACAUGAUUCAUAAAUUUCUAUUAAUUUUGAUUUUGAGUUGACUGGUUACUUUUAUAGGUUUGUUUACUUUGACUAGGUGACCAAUUUCUUGUAACUAAAUUUAUGACGUGAUGCAGGAAGCUCGGCAGGAUAUGAAAUGAGAAUCUUAUUAGUGGAAGGAUUGCCAGUAACAGAACCCAAAGAAAAUGAAACCAUUUCAAGGCAGCAGUUGGCAGUUGGGAGUGGAUGGAGGCCCCUGACAAAACUUCAGUAAACUUCAGAUUUCAGUUUGUUUGCUCGAAACUUGCAUGGUGACAAGGAUACUGGCAAGGAUAAUGAGAUAGUUUUUGUGUGAAUGAAAUUACGAUCAUCCUCAGCCUUAGUUGUUAUUUGUUACCUAAUUAAGAAGCAUAAAGUAUCCUGAAUCAUUUUCGUUGUCUGGAACAUAUGAGUGUAAUGAUUGUAAUUUCUGUUUUCUGUCUGUCAUCGAAUGUAAGACAACUUUAUUAAGAUUCUUGAACCGAGUCAUUUUUGACAAUUGAAGGACAAGUGCUGAAGAGUGGGAAUGCAAAAAGUUUUGUUGUUUCUAGCCUUGUUUUCUUUGAACCAGCGCCUGAUGAUAUAACAGAAACAAGGCUAGAAACAACAAAAACUCUGUCCACUACUGAUGAUAUAACAACGAACCUUUGUUUUUUUCUUUUUUCUUUUUUUUUUUAAAAAAAGUAACAAAAUAUCAUUAGAGAAAUGAAAAUAUUAUCUAACAUCACCCUACUGAUGAUAUGAAAAUAUGUAUGUAUGUAUGUAUGUAUAUACGUAUGUAUGUACAUAUAUACAUACACCUAUGUAACAUUUAAUUAUACAUUCUUUUGAGUUUAAAUCUUAAUACACAUUUUCAUGAAAUUUUUAUUUUAUUAAGUAUACAACUACAUACAACUACAUUAAUGUAUAUAUUUUUUACAUAAGACAUGCCGUCCUAUUAUUCAUAAGUCAACAAUGUGUUGUAAAUAGUGUUCGUGUCUCAAAGUUGACUUUUCGUCUUUUAUUUUCAGACGCAGACGAUAUGUCAUUUUAUACACAGCAGAAUUGGUGUUAUCUGAUUUUGUGAUGCAAUAAGAUUUGCACUUCCUGUGCACUCAAUGGAAUCAUUUCUUUGUAACUAAUUGGGUGCUGGAAUGGUGGUCAAAUCUCGAACGAAGACAGAUCUAUCAAACUCCAGAAUUGGUGUUAUCUGAUUAAUUGAUUGAUCGAAUUUUAUCUAAAUUUGAAAAUGAUAAGAUAAUUUUGAAUUUAUUAUUAUAAUUAUUAUUUUAAAGUGGGGUGGGUUUAUACAAUUUGAGCGGUGGAAAUAUCACUACUGAAUUAUUAAAUAUACAGUGUAAAAUUUUGACCUUUAAAAUAUUCCCUUUUUUUUUUAUUUAGCAUCUAUAAAUUUAAAAAUUUAACAUUGUACCUCAAUAAUUAAAUACAUUUAACUUUAAUCUUCAAAUAGUUACCCUACAACAUUUGGACCUAAAUUUUUAAUCCGAUUCGGCCCCUGAUCCAAGUGGGAAGAAGAUCAGGCUUAUAACUAUCACCAACGUAACAUCUUCUGGAAAAUAAUAAGAUUAUUCACCUGCAAUUAUGUGAUCAAACUAACGGUAACCAAAAUAGAACAGCGUUAUUUGAGUCCCCUUUCAGUUUCUUUAUCAUUUUUCUUUUCCUAUUUAUAAGCUUAAUUCGGUUCAAAAUUGGCUAAUUCACUUUAAUAAGUUUAUUGGUUUGAACGCUGUUAGCUUCUUUUCCUUUCGUGCAUUUUGGUAUGCAACAGUUCUUGCCUAUGACACUGCUUGCCUAGAUUGCAGAAGGUCAAGGCUCAAAAGAAGCACUGAAUUUUAAAAGGCAUGCAACAGUUCUUGUGCCAUAUGUCAAUUCAUGCAAGUUUGAAUAAGUUUUUUGGUAUGCUAUCAAGUGACAGCCGUAUGUAUGGUUUGCAUAUAGCUGCUGCUGGGAAAUGUGAGGAUUUCAUGGCUGGCCGUGUUAUUGUCUUAAAUUAGAUGUGAUAAGCUGUUGCUUGGUGAUUCUGUUGCCAAGAAUUUGCUCACAUCAGAAGCUGUGGAACCUGAACCCUUCUCUAGAUAUCAUCUUUUUCAUUGUUUUAAAACUCUCAGGAUUAAACUUGAGUAAUUUUGUUCGGUUGUCUAUAUAAUCAUGUAUUGAGUAAACUCUCAGGAUACUGAGCAGGCAAAUGCCAUAACUCGGUUUGUUCUUCAAAAACUUGUUUAAGAUUCUUGACAAAGCUGCAUGAAGUGAAUCUUGGGAGCUUUGAGGGUGAGAGAAAUUAGAGGGUGUAUAGGGAUUUGGGCUUAUUAGGAAGUUAUAUAUGUAUUUCGUCACUUAUCAUUAUCAUUUUUUUUUUCACAGAAAACCUUCUGAUGGUGCUAAAUUUUCAAACACCGGUCCGAUUCAAAACUUCAUAUUCCAAUUAUAUUCAUAAGACAAAUGGAACACUUUGAACGGCUUGUGUCCGAGCAUUGUAGUUUGAUUUAUUUUGAUGACAGUACCUUUUGACAUUGAGAUUCUUUCAUGAUUUAAACAUUCUUUUAAAAACUAAAUUAUUAAAAAAAAAGUAACUAACAUAUAUUAUUUUAUUAGUGCUUUUUAAAUCAAAUAUACAUAGGAGAACUGUAAUUCUUAGCAAUCAAUUUUCCACUAAAUACACCUGCAACAAACUAUUAAUAGCAAAGUGAUAGAAAAUACCUGAUUUUUCAUACUUUCUAAUUUCUUUUGGUCCUAAAAUAUGGGCAUUUGUGUAAUAAUUAGCCCAUGUGGAUCUCUAUGCCAUGAGUUUGAUAAGUAGCUAUCAAGGAUCACUUAUUAAGCUAAAAAUAUUUGGAGGACAAAAUUGUAAAACUAAAAGGGUGGAGCAAAUAUGGCUAUCUAGGAUUAAAUAGUAAGUCAACUAUAUUUAAAGGAUAAAAUAUUAAAACUUGAAAUGUGAUAUUAAAAAUAUCUCAACUAUUAUGUUAUUAAACCAUAUGUUGUAAUAGUUUAUUUUUUAAGCUUCAAAAUGUUCAGGAUUUUAGAUUGAAACAUUUUCAUUUGAAAUUAUUUGGUGCAGUCACAAGUUAAGAAAGAAAAAGUUGUCCCAUUGGUCAUUUCACAAAAAUGAAAGCCCUGUAUAACAUGGGCUUGAAUGGAAGCCCAAUUGUUUGUGUUUGAUUAAUUGAUUUCAAGCUUUAUCGAACCUUUGUACCUGGAUACUUUACUGCGGCCUCUAAGCGCUAUAAAUUUUUUUGGGGAUAAACGGCGCUUCAAUGAGGUCAUCUCCGAUGCUUAACACCAUUUUGGUGUAAUACCAACAUUAAAAAUAUACAUUUUUCACACUAAAUUACUAUUUCAUCUCCAACCCAUUUACACCAAAAAAAAUAUUUUUCUUUUUAUUCUUUUAAUUCUCAAGAAUUAAUUCAAUUAACACAAUAAAUACUACUAUUAACAUAGAUAAUUAAGUAAUAAGUAAUUUUAUCGAUUAACAAAAAAAUAUAGAAAAUUAUUAAAUUUGCAUUUAAUUAACUAAAUUAGUACAUUAUGAAAAUUAAACAUUACAUUAAUAUAGAAAAAUACAAUAACAAUAAUAAUAAUUUUAUAUCUAAUAUUUUGAUGAUAUUGGAGGAUCUAAUAAUGAUCUUCCAGAUUAUUAAAUAAUUGUUCUAAUUUAUACUAGUAGUAGUAGCUUUUUUAAUUUGUGUUAAUUUAAUUUUGUAAUAUGUAAUAUAGUAAUUAAUGUUACUAGCAUUUUAUUAUUAUUAUUAAUUUUUGUGUUGAAUAUUUUUUAUUUAAAAUAUUAGUAUAAUAUUCAAAAAUUAAAAAAUGAAAUAAAAAUAAUAACAAAAAUAAUAAUAAUAAUAACUUAAAAUAUUAUAUAAAAUAGGACAUAUAUGUAAAUAAGAAAAAGUAAUAAAGAUAUUUAAGAGCUUUUUUUCCUAGCACCAAAUGAAUAGUGUUACACCAUAUUUGGUGCAAUACUAUUCACAACACCAUUUUGUUGUUGGUUUUGGUGUUACAUUGGAGAAGCAUUUUACACCAAAAAUAGUGUAAAAGGUGGUUUGGUGUUAGUUUUGGUGUCACAUUGGAGAUGGCCUGGAAAAGCACUUGAAAACUUUGGAUUUUUGGUUCGUCCAGUUACGGUGUUAUGCUAACGGGGUUAAAGGUUCCGAUCCAAUGAGUUAGGAUCCGAAGGUUACUGAAGUUUACUAUCAAGAGUUUCAAAACAGUGAAAAAGAUGAUAUAGUUGAUGACAAAAACCUGAGUUAUCCAUAGCGACAAGUAACAUACUGUUUAUUACAGAGAAACAAACGACAACAUGAUACUAGUAGUAGUUAUUCUUUUCAUCCGAUAUAUUACAUGGUAAUAUCACUACUCGUUCCACUAGUUUCAUGUACACUGUCGACCAGCAACAUGAUAAUUUCGUGCCAGUUCAUUUUGGUUUGUUGGAAAAAGCAGUGUAUUUCUUAGAACUUGAAAAUAAUAAAAAUAUUUUAAAAUAUAAAUUGCAUAUUUGUUUAUUACCAUUCUUUGGUCUAUUUCUUCUGUAGACUUUUCAGAAUCUGUAGGACGUUAGUUUAUAACUUUGGGAUUUUGUAGCCCUAAUUUUUUUUUUUGGCAUUUUAUUUUGCUGCUUUAUCUAUGUGCAUGUUAACUAAAUUAAGCUAAUCUAGAAUUAAUAGAGAGGGAUAUUUAUCUAUUUUGUUUAACCUUUACCACUCUAGGCAUUGUACUACAUGUGAGCUUGUGAUGCUUGCAUUUUAUUGAUGUUGAUGAUUCGUUGAAUGUUUUAUUUUUUGAUUUUUUAAGUUUUCCAGAGUCAUGUUUGUGUCUACGAAGAAAUUGUAAAGGCUGUGCACGAAGCACUUGUCAUUCUUUAGACUUUAUUGAUUAUAUUUUUGUCAGAUUUGCGUGUAUAUUCACAUAUGUUUUAUUUUUUCAUUUUGUAGGACAUUUUUACAUGCCAUAUUAUCACGACUCUUCUGUGUCUGAAUAAGAAGAAAGCAUAAUGCGACCCUCCAACAGCUUAAUCUAUGGAAUUAUCGUGUUUUGUAAGUUCUGGUCCAAUGGCGUUUUGGCACAUCAUAUGAUAGACCACUAUAUUGCGUUGCUUUACAAAAGAUUAAUAUUUUUAAAAUUAUUAACUCAUGAUAUGAUAGUCCAGGUUUUCGAGGACCACUAUAUUGUAUGGAUUUAAAAAAAAUUAAUAUUUUUUAAUAUUAAUAUUCUAAAUUAUAUUCAGUUAAAAUAUUAAAUAUUAAAUACAUUCUUAACAUUAAUAUUCUUAGAUGAAAUUCUUUUGCUGACUUAAGAAUAAAGUAUUAAAUAAUUUUAUUUUUCUUUUAUUUUGUAACGUGGACCCAAAAAAAAAAGGAAAUGAAUUUAAUAAAACCUUCAUUCCGCCAACAUGCAUGUUAAUUGUUUCCAAAUUCCAACCUCCGUACUCUCUUGAGGAGUUUCCCAUUCAUCAAUUAUUAUUUUUUAUAAUCCAUACCAUCCUGAUAUAAUUAAACACCAUUAAUAAUGUACCAGCCUUUAAAUAGUAAUUAAUUUAUUUAUCUAAUUCACCAAAUGUUUUUUUCCGGUACAUAUCUCCAUUGGUAUCAAGAAGAAGCAGAACCCAAAGAAAUGUUUCUUGCAUCUUCAUAUUUGUGCGAAUUCAUCCUUUCAUUGAGAAUAACCAUUUCCAGGCAGCAGUUGGCAAUCAAUUCAUGCGCAUGUCGAUGCUACUCAUAGAUAUUAAAGACAAUGAUGAACCAAAGGUAAUAAAUCAUAAAUGCAUAAUUACCAAACCUCCAUCCUUCUCUCAUUAUGACUUGAUUUUAAAUGAAUUAUUGCUUGGUAACAUUAUUUCCAACCAUUGCAAGAUUUUUUUUUGGAGAAAUUUCAAUUGAAAGUAAAACCUUUAGACAUUUACCUAAUGAAGUUAGUUAAUCGGGAGGGUGGAAAAAAAAAAGUUGACGCAAGUCAAUACACAAUAAUUAAUUAAAUCCGGAGUCACUAAAACAGAGCCACGACUUUUUCAAAAAUAUCUGCAUUCAUCACUUUCUCCAGCAACUAGUCAGCUACACACGAAUCAAUUUCUCUCCUCGUUUGUCAUCCAAAAUUAUUCACCAAUACCAUGGCUGAUGCAAUCGUUUCCCCGCUCUUGGAGCAGCUGAUUUCCUUCGCUGCUGAAGAGAUAAAACAACAGGUGAUCGAAGUUACACCCCUCAUAUUACAAAUACUUCCAAUGAUUUUAAUUGGUUUUGUUUUUAUCAAAAACAUUAUAUAUUUUUGCUUUUUUUUAUUUAUCUGAUAAUUUUAUAUUUUGAAAUUUGAAUUGAAUUUAAUUAAAAGGUGAUGUAGUAACCACUUAUUUUUAUUUUAUUUCAUUUAUAUUCUCAAUAACUACUCAUAUUUUGGUAACUUACUAUAACUUCCAUAUCUAAGAAAUGAUCCAAACCCACAAUUUUAACUAUGUAUAAAUAUUCAACGUUGAGCUAAGGUUUUGCAGAACAUUCAAGUUUAUCAAAUAGUCAUUAAUUUAAUGUUUUAGUAAAACCUCAACUCAUCACUGAAUCCCAUAGCUAUUACUUAGACACUAUGAAAAAUUUCAUAGUUUUCUUACAUUCUUUCAGUUUGGUAAGUGAUUUCAUAUAAUUUCUUUUCAAGUUAAAUUUUAAUUUGGUUUCUGAUAUAGUCUCUUUGCCGAAUUGUAUCUUUUAUGAUUCUUGGAUUUUGGGCUCCAACUUUUUAGGAUUUGAUAGUCACAUUUUAUGCCAUGCUCAGAUUGAUUUUCAUGAUUUUUAGUACCCGUUAAGUGACGUACAAUUUGACAAAAGUUUGAAAGGAAAUAUGUUUCAGAAUUCUGUUUUAAUUGACCUUUUAGUGGAAUUAGGAUGCUUAUAACUUAAUGUGGAUGGUUCGUAAAAUCAUGAAAUUUGGAUAGGAUUCACUAGCAAUAUGUACAAGACUCCCCAUAAAGUUUCAUAAUUUUUCAUUCGGUCUGGGGUGGUACAGGUGAAACUUGUGGUUGGUGUUGAAAAAGAAGUGAAAAGCCUUACCAGCCAUCUUCAAGCCAUUCAAGUUGUGCUCGAUGAUGCAGAGGAAAAGCAAGUGAAGGAAAAAGCUGUUAGUCUUUGGCUGGGUAGGCUCAAGUAUGCAUCCUACGACAUUGAAGAUGUGUUGGAUGAGUGGAUAACAACAAGACGCAAAUUGCAAAUUGAGGGUGGCGUUGAUGAAAAUGCUCUUGUUGUUCCUCAUAAGAAAAAGAAGGUAUGUCUCUGCUUUCCCGGCUCUUGUUUUGGAUUCAAACAAGAAGAAUUUGGUUUCAAACAGGUCUUUCUCCGUCAUGACAUUGCCGACAAGAUCAAAGAAAUCAAUGAAGAGCUACAUGAUAUUGCCGCUCAAAAAGACAUGUUUGAUCUUGUUAAGAGUGGCAAUAAAAGUAGUGAAAGACCAAGGCGUGUACAGAGUACCUCCUUGAUUGAUGAGGAAGAGAUUUGUGGCAGAGUUGGUGAGAGGAAUGAACUCUUAAGCAAGCUGUUGUGUGAGAGUAGCGAGCAACAAAAAGGCCUUCAUAUCAUCUCAAUCGUUGGUAUGGGAGGCAUAGGGAAAACAACUCUUGCACAACUAGCUUGUAAUCAUGACGAGGUGAAGAGAAAGUUCGACAAAAUUCUGUGGGUGUGUGUAUCAGAAACUUUUGAGGAGUUUAGGGUUGCCAAAGCGAUCGUUGAAGUUUUGGAUGGUCGUGAAUCUCAUUUAGCUGAAUUCCAUUCUCUUCUUCAACAUAUUUAUGAAUCCAUUGCAGGGAAGAGCUUUCUUCUUGUCUUAGAUGACGUGUGGGAUGGAAAUUACUUGAAAUGGGAACCAUUCUACCAUUGUCUAAAGAAUGGUCUCCAUGGAAGUAAAAUUUUAGUUACCACACGUAAAGGGUCAGUCGCAUCCAUGAUGGGAUCCAUAGAUAUUAUCUCCGUUAAGGAGUUAGCUGAAGAGGAAUGUUGGUUGUUGUUUAACAAGAUAGCAUUUUUUGAUCGGUCCAUCGAGGAACGUGAAAAAUUAGAACAAAUUGGGCAAAGAAUUGCAGGCAAGUGCAAAGGUUUACCUCUUGCAGCAAAGACAAUAGGGAGUCUCAUGCGUUCUAAACAAACUGAAGAAGAGUGGAAAAGAAUUUUAAAUAGUGAUUUAUGGAAAGUAGAAGAGAUUGAGAAAGAUGUUUUGUCCUCUUUAUUGUUGAGUUAUAAUGAUUUGCCAUCUAGAGUAAAAAGAUGUUUUUCAUAUUGUGCUGUCUUUCCAAAAGACUACAAUAUAGAAAAAGACAAACUAAUCACGUUAUGGAUGGCUCAAGGUUAUCUUAGUGCAGAAGAAGAUGAAGAGAUGGAGACAGUAGGUGAAGAGUAUUUUGGCAUCUUAGCUUCUCGCUCAUUUUUUCAAGAGUUUAAGAAAAGUUAUGAUAAUCGGAUUAUAGAGUGUAAGAUGCAUGAUAUGGUACAUGAUUUUGCCCGAUUUGUAAGUCAAAAUGAAUGUUUUUCGAUGGCAAUUAAUGGUAGUGAAGAACCAAACGCCACAAACUCUCUUGAUGAGAAGGUCCGUCAUUUAAUGUUAAUCUUUAGUAUAGAGGCUUCAUUACCUGUUUCCACUUGUAGAGUUAAAAGAAUUCGUAGCCUCUUAAUUAACGAUAGUAGAUCUGAUCAUUCAUUAUUAAAUGGUGAGAUCCUAGAAGAAUUAUUUAGGGAAUUGACAAGUUUAAGGGCAUUAGAUUUUUGCAAAUCGUAUAACGCAAGCUGGUCUUCGACUCUGGAGAUUCCGAGAAACAUAGAAAAGCUGGUACAUUUAAGAUACCUUAAUUUGUCUUAUCAGGGAAUAAAGAAACUACCGGAGACAUUAUGCGAGUUGUAUAAUCUAGAAAAGUUAGAUAUUAGUUAUUGUUAUAAGCUAGAAGAAGUACCUGAAGGGAUUGGGAAGUUAAUAAACAUGAAGCAUUUACGAAAUAGAGGUACUAGUUCUUUAAGGUACAUGCCGGUAGGGAUUGGGAGAUUAACGGGUCUUAGGACCUUGGGUGAGUUCCACGUGAGUGCAGGAGGAGGUGUUGAUGGUAGGAAAGCAUGUAGGCUUGAAUCUCUUUAAAACUUGGAACACCUUCAAGUAUGUGGUAUAUGUAGACUGGGUGAUGUAUCAGAUGUGGGCGAGGCUAAGCGAUUAGAACUUGACAAAAAGAAAUACCUCUUCAGUUUGACCCUUGAGUUUGAUAAGACGGAAAGAGGAGGAGAAAGGAGGAAGAACGAGGACGAUCAACUUCUUCUUGAAGCCUUGCGACCACCCCUGGAUUUAAAGGAAUUAGAGAUACGGUACUACCGAGGCAACACUGUUUUCCCCAGCUGGAUGGCGUCAUUAACCAACUUAAAGAGUUUACAUCUCCAUAGGUGCGAAAAUUGCGAGCAGCUGCCUCCUUUGGGAAAAUUGCCGUCCCUUGAAAAUCUCUACAUAUGGCGCAUGGAGAGUGUGAAGAGAGUGGGUGAUGAAUUUUUGGGGAUAGAAAGUGAUCAUCAUGACUCAUCGUCAUCUUCAUCAGUUACUAUUGCCUUCCCCAAAUUGAAAUCACUCACAAUUUAUUCGAUGCUGGAAUUGGAGGAGUGGGAUUAUGAGAUUACAAGAACAGGAAACACCGUCAUCAACAUCAUGCCACGUCUUUCUUCCUUGACAAUUGUUGAUUGCACCAAAUUAAAGGCACUGCCCGACCACAUUCAUCAAACGACAACGUUGAAGGAAUUGAGCAUUUUUAUGUGUUGGCUUCUGAACAAACGUUACCGCAAGGGGAAAGGAGAAGACUGGCCUAAAAUAUCACACAUUCCCAACCUCCAUAUUGGGCUUUGACAAGUAAUUUCUUCUCUCACUCUGAUUUGCUUUGUUGUUGUUUUUGUUGAAAAGUUAAAAAGUUUGGUUGGAAAAGAAAAGUGAGCCACAUGCAUUGCUUUUGUUUUUCAAAGUCGGCACCAAAUUGCAAACUGUAUUUGGCAUUUGACAAUCCUGCACCAAAUGAAGAAAAAUGCAAAAGUUAGCAAAAUUUGUCAAAUUGACAGAGAUGGAGAUUGAUAAAUUGCAGAGGGAUUAGGUGGAAUAGUGCAUGCUUGAAGCCUAUAAAUUGAAGCCAUUUCUUCAUUCUAAAUAAUCCCAAAAUUGUUAAACUUAUAAGUUUCUAAGCUUUUGAGAGAAGUGAGAGAAGUGUGUCUGUGGAAUUUAUUUUUCCUGCAGAGUGUGAGAGUACUUGGUAUAUUUGGGUUUCUGGGAAGUGAGAUUCGUUACUCAAAUAUUGUAUUCUAUUAAUUGUUAAAUAAACAAUUAUUCUUUCUUACCUCCGUGGAUGUAGGUUUAAUUACCGAACCACGUAAAAUCUUGUGUCCUUUAUUUUUCAGUAAUUAUUUGGUGCGCUUGAUUCCGCAUUCCGCGCACAACAGUUUUUAAUCUAAUUAAGAAGCGAAAAUAGCAUUUUGAAUCAAACUCUAUAUCAGAAAUCUGCAAUACUUACUUUCUAAUAUUCUGAUUUUCAUAUCCUAUGAAUAUACGAUUUUUAAUUUGUGAGAUGGGUAACGUUACUGUAAAAGAUUAUUAAUGCAAUAUGAGUAAUUCUUUUGCAGGACAAGUGACCUACAUUUAGUUUGGCUUUGGAGUUGAAUAAUAACCUUUCGAGGUCCCGACAACCAAAAAACAAAGCUUAAUUUGCCACAGAUUGAACGUAUUGCCAUUAUUGACAAUUUUCUGCACAAGUGUGACUGAACUUAGGUUGAUGUCAAAAGAGGUAAAUUAUUGGCAUGCCUCACUAUUUUGACCAUUACAUGAUUCAUAAGUUUACAUUAAUUUUGAUUUUGAGUUGAGUGAUUAGUUUUCUAGGUUUGCUUACUUUAACUGGGUGACCAAUUUCUUGUAACUAAAUGUAUGAUGUGAUGCAGGAAGCAGGGCAGGAUAUGAAAAGAGAAGCUUAUUAGAGGAAGGAUUGCCAGUAACAGAAUCCAAAGAAAAAGAAACCAUUUCGAGGCAGCUGUUGGCAGUUGGCAGUGAAUGGAGCCCCUUGAAAAAAUUCCCAAGCCGUUGCACUGCAAUUACGAUCAUCCUCGGCCUCAGGUAAUUUCUUCUCCUGCAUUUUUGUUAUUUGCUAUCAAGUGACUAUUUUAAGUAUGAUUGCAUUAAGCUGCUGCUGGGAAAUUUGAGGUUUUGAUGACUGCCCAUGCUAUUGUCAGAAGCUGCGGUUCUUUUCAUCAGCCUGAACCUGGACCUGCCGCUAUGGAUAACUCAGGUUUUUUUUUUUUUUUAAUCAACUGCCAUCUUUUCCACUGUUUAGAAACUCUUAAGAUUAAACUUUAGUAAAGUUGUUUUAGUUAUCCAUGUAAUCAGGCUGAGGAUACUUAGCUGCCUAUUUAAGCAAAUGUCAGAAUUUAGUUUGUUCGCUGGGAACUGGUGUGGACUGGCAAAGGAUGAUGAGAUAGUUUUUUGAGUGAGUAAAUUUUGGGAGCUUGAGUGUAUUGGGAUUUGCAAUUACAAUCAUCGUCUGCCUCAGGUGAUUUCUUCUCCUGCUCUAUCAUUGUUUGUUCUCUAAUUCAAAAGCAUAAAAUAUUUCAAUCAAUUUUUAUGCCAGGAAUAUGCAAAAGUUUCUAAUAUUUUAUUUCCAUCUGUUACAAGAUCAAACUGAAGUAGAACUCAAACAAAAGUAUGCUACUUCUUGCGGAAAUCUUGCCUUUGUUCAGAUUAUGAAACCAUUUCCAUGCAGCAAAUUCAUCCAAAAGUUUGAAUAAGUUUCAUGGUUGGACACUGUUGGCUUCUUUUUCUUCUGGGGUGCAUUUAGGUGCUAUCAAGUGACAGCUGUAAGUAUGAUUGCACUAAGCUGCCGCUGGGAAAUUUGAGGUUUUGAUGGCUGCCCAUGUUAUUUUCAAGAAACUAUUGAUGUAAGAAGCUGUGGUUCUUUUCAUCAGCUUGAACCUGAAACUGUCGCUAUGGAUAACUCAGGUUUUUGUUAUCAACUAUAUCAUCUUUUUCACUAUUUUGAAACUCUUAAGAUUAAACUUUAGUAAAGUUGUUUCAGCUAUUCAAAUGAAAAACUCAUUGAUUUGAGACUUCCUUCAUUAUUGUUUCUAAUUACAAUGCUAACGAUCUAGAUAAAAUAAUAUUUAAUCGGCGCAGGUGUCCCUUGGAAGUACAUCCAACUUUUUCUUUUAUUAUAUAAAUUCUUGCAAUGAGCUUAGUGAAGCUGUUGUGCUAAUCAUGCCACUGCAUAAUUUGGCCCCUAAUGUGGGUACUCUGUUACAUUGUUCUGCAAAUUCUCCAGAAGUUAAAAUCAAUAAAUUUUCUAUUAGCUCUAGUGCUUUGACCUAAAUGCUAUUCUAUAUUUUGAUUACAAUGUUUUAACCUUUAAAUUAACUACCCCUAGAUGUUGGAUUUUCUAGAACUUCAAAAUGAUUAAUGGAGAAAGAUCCCAUUAUCGUUAUUGCUAUAAGAAAUUGAUUUAUGCAUCCAAAGAUACAUUAUAUAUUUCUGUGUCUCUAUUUGUAGAUGACAUUUAAGCAUCCAUAAACCGUCAGACAGAGGAAGGGUGAUGGGUGUCGAAGCCAACAAAAAUAAAUUCCUACUCUAAAUAAAUUGUGUAUAGUGAUUGAGCAGGGUCGUGUCCACAGAGAUCGGUAAUUAAUUAAAUCCUUUUGAAACGUAAAACAUAAAAUGGGGGAAUUGUUGACAAUAAUAAAAAUCAAAUUAAAAUAACAAGAAUGCAAAUUAAAGUUGUAAUUCAAAUUAGAGAAAGCUCUGGUUGAAGGAAUUAACUCAGCUUGAUUCGACUACUGAUCAUUGAUUCAAAUAUAGAUUAUUAUUACUCAUGAAUAGACCGGUUAUAGCUACUGAGACCCUCUAAUAGCCAAUCUCUCCUUAACUAGUCGAUAACCAAGGUACGACCAUUGGUUAUUUCCCUAAUCAAUAGACAACCCUAGAUACGAUCAUAGAAUUUAAUCAAUUGACAGCCUGAAAAACCAGAGAGACCCAAAUCCUAAUCAACACAUAUGAUGAUUCAUUUAAAUUAGAUUGUUUAUUCUCACAACACAACUCUCUGCUAUGUUAUUUGUCACAAACAUUAAAUUCUUCAUACGAUGAAUCCUUUAAUUGACAAUAGAUUAAGUUGAUAAUUAAAUAGUGGCCAAUUACCUAAUUAACAAACAUAAUCAUGAAAAUAAUUCAGAGAAUAAACAAAUACCCAAAAAGUAAUAAAACAAUUAAAGCACAAGAAAGAUCUCACAGUAGUGAUGAAUCAAAGCUUCAUUAACCUUCAACCAGAAAAAUAGGUUUAGCUCUUCAUAGAGAGAAGAGAAAAAUUAGAUCUAGGGUUUCUUUCUUUUUCUCCAAUCCAAAAAUCCCCCUUUUUCACAAUAGAUUCCUCCCUUAAAUACUUUCUCUCUCUUCUCUUUUAGAAUUCUAUUUAAAAUAAAAUCCUAAUAUCUGAAAUAUUAAAUUCGUAAUUACAAAAAUAACCAAAAAUACAAAACACGUUAAACUAAAAACUGCAGGUCCGCAGUUGACAGCACGCGCCCACGCCUUAUCAACAAAGUUCUUCUGACGCUCAUAAUUUCUCCAAGAGAACAAUCAUCCUUAAACAUCAUCUUAUAGCUCAAUUUUAUCAUCAAUCAAUAGAAUUGCACCUACAAAAGUAAAACACAAGUAAAUCACUAUUAUUAAGUGCAAAACAUUGAUAUUAAGGGAAGUAAAUAAUGCAAAACUAGUGCAUAAAUUGCACUCUAACAAAGGGGGUUCAGUGCAAAGAUUCUGUUGACCUAGGGUUGACUGCAUAAUGUCACUUGUUCGCAAUCUAUUAUUUAUUUUAUAUUUUGAAGAAUUUAAUGGGUAAUCCUAAUUGUUUGUUUUGGCAGGUAUGUGUUGUUAUCUCCUUCUAUCUAACAGUCGUACCUAAAUAGCAUAGUUUCAUCUGUGUUACCAUGUGAUGUACAUAAUUUCACAUUUGCCUCAGAUUAAGCUUAAUUUCCCACAAAAUAGAGCUGUCGCGACUGGACUUAGGUUGAUGUCCAAAGAGGUAAAUUAUUGGCAUGCCUAGAUAAUUUGGCCAUUUCCUAAUUCAUAAGUCUACAUUAUUUUUGAUUUUGAGUUGACUGAUUUCUUUUCAAGGUCUGCUUCCUUAACGGAGUGACCAAUGUUUUUCAACUAAAUUUAUCAUAUGAUGCAGGAAGCAGGGCAGGAUAUGAAAUGAGAUCUCAUUGGUGGAAGUAUUGCCAGUAGCAGAACCCAAUGAAAAUGAAACUAUUUCAAGGCAGCAGUUGGCAGUUGCAAGUAAAUGGAGGCCCUUGACAAAAUUCUCAAGCGGUUGCAAUGCAAUUACGAUCAUCCUCAGCCUCAGGUAAUUUCUUCUCCUGCUUUGUAUUUAUUUGUUAUCUAAUUAGGAAGCGUAAAGUAUCUUGAAUCAUUUUCUGUAUCUGGAAUAUAUGCAAGAGUUUCUAAAAUUUUGAUAUGAGUGUAAUGAUGGUAAUUUCUGUUUUCUGUCUGUCAUCAAAUGUUAGAAAACUUUCAUUGAGACCCUUGAACCGAGUCAUUUUUGACAAGUGAAGGACAAUUGCUGAAGAGUGGGAAUGGUGCUAGAUUGGGGAAUAAAGACAAAGGAGGUAAAUUAUUUGCAGUUUAUUCAGCAUUAUUUGCUUUGGACCACCGCCUGAUUCACAAGUCUCCAUAAUUUGGCUUUUGAGCAGUUGUUAAUAAAUUUUUAAUUCCAUUGGUGCUAAAUGUGCACGUGAAGCAGGCAGAGCAGGACUGUGGAAAUGAGAAGGUUUUUAGUGAAAGCUUAAACUCAGGUAAUUCUAAAAAGUACAUGUUUUUGCUGAUUUAUCUAAAUCAGGAAGUUUUAUUUCCAUCUGUUACAAGAUAAAACAGAAACAGAACACAAAGAAAAAUAUUCUACUUCUUCUGGCAAUCUUGCCUUCAUUCAGACAAUGAAACCAUUUCCUUUCACCAAUUUCUUCCAAAAGUUUGAAUAAGUUUCAUGGUUGGACAUAGUUAGCUUCUUUUUCUUUUGGUGCAUUUAGGUCCUAUCAAGUGACAGCCAUAAGUAUGAUUGCAUUAUUGGGAAAUUUUAGGUUUGGAUGGCUCCCCAUGUUAUUGCCAAGAAAGUCCUCAUGUCAGAAGCUGCGGUUCUUUUCAUCAGCCUGAACCCGAACCUGUCGUUAUGGAUAACUCAGGUUUUUGUCAUCAACUAUAUCAUCUUUUUUACUGUUUUGAAACUCUUAAGAUUAAACUUCAGUAAAGUUGUUUCAGUUAUCCAUGUAAGCAGGCUAAGGAUAUUUAGCAGCUUAUUUAGGCAACUGCCAGAAUUGAGUUUGUUUGCUCGAAACUUGUAUGGUGACAAGGAUACUGGCAAGGAUAGUGAGAUAGUUUUUUGUGUGAGUGAAAUUUGAAAGCUUGGGUGUUCUGGGAUUUGCAAUUGCAAUCAUCCUCUGAGUCAGGUGAUUUCUUCUCCUGCUCUGUCUUGAUUUUCUCUCUAAUUGAAAGCAUAAAGUAUUUCAAUCAAAUUCUGUACCAGGAAUACGUAAAAGUUACUAAUAUUUUAUUUCCAUCUGUUCGCAUUGAUAACUCGGCGGCAUAUGUGUUGUGCGCGGAAUGCGGAAUCAAGCGCGCCAAAUAAUUAUAGAAAAAUAAAGGACACAAGAAUUACGUGGUUCGGUAAUUAAACCUACAUCCACGGAGGCAAGAAAGAAUAAUUGUUUAUUUAACAACUAAUAGAGUACAAUAUUUGAGUAACGAAUCUCACUUCCCAGAAACCCAAAUAUACCAAGUACUCUCACACUCUGCAGGAAAUAUAAAUUCCCCAGACACACUUCUCUCACUUCUCUCAAAAGCUUAGAAACUUAUAAGCUUAACAAUUUUGGGAUUAUUUCAAAUGAACAAUUUCCCUUCUAUAUAUAGGAACCGUAGCUCACCUACCACUUCCAAUUUGGCUACAACUUGCCGAAUUGAUAAAUUGAAUUUAGAAUGGAAAAUCAAUUUGGUGAGCAACAAAAUCAACAAGUUUGAAAAAUCAAUUGGCUUCUAGAAAAACAUCACAUUUUUCCUCCAUACAAUUUCAACAAAAUCGUCCCACCAACCAUGUCUUUUGAAAUUUGCAUGCCAUUCUUUGACUUGUUGUGCGCGGAAUGCGGAAUCAAGCUCACCAAAAAUUACUGCAAAAAUAAAGGACACAAGAAUUUACGUGGUUCGGUAAUUAAACCUACAUCCACGGAGGCAAGAAAGAAUAAUUGUUUAUUUAACAAUUAAUAGAAUACAAUAUUUGAGUAACGAAUCUCACUUCCCAGAAACCCAAAUAUACCCAGUACUCUCACACUCUGCAGGAAAGAUAAAUUCCCCAGACACACUUCUCUCACUUCUCUCAAAAGCUUAGAAACUUAUAAGCUUAACAAUUUUGCGAUUAUUUCAAAUGAACAAUUUCCCUUCUAUAUAUAGGAACCGUAGCUCACCUACCACUUCCAAUUUGGCUACAACUUGCCGAAUUGAUAAAUUGAAUUUAGAAUGGAAAAUCAAUUUGGUGAGCAACAAAAUCAACAAGUUUGAAAAAUCAAUUGGCUUCUAGAAAAACAUCACAUUUUUCCUCCAUACAAUUUCAACAAAAUCGUCCCACCAACCAUGUCUUUUGAAAUUUGCAUGCCAUUCUUUGACUUUUCAACAAUUCUCCACCUCGGCGAAAAUUUUCCAAAUCUGAGCCGACUACCAACUAACCAUCCCCAAAGUGAUCCUUCAAUAAGGAUCCAGAAUGGCUGUGUCGAUUCGACUGCCUACGUACCCAAACUGUCUUGAUUUUCUCUCUAAUUGAAAGCAUAAAGUAUUUCAAUCAAAUUCUGUACCAGGAAUACGUAAAAGUUACUAAUAUUUUAUUUCCAUCUGUUCGCAUUGAUAACUCGGCGGCAUAUGUGUUGUGCGCGGAAUGCGGAAUCAAGCGCGCCAAAUAAUUAUAGAAAAAUAAAGGACACAAGAAUUACGUGGUUCGGGAAGCAGUUGGCAGCAAAUUCAUAUGGAGUGUAGACAAUGAUGAGCAAAAAGGUGAUUCUCAAUUUCUUUUUUUUUUAAAGUGAAAUUAUUUGUUAGAUUGAAGCUGAUAUUGUAAGAAGGCCAUUGAGCUAACCUAUGUCGCCACUUGCCUAGAUUGCAGGGGGUCAAGACUCAAAAGAAGCACUGAAAUUUAAAAAGCAUGCAAUAGUUCUUUUGCCAUGUAUCAAUUAAUGCAAGUUUGAAUAAAAUUAACAUAUAUCAAGACACAACUAGAAACAUCAUACUUUCGUGUAAGUUCAUUUCAGAAUAUUUCUUAGAGUUUGUAUAAAAUGAAAAGAUUUUAAAAUAUAAAUUUAAUAUUUGUUUAUUACCGUUGUUUGGUCUAAUUUCCUCGGGAGAAUUUUCAGAAUUUAUAGGACAUUAGUUUAUAAUUUUGAAAUUUUGUAACCUAAAUGUUUUUUUUUUUCGGUUACCAUUUUGUUUUCCUGCUUUAUCUACGUGUAUGUUGACUAAAACUAAUCUAUUUUGUUAAACCUUUACCACUUUAGACAUUGCACUAAAUAUGAGUUCGUGAUGCUUGCAUUUUAUUGAUGCUGAUGAUUCGUUGAAUGUUUUAUGUUUUUGAUUUUUAAGUAUUCCGGAUCGAAGUUUGUGUCUACGCGGAAAUUGUAAAGGCAGCAUAUAAAGUACUCGUCGUUCUUUAGAUUUUAUUGAGUACACUUUUUUCACAUUUAGCGUAUGCUAUACACUACUGAUUUGCGCAUUGACAUAUAACUUAUUUUAUCAUUUUGAAUGAAUUGCACGGCGAGGCUUAUCAACUUUGGAUGAAUCCUCCAAUUGUCACAGUCCAAGACUGGCUGCAGUGAGUGAAAAUUUACCCAUAUAUAUGCUGGCUAUUUUUAUUGGCGACGAAUUCGUUGUAGUUGGUCCAUCUUGCUAUUCUCGGACAAUAUUAGAGAAAAUAAUCAUAUUAUUUCGCGUGAUGUGACCUUCCAUAACUUAUCAAUUGAAUUACUGUAAAAUUAUUGUGUAAGUUUAGGCCCAAUGGCACUUUAGUUCAUCACAUGAUAGCCUGGAUUUAAAUGGAAAACUAUAUUGCAUUGCUUCAAAAAAAUAAAUUAAUGUUUUUAAUAUGAAUAUUUUUAACUAUAUUCAGUUAAAAUAAUAUAUUCUUAAUAUUAAUAUUCAUAGAUGAAAUUCUUUUGCGGAUUUAAGAAUAAAAUAUCAAAUAGUUUUAUUUUUCUUUUGUUGUGUAACUUGGACCGAAAAAGAAAAUGAGCUUAACAUGACCCUCCUUCCGGCACUAUGCAUGUUUUUCUUGUAUUGAUGACAGUGCUCUUGGUGCUUCUCAUCUGCUUCUUGCUUUGGUUUCAAACAAGUCUUUCUCCGUCAAGACAUUUAUUGUAAUUUCAUUUGGAGACAUCUGUCGUUCAAAUAUAUUUCAUAUUCAAGCUGUUGAUAAUUCUGCUUGAGAAAGCCUACAAAGCAGCUGUGUGAUGUAAUGGAAGACUAUAUAUGCAAGCGGUCAUCAGUUUCUCUUGAAUUCUUUCUUGAGUUUCUUUGAAUUAUUUGUGAAUGAGUUCUUAAUCGGCUGCUGCUCUUCAGGAAAAGGAAAGUUUUGCAAACUGGUGAAGCUGAUCGAUAAAAGCAAUGUACCAUCUUUGCUGGCAUGGAUCGAUGCCAGUGAGUAGCUCAUUGGUGGAAGUAUUGCCAGUAACAGAACCCAAAGCAAAUGAAACUAUUUCAAGGCAGCAGUUGGCGCUUGCAAGUGAAUGGAGGCCAUUGACAAAAUUCUCAAGUGGUUGCGAUGCAAUUACGAUCAUCCUCAGCCUCAUGUAAAUUCUUCUCCUGCUUUGUUUUUAUUUGUUAUCUAAUUAAGAAGCACAAAGUAUCUUCAAUCAUUUUCUGUAUCUGGAAUAUAUGCAACAGUUUCUAAAAUUUUGAAACGAGUGUAAGGAUGGUAAUUUCUGUUUUCUGCCUGUCAUCCAAUGUUAGACAACUUUCAUUGAGACUCUUGAACAGAGUCAUCUUUGCUGGCAUGGAUCGAUGCCAGUGAGUUUUUUUAUUUGUCAACCUUUUUAAUAAUGCAUAUGUGUUUCUUCAACUUGAAGCGGCAUAUAAGACGAAAGAAGUGAUCUUUAUCCAAUUGCUCCAAAUUAUUUGCAAAUUACUGAACACGAAUGCUGAUGAAUAAACUGAUGGCUCUAUGUAUGUAUGCACAUGCAUGGAGAAAUUUUAAGUCAGACAUUGACUCGUGGUACCAAAUCAUUAAAUAAUCUUGAAAUCAAAGUAAUAAUUAAAUACAAAUAAAUUGCUCGAAUUGUACAUAUAUCUGAAUCAUGUAGUGAAGAAAAUACAACAACAACAGCCAAUGGCUCAAAUUCCCUAUCAACUUCUAGUCUCAACACUUUUGAGUGUCAGAAGCAUUACUCUGCUACUAGUUAACAAACAUAUAAUUAGUAAUUUGCCAUUCACUUCCCUUUUAGGCCUAACACAUUUUCUAUAAAAGAGCCACAGAGUGAACUCAGCAGGAAACACUCAAUUUCAACCUACGUAGGACCAGGAAUUUCAACCAAAAAAAAAGUGUGCAAUUGCUUAUCCUAUCCUAUUGCUACUAGAAAGAAAGUGAACAAUUAAUUUCAGUGAAUAAAUUAAAAAAAAAAUUACUUCUGCAGAUACUCAAGCUAAGAACACAUUAACCCAUUAAAGACUCCAAAUUGCAUCAAACAAAUUGUUGUUAAACAAGUAAAACAAAGAAAGAGAGUUAAGGAAGCUGACCAAGUAGUAGGGGAGCUGAAGAAAGACUGCCAGUGAAUGUAAGAGAAAAUAAAAUGCAAGAAAUGGUGAAGUGCAGCUUUUCAUGUCAACUUGAAAUUGAGUUUUCUGUUUUUUUUUUUUUUUUUAAUCUUUUGGAUUUUUCAAACAAAGAAAAUGAGGAGCAACCAGGGAGAUAAAAAGGGCGCCAAGGCAACUGUGUGUUGGGUUUAGAGCCAAAAAAAAAAAGAAUAAGACAUCGUGUUCUUGUGGAGACCAGACCUAUUACGUAACGUCCCCUUCAAUACCACUAGUUCCGUAUCUGGUUUUUUCUUCGUCUUUUACAUAGUUUGCAAUUUUAUUCAUUUGAGCCCUACAGAUGAUAUAAGGGACAAGAGCGCAAAACAGAAACUCUGUCCACUACUGAUGAUAUAACAACGAACCGGGGUUUUUAAUUAAAUACCCUUUAAUAGUUUCAAAAUUAUUUAAAUACCUCCUCCCUUUUUAGUUUUCAUGGAUACCCUAACAAAAUUAUUUAAAAAUGGUUCAAUUUUAUUCUACUCUCAGGAAUUAAGUGUUGGAUAGACUAGAAAAUUCUGAGUACAAAGCAUCGCUUGUUUUCGUUGGUUUUUUUUUUGCAUUCCAGUAGAAAGGUUGUGUACAAUUGAAUCUGAUAACUAUGGCAGGAGGUAAGUUUUCUAACUUGCGCAUGAUGAAUAUAGUCUUUUAUUUCUUCCAUUGUAAUUUUUGUUUAAUAGAAAAUCUAUUUGAGAUUUUGUGAGAAGAAACUCAACAAUAAAGUUUGAUAGACUUUGUGGAUAUUAAGAGUUUGACAAGUAAUUGAAAUCUGAAGUUUACUGAAGUUUACGAGCAAACAAACUGAAAUCCGAAGUUUACUGAAGUUUACUAUCAAGAGUUUCAAAACAGUGAAAAAGAUGAUAUGGUUGAUGACAAAAACCUGAGUUAUCCAUAGCGACAAGUAACAUACUGAAGUAAGCCGUGGGGAGCUGGCCUGUUCAUGGGCUAUUUUUCUCUGAUGAUCUGCAUUUUUCUUCCUUUUAAGUGAACCUUGACUCGUAUCAAACCUGUCAAAAGAACAGUUCAUCAACUGAGCUGAGAUUUGCUUUCCUUUUUCAAAACCCACCUGAGAUAUUGUAAUUCCCAAAUUUCUCUCUCUCAGCUACACGAGCAAGCAGCCGCUUUUUCACUUCAUCGACGAAGGUAAGCGAUAAUAUCUAUUUCGUCCGAUUGAUUUCUUGUUUCCUUUUCAGUGUUCGGGUAAAUUAUUGGCAUGCCUGACUUUUUGACCAUUACAUGAUUCAUAAAUUUAUAUUAAUUUUGAUUUUGAGUUGACCGGUUACUUUUAUUGGUUUGCUUACUUUGACUAGGUGACCGAUUUCUUGUAACUAAAUUUAUGACGUGAUGCAGGAAGCUGGGCAGGAUAUGAAAUGAGAAUCUUAUUAGUGGAAGGAUUGCCAGUAACAGAACCCAAAGAAAAUGAAACCAUUUCAAGGCAGCAGUUGGCAGUUGGGAGUGAAUGGAGGCCCCUGACAAAACUUCAGUAAACUUCAGAUUUCAGUUUGUUUGCUCGAAACUUGCAUGGUGACAAGGAUACUGGCAAGGAUAAUGAGAUAGUUUUUGUGUGAAUGAAAUUACGAUCAUCCUCAGACUCAGGUAAUUUCUUCUCCUGCUUAGUUGUUAUUUGUUACCUAAUUAAGAAGCAUAAAGUAUCUUGAAUCAUUUUCGUUGUCUGGAAUAUAUGCAACAGUUUUUAAAAUUUUGAUAUCAGUGUAAUGAUUGUAAUUUCUGUUUUCUGUCUGUCAUCGAAUGUAAGACAACUUUAUUAAGAUUCUUGAACCGAGUCAUUUUUGACAAUUGAAGAACAAGUGCUGAAGAGUGGGAAUGCAAAAAGUUUUGUUGUUUUUAGCCUUGUUUUCUUUGAACCAGCGCCUGAUUCACAAGAGUUCAUUAAUUUGGCUUUUGAUCAGCUGAUUGAUAAAUGUUCAAUUUCUUUGGUGAUAAAUGUAUAUGUGAAGCAGGCAGCAGGGCAUGACUGUGGAAAAGAGAAGAUUUUAGUGAAAGCUGAGACUCAGAUAAUUCUACGCGUUUUGGCUGAUUUAUAUAAUUCGUGAAAUUUUAUUUCCAUCUGUUACAAGAUCAAACUGCAAUUAGCAAUUUAACAUUCCCUUAAAACCACUAGCUACAUUUCAUCUUUGCACAAUUACACUUAAAAUUCCACUAAAAGAAACUCUUGAGUUGCUCGCAAGCUAUAUGUCAUUAUCCAUUGAAUUCUUACCACAUACAUCUCACCUUUCAAUCAAUCACAUAAUAAUCAAUAUACAUAUUGUAAGAAUUCAACAAAUGGAGAACAUAAUAUACUAUAAAAGCAUCCAAAAUUUUUCCAUCUCAAAUUAUUACUAAACUUCUUGAACAAGUUGAAGAUUGGGGGGAAAAAGUGCAAGAAGGAAAAGCAUUAUUCUACUAGUUUCUAGGUUUCUCAUUUGAACAGAAAGAUUAAAUAAGAUAUUUGUGUAUGGCUGUAGUACUACACGGUAUCUGCUAGAAAGCAAAAUACCUUCUGCUGAUUGCACAUUGGAAUGGGAAUAAGUUGGUAAAUAUAUAAGUUACAUAAAUUAUUUUGGAUAAUUCUGCUGGUGAAUUAAUUAUCUUAAAAUCACCCUUUUAUUUUUUAAAAAAUCUUAAGUUAUUUUUCAUAUAUCUUAGGAAGACAAACAAACUUUCAUCAACUCUCCUUUUUUAGCUUUUCCCUUCAAUAAUGUUAGAAAUUCUAACAUUUGAGUCCUGCUUGAGCUUAAUACUAUUUAUCACUCAUUUAUUAGAUGAUGAAUUUUUUAAAUUAUAAAGUUAUUUGACUACCAUUCAAUGAAUGAAUGUCACAUCAUUUAAAACUCAAAGAAAAGUAUUCUACUUCUUGCGGCAAUCAUGCCUUCAUUCAGACUAUGAACCAUUUCCUUUCACCAAAUUCUUCAUAAACAUUGAAUAAGUUUCAUGGUUGGACAUAGUUAGCUUCUGUUUCUUUUGGUGCAUUUAGGUGCUAUCAAGUGACGGCCGUAAGUAUGAUUGCAUUAUUGGGAAUUUUACGAUUUGAUGGUUCCCCACGUUAUUGCCAAGAAAGUUCUCAUGUCGGAAGCAGCGGUUCUUUUCAUCAGCCUGAACCCGAACCUGUCGCUAUGGAUAACUCAGGUUUUUGUCAUCAACUAUAUCAUCUUUUUCACUGUUUUGAAACUCUUAAUAUUAAACUUACAGUAAACUUCAGAUUUCAGUUUGUUUGCUCGAAACUUGUAUGGUGACAAGGAUACUGGCAAGGAUAAUAAGGUAGUUUUUUGUGUGAGUGGAUUUUGAGAGCUUGUGUGUAUAGGGAUUUGCAAUUACAAUCAUCCUCUGCCUCAGGUGAUUUCUUCUCCUGCUCUGUCUUUAUUUGCUCUCUAAUUGAAAAGCAUAAAGUAUUUCAAUCAAAUUCUGUACCAGGAAUAUGUAAAAGUUCCUAAUAUUUUAUUUUCAUUUGUUUGCAUUGAUAACUUGACGGCAUAUGUACUAGUUAAAGAACAAACAGAAUCAGAGCUCAAGAAAAAGUUUUUUCUGCCAUCAUAUUUGAAAAUGAAGUCAUUUGCAGGAAGCGGUUGGCAGCAAAUUCAUACAAAGUGUAGACAAUGAUGAGCAAAAAAGGUGAUUCACAGUUUGAUUUUUUUUUAAUAAUGAAAAUAAUUUGGUAGGUUGAAGCUGAUAUUGUAAGAGGGCCAUUGAGCUAACCUAUGUCGCUACUUGCCAAGAUUGCAGGGCGUUAAGACUCAAAAGAAGCACUGAAUUUUAAAAGGCAUGCAAUAGUUCUUGUGCCAUAUGUCAAUUCAUGCAAGUUGGAAUAAGUUUAUUGGUUUGAACGCUGUUAGCUCCUUUUCCUUUCGUGCAUUUUGGUAUGCUAUCAAGUGACAGCCGUAUGUAUGGUUUGCAUAUAGCUGCUGCUGGGAAAUGUGAGGAUUUCAUGGCUGGCCGUGUUAUUGUUUUAAAUUAGAUGUGAUAAGCUGUUGCUUGGAGAUUCUGUUGCCAAGACUUUGCUCACAUCAGAAGCUGUGGAACCUCAACCCUUCUCUAGAUAUCAUCUUUUUCAUUGUUUUAAAACUCUCAGGAUUAAACUUGAGUAAAUUUGUUCGGUUGUCUAUAUAAUCAUGUAUUGAGUAAACUCUCAGGAUACCGAGCAGGCAAAUGCCAUAACUCGGUUUGUUCUUCAAAAACUUGUUUAAGAUUCUUGACAAAGCUGCAUGAAGUGAAUCUUGGGAGCUUUGAGGGUGAGAGAAAUUAGAGGGUGUAUAGGGAUUUGGGUUUAUUAGUAAGUUAUAUAUGUAUUUCGUCACUUAUCAUUAUCAUUUUUAUUUUCACAGAAAACCUUCUGAUGGUGCUAAAUUUUCAAACACCGGUCCGAUUCAAAACUUCAUAUUCCAAUUAUAUUCAUAAGACAAAUGGAACACUUUGAACGGCUAGUGUCCGAGCAUUGUAGUUUGAUUUAUUUUGAUGAAAGUACCUUUUGACAUUGAGAUUCUUUCAUGAUUUAAACAUUCUUUUUUAAACCAAAUUAUUAAAAAAAGUAACUAACAUAUAUUAUUUUAUUAGUGCUUUUUAAAUCAAAUAUACAUAGGAGAACUGUAAUUCUUAGCAAUCAAUUUUUCACUAAAUACACCUGCAAUAAACUAUUAAUAACAAAGUGAUAGAAAAUACCUGAUUUUUCAUACUUUCUAAUUUCUUGUGGUCCUAAAAUAUGGGCAUUUGUGUAAUAAUUAGCCCAUGUGGAUCUCUAUGCCAUGAGUUUGAUAAAUAGCUAUCAAGGAUCACUUAUUAAGCUGAAAAUAUUUGGAGGACAAAAUUGUAAAACUAAAAGGGUAGAGCAAAUAUGGCUAUCUAGGAUUAAAUAGUAAGUCAACUAUAUUUAAAGGAUAAAAUGUUAAAACUUGAACUGUGAUAUUAAAAAUAUCUCAACUAUUACAUUAUUAAACCAUAUGUUCUAAUAGUUUUUUUUUAAGCUUCAAAAUGUUCAGGAUUUUAGAUUGAAACAUUUUCAUUUGAAAUUAUUUGGUGCAGUCACAAGUUAAGAAAGAAAAAGUUGUCCCAUUGGUCAUUUCACAAAAAUGAAAGCCCUGUAUAACAUGGACUUGAAUGGAAGCCCAAUUGUUUGUGUUUGAUUAAUUGAUUUCAAGCUUUAUCGGAUCUUUGGACCUGGAUACUUUACCGCGGCCUCUAAGCGCUAUAAUUUUUUUUUUUUUGGGAUAAACGGCGCUUCAAUGAGGGCAUUUCCAAUACUUAACACUAUUUUGGUGUAACACCAACACUAAAAAUGUACAUUUUUCACACUAAAUUACUAUUUAAUCUCCAACCCAUUUGAUCUACCAUGAUUGUGACUCCCACUGGGGCCACGUUCUGUUGAUCACCCUCUCGUCACCGAUAGCGCCUCCGCUUGUGGCGAACUUGCUUGUCUAUUUUCCCUAUUUUUCCGCUUACUCUCCUCAUUUAAUACGGAGGCUGCAACAUCAUCGAAAACUAGACUGUCCACUGAAUUGUAGUUUGUCAGGUUGACGAUGAGUUGUUCAUACGAAUCUUAUAGACUUUGAAGUAGAAGCUCUGCAUGUACAUUAUCCUCUAUAUUAUGACCCAACGUUGUGAGUUGUGAAAAUAGAGUCUUCAAGGUGUUGAUGUGGUCGGUCACCAUUGUAGAUUCCACCAUUCGAAGAGUAUAAAGUCUCCUCUUCAAAAAGAUUUUGUUGUGUAGUGACUUGGCCUCGUACAAUUUUGUAAGAGUAUCUCAUAUUUCCUUUGCUGUAUUUUUCUCUGCCACACUGGAUAAUACUCCAUCCGCAAGUGCCAAGUGUAGAUCAGAAAUAGCGUUGCCAUCUAUCUCAUUCCACUUGUCAUCAGUUAUCUCCAUGGGCCUUUCUCCAAUUGCUGCCAAACAAUUAUUUUUCCUCAAUACAACUUUCAUCUUCAUUUUCCACAAUGAAAAAUUAUUUCCGUUAAACUUCUCAAUUUCAUAUUUUGCUGCCAUUUUUUUGAUAAAUACCGCACACAAGUUAGUGUAUCACCUUGAAUAGUUGUCGGUAUGUGUGAGAAUGCACACCAGGAAAGUUCCCAGGAAAGACUGGAGGGGUCACACUGGUCCACUUAAAACUCAGACUCCUUAAGCACUUAUCGCGUUUGUAACAGAACUUUCCUAGACAUGUACAAAACCACACAGUUGCUUUUACUUACACCACUAUUUCCUACUUUGCAGUGCAAAAGUUCUUGGAUCGCUCCCAUCGUUUCUCGUGAACAGUACCAUAUACGUGAACAGUGCCACAUACAUGAAUAGUACCGUAUACGUGAACAGUACCGUAUACGUGAAUACUACCCUUUACGUGAACAGUACUUGACUCCAAAAAAUUCAACCAAUAGCUUUGAUACCACUGUUAGGAAAUUGGUAGGUGAAGCAGACACGCAGCUAAAAUAAAAUUGGAAGAAAAUAAAGAACAAGUACAAAGUGGACACCAAGAAAUUACGUGGUUCGGCUUUUAGCCUACGUUCACGGGCGAAGAUAGAAGGAAAAUAUUAUACUAGUGAUAUGAAGAUUACAAGUAUUGUAAUAUUUUGGCUCACUAUCCAAAACCCCAAUACACUCAAUCUCUCACUCAAUAAACUCUCAGGAGCUUUAUUAUUUUAAGCUCUUAAAAUCUCUCAAGCUUUCUCCUUAUUAUUCUCUCACAAAUUGUAUGCUAAAAUUAGGGUGGGAAGCCCUCUUUAUAUAUCCAAGAUUUUGGCUCUUUUUUUUUUAUAUAACAAGUCAACACGGCACCAUUAAGAAUGGCGAGCCAUGUUGAAUGGCAUGGCACCGCCCAUCUAGAUGGCCGGUGCCAACCAUGACUUUAACAUUCUAUCACUUGGAGAUUUGAUUGAGAAUCAAUCAAUCUCCACAUCAUCCUUUCUACUUCGCCAUAAUCAUGUUGCCUACGUUUUUACUAGGCCACAAGAGGAUCUACUCCAGUUAAACUUAUCAAUAUUGAUUGGCUUAGUCAAAACAUCUGCUAGGUUCUCCUUCGUAUGGAUUUUUGCAAAUUGACACUUCCAUCUUCCACUACUUCUCGAACGAAGUGAUACUGAACUCCUAUGUGCUUUGUCUUGGAAUGAAAGGCUGGAUUCCUUGCAAUGUGCAAGGCACUCUGACUGUCACAAAACACAGGAAUUUUCUGUUGUUUGUGCCCGAGCUCCUCCAAUAAUCUUUGUAUCCAAAUAGCUUCCUUGCAAGCUUGUAUAGCUGCCAUGUAUUCUGCUUCUGUUGUAGAUAAAGCCAGAACGGUCUGCAGUUUCCAAACCCAACUUACAACUCCUCAUGCAAAUGUAAACACAUAACUAGUAGUGGAUUUCCUUUUAUCAAGGUCUCCUGCAAAAUCUGAAUCCACAUAGCCCCUGACAGUAAACUCUGAUCCUCAAUAACAUAAUACAACAUCUGAGGUUCCUCUUAUGUAUCUCAGAAUCCUCUUCACAGCUAUCCAAUGCUGUCCACCAGGAUUCACCAUGUAUCGACUGAUUGCUCCCACUGCUUGUGCAAUGUCUGAUCUUGUACAUAUCAUAGCGAACAUCAAACUUCCCACUGCUGAUGCAUACGGUACUUGAGACAUCUCCUUCCUCUCUGCUUCAUUGCUAGGACACAUACUUGAGGAUAAUUUGAAAUUAACAGGAAGUGGGGUAGAAAUUGACUUACAAUCUUGCAUGUUGAAGCGCCACAAGAUUUUCUUCAAGUAGUUAUUCUCAGAAAGCCAAAUCUUUCUGUUAUUUCUGUCUCAGUGAAUUUGCAUCCCUAGAAUCUUGUUUGCUGGUCCCAAGUCCUUCAUUUCAAACUCCCUAGCCAACAGUGCCUUCACUUCUUGGAUUCGAUCUUUGUCGGGGCCUGCUACCAACAUGUCAUCCACAUAUAACAACAAAAUAAUGAAAUCAUUAUCUUCAAACCUUUUGUAAUAUGCACAAUGGUCUGAACUGAGUCUGUUAUAUCCAAGACUCAUGAUGAAGGAAUCAAAUCUCUUAUACCAACACCUCGGCGCCUGUUUGACACCGUAUAGAGAUUUGUUCAACCUACAAACCAAGUUUUCCUUUUCUGUUUCUGCAAAACCUUCUGGUUUGAGCAUAUAAAUUUUCUCUUCAAGUUCUCCAUGAAGAAAUACAGUUUUCACAUCUAACUGCUCUAGAUGUAGGUCAAAUAUAGCACACAUUGCCAAGACUACUCUGACUGUUGUGAGUCGAACCACCGGAGAAAAUAUCUCGUUGAAGUCAAUACCUUCUUUCUGAGCAUAUCCUUUCACCACCAAUCUUGCACGAUACCGCUCCACUUGAUCAUUGCCAUCACGUUUGAUCUUGUAGACCCAUUUGUUUCCAAUGACUUUUCUUCCAUGUGGUAGUGGUACAAGUUCCCAUGUCUUAUUUUUAUGUAGAGCUUCAAUUUCUUCCUGCAUUGCUGUCAUCCACAAAGCAACAUUUGAACUUUCUAAAGCUUCAUGGAAAGUUGAUGGCUCUCCAUCCUCUGUUAGAAGACAGUAUGCAACAUGGAUCUCUGUGACAUACUCCGAGUGCCACGCUGGCGAUCGUCUCUCACCAAUUGACCAAAGAACUUCUGGAGUCUCAGACUCGACUGGUUCUUGUUCCUCGUGCUCUGGUGCUGCUUUAGAAGAAUCUGAAUCUUCUAGAUUAUUUCCACAUAUACCGGCACAGUUUCUGACUUUUCUUUUACAGUGUCAUCAUCUCCAUCUUUCCUUUACAGUUGAUCUUCUACAAAAAUAACAUCUCUGUUGAUGACGAUCUUGUGGGCAGUGGGGUCCCACAAACGAUACCCCUUUACUCCAUUAGCAUAUCCCAAGAAGAUACAUCUUCUAGAUUUUGGAUCCAGCUUUGUUCUUUCUUACGGAUUGUACAUCACAUACACAGGACAUCCAAAUGCAUGUAAGUAGGAAUAAUCAGCUGGCUUUCCAGUCCACAUCUCCACGUUGUCUUCAGCCCAAUAGCUGUAGAUGACGACUGAUUUACUAUAUAACAAGCAGUUUUGGCUGCUUCUUCCCAAAAUGAAUUGGGUAGACCAGCAGUCCUCAACAUAGCUCUUAUUCUUUUGUAAGAGUUUUGUUCAUCUACUCCGCCACUCCAUUUUGUUGAGGAGUGUAUGCUACCGUGAACUGUCUAUGAAUACCUUCUUACUUACAGAAAGCAAGAAACUCACCGUCUGUAUACUCUCCACCAUUAUCUGUCCUCAAGCACUUGACCCUUUUACCAGAUUCAAGUUCCACCCGCGCUUUGUAUUCUUUAAAUACUGGAAAUAUAAUUGACUUUUUCAUAAUUGGAUACACCCAACAUCUCCUGGAAUAAUCAUCAAUGAAAGUCACCAUAUACUUUGCACCUCCCAUGGAUAUAUCCAGUGAUUCCCAAACAUCAGAAUGAAUCAAGUCUAAAAUGCAUUUACUUCUAGCAAUAGAUUUACUGAAUUUUAAUCUAUGCUGCUUACUUGUAACACAAUGCUCGCAAAAUGGUAAACUUACCGAUUUAAGCCCCGGAAGUAAUUUUCACUCAGAGAGAAUCUUCAAACAUUCUGACAUGUGACCAAAUUUGAGAUGCCACAUCAUCGUUGACUCUUCUCCAUUUGAUACGAGACACGCAUUAGCCUCCUAUAGUGUUUCUCCUUUAAGCAUGAAUAGAUUAGCACCGAUCUUUUCUGCCUUCAUCAAUACAAGCGCUCUUUUAACAAUUUUCGUAAUUUCAUUCUCCAUAUGAGUUUUAUACCCAUGACUAUCCAUUUGUCCCAAAGACAAUAGAUUUUUAUUCAGGUCAUUGACAUGUCGUACCUCCCCAAUUGUGCGAAUUGUACCAUCAAAAUUUUUAUUUUGAUAGUGUCAAUACCAGCGAUCUCCAAGGUAUGAUCAUUACCCAUAUAUAUAGAUCCUCCUGAGAUAUGUUCAUAUGUGUGGAACCAUUCUCUCCGAGAGGUCAUGUGCCAGGUAGCUCCUGAGUCUAUAAUCCAGACAUCAGAUAGUCGUUUUCUACCUUCUAAAACAGUUGUUGCCUCGCUUUAGAGAAUUUCACCAUUAUCUGAAGUACUUGCUACACACCCUUGAGCAUUUGAUGACUCAGGUUAUUUGCCCUCUCUUCUCUUCUGGUUACUCCAACACUUUUUCUUGACGUGCCCUUUCUUGCCACAGUUGUAGCAUUUAACAUUCUUCUUACUUCUGGAUUUUGAUCUACCAUGAUUAUGACUUCUACUGGGGUCACGUUCUGUUGAUCUCCCUCUCGUCACCAAUAGCGUCUCCGCUUGCUGCGAACUUGCUUGUCUGCUUUCAUUAUUUUUCCGCUUACUCUCCUCAUUUAAUACGGAGGUUGCAACAUCGUCGAAAACUAGACCGUCCGCUGGAUUGUUGUUUGUUAGGUUGAUGAUGAGUUGAUCAUACGAAUCUGGUAGACUUUGAAGUAGAAGCUCUGCAUGUACAUUAUCCUCUAUAUUAUGAUCCAACGUUGUGAGUUGCGAAAAUAGAGUCUUCAAGGUGUUGAUGUGGUCGGUCACCAUUGUAGAUUCCACCAUUCGAAGAGUAUAAAGUCUCUUCUUCAAGAAGAUUUUGUUGUGUAGUGACUUGGCCUCGUACAAUUUUGUAAGAGUAUCUCAUAUUUCCUUCGCUGUAUUUUUUUCUGCCAUACUGGAUAAUACUCCAUCCGCAAGUGCCAAGUGUAGAUAAAAAAUAGCGUUGCCAUCUAUCUCAUUCCAUUUGUCAUCAGUUAUCUCCAUGGGCUUUUCUCCAAUUGCUGCAAAACAAUUAUUUUUCCUCAAUACAGCUUUCAUCUUCAUUUUCCACAACAAAAAAUUAUUUCCGUUAAACUUUUCAAUUCCAUACUUUGCCGUCAUUUUGUUCAUAAAUACCGCACACAAGUUAGUGUACCACCUUGAAUAGUUGUCAGUAUGUGUGAGAAUGCACACUAGGAAAGUUCUCAGGAAAGACUGGAGGGGUCACACUGGUCCCACUUAAAACCCAAACUCCUUAAGCUCUUAUCGCCUUUGUGACAGAACUUUCCUAGACAUGUACAGAAUCACACAGUUGCUUUACUCACACCACUAUUCCCUGCUUUGCACCGCAAAAUUCUUGGAUCGCUUCCACCGUUUCUCGUGAACAGUAUCGUAUACGUGAACAAUGUCGUACAUGUGAAUAGUAUCAUACAUGUGAAUAGUAUCGUAUACGUGAACAGUACCGUAUACAUGAAUACUACCCUUUACGUUAAGAAAUUGGUGGGUGAAGCAGACACGCAGCUAAAAUAAAAUUGGAAGAAAAUAAAGAACAAGCACAAAGUGGACACCAAGAAAUUACGUGGUUCGACUUUUAACCUACGUCCACGGGCGAAGACGGAAGAAAAAUAUGAUACUAGUGAUAUGAAUAUUACAAGUAUUGUAAUAUUUUAAUUUACUACCCAGAACCCCAAUACACUCAAUCUCUCACUCACUAGACUCUCAGGAGCUUUAUUAUUUUAAGCUCUUAAAAUCUCUCAAGCUCUCCUUAUUAUUCUCUCACAAAUUGGAUGCUAAAAUGAGGUGGGAAGCCCUCUUUAUAUAGCCAAAAUUUUGGCUCCUUUUUUUUUUUUAUAACAAGUCAACACGGCACCACCAAGAAUGGUGGGCCGUGUUGAAUGGCAUGGCACCGCCCAUCUAGAUGGCCGGUGCCAACCAUGACUUUAACAUUAUAGUCCAAGUUUUCGAGGACCACUAUAUUGUAUUGAUUUAAAAAAAACUAAUAUUUUUAAUAUUAAUAUUCUAAAUUAUAUUCAGUUAAAAUAUUAAAUAUUAAAAACAUUCUUAAUAUUAAUAUUCUUAGAUGAAAUUAUUUUGCUGACUUAAGAAUAAAAUAUUAAAUAAUUUUAUUUUUCUUUUAUUGUGUAACGUGGACCAAAAAAAAGGAAAUGAAUUUAAUAAAACCUUCAUUCAAAACCUUCAUUCCGCCACCAUGCAUGCAUGUUAAUUGUUUCCAAAUUCCAACCUCCGUACUCUCUUGAGGAGUUUCCCAUUCAUCAAUUAUUAUUUUUUAUAAUCCAUACCAUCCUGAUAUAAUUAAACACCAUUAAUAAUGUACCAGCCUUUAAAUAGUAAUUAAUUUAUUUAGUUGGCCACCUAAAAGAAUCCUGCAGGAAAUAGAGGUUAAAAAUUUUAUUAAAUUUGCUUACCGCUGUAUCAUUAUAUAUAUAAAGAGUGAAAUCUAAAUGAAAUUUUUUAUCAUCCAUUCAGCAAACACUUAUAAUUCACAAAUAGUGAAUCUAUGCAUUGACAAUGUGGAUUAAGAAUUAUAACACAUGAAUUCAAACAUACCCUUGUGAAGUUAAGAAUAAGUUCAUACUUCAAAUGAUUUUUUAGCUAAUAAAGCAAUCAGUUUCAUUAAACGACAGCGUUGAAGGAAUUGUGCAAUUUUUUACGUUCUUUUCUAGACAGACGUUACAGAAAUGGGGUAAGUAGAGGGCUGGCCUCAGAUAUCUCACAAUUGUUAGUGAGAUAAAAUGUUAUUGUAAAAGGCGUUUAAUAGAAUAAUAUUAAUUCUUUUGCAUUGUUAUAAAAAUAUUUUUUUCUUUUGACAGUUCUGCAGGACAAGUGAUCAGAGCUCAAUGAAUAUAGCCGUGGAGGCACAGCAGAGCAGGAUUAUGAAAAAGAGAAGCUUAUUACAGGUCAUUCAAGUUUACUUGCUUUUAUAUAAUAAGUGUUUUGGCCGAUUUAUCUAAUUCACCAAAUGUUUUUUCCGGUACAUAUCUCCAUUGGUAUCAAGAAGAGGCAGAACCCAAAGAAACGUUUCUUGCAUCUUCAUAUUUGUGCGCAUUCAUCCUUUCAUUGAGAAUAACCAUUUCCAGGCAGCAGUUGCCAAUCAAUUCGCACGUCGAUGCUAUUCAUAGAUAUUAAAGACAAUGAUGAACCAAAGGUGAUAAAUCAUAAAUGCAUAAUUACCAAACCUCCAUCCUUCUCUCAUUAUGAUUUGAUUUUAAAUGAAUUAUUGCUUGGUAACAUUAUUUCCAACCAUUGCAAGACCUUUUUUUUUUUUUGGGAGAAAUUUCAAUUGAAAGUGAAACCUUUAGACAUUUACCUAAUGAAGUUAGUUAAUCGGGAGGGUGGAAAAAAAAAAGUUGACGCAAGUCAAUACACAAUAAUGAUUAAUUAAAUCCGGAGUGACUAAAACAGAGCCACUACUUUUUCAAAAAUAUCUGCAUUCAUCACUUUCUCCAGCAGCUAGUCAGCUACACACGAAUCAAUUUCUCUCCUCGUUUGUCAUCCAAAAUUAUUCACCAAUACCAUGGCUGAUGCAAUCGUUUCCACUAUCUUGGAGCAGCUGAUUUCCUUCGCUGCUGAAGAGAUAAAACAACAGGUGAUCGAAGUUACACCCCUCAUAUUACAAAUACUUCCAAUGAUUUUAAUUGGUUUUGUUUUUAUCAAAAACAUUAUAUAUUUUUGCUUUUUUUUAUUUAUCUGAUAAUUUUAUAUUUUGAAAUUUGAAUUGAAUUUAAUUAAAAGGUGAUGUAGUAACCACUCAUUUUUAUUUUAUUUCAUUUAUAUUCUCGAUAACUAACCAUAUUUUGGUAACUUAAUAUAACUCUCGUACAUAAGAAAUGAUCCAAACCCACAAUUUUAACUCUGUAUAAAUAUUCAACGUUGAGUCAUUAAUUCUCAACUCAGCACUGAAUCCCAUAGCUAUUACUUAGACUCUAUGAAAAAUUUCAUAGUUUUCUUACAUUCUUUGAGUUUGGUAAGUGAUUUCGUAUAAUUUCUUUUCAAGUUAAAUUUUAAUUUGGUUUAUGAUAUAGUCUCUGUGCCGAAUUGUAUCUUUUAUGAUUCUUGGAUUUUGGGCUCCAACUUUUUAGGAUUUGAUAGUCACAUUUUAUGCCAUGCUCAGAUUGAUUUUCAUGAUUUUAACUACCCGUUAAGUGGCUUACAAUUUGACAAAAGUUUGAAAGGAAAUAUGUUUCAGGAUUCUGUUUUAAUUGACCUUUAAGUAGAAAUAGGAUGCUUAUAACUUAAUGUGGAUGGUUUGUAAAAUCAUGAAAUUCGGAUAGGAUUCACUAGAAAUAUGUACAAGACUCUCCAUAAAGUUUCAUAAUUUUUCAUUCGGUAUGGGGUGGUACAGGUGAAACUUGUGGUUGGUGUUGAAAAAGAAGUGAAAAGCAAGUUGUGCUCGAUGAUGCAGAGGAAAAGCAAGUGAAGGACAAAGCUGUUAGUCUUUGGCUGGGUAGACUCAAGUACGCAUCCUACGACAUUGAAGAUGUGUUGGAUGAGUGGAUCACAGCAAGACGCAAAUUGCAAAUUGAGGGUGGCGUUGAUGAAAAUGCUCUUGUUGUUCCUCAUAAGAAAAAGAAGGUAUGUCUCUACUUUCCCGGCUCUUGUUUUGGAUUCAAACAAGAAGAAUUUGGUUUCAAACAAGUCUUUCUCCGUCAUGACAUUGCCGACAAGAUCAAAGAAAUCAAUGAAGAGCUACAUGAUAUUGCCGCUCAAAAAGACAUGUUUGAUCUUGUUAAGAGUGGCAAUAAAAGUAGUGAAAGACCAAGGCGUGUACAGAGUACCUCCUUGAUUGAUGAAGAAGAGAUUUGUGGCAGAGUUGGUGAGAGGAAUGAACUCUUAAGCAAGCUGUUGUGUGAGAGUAGCGAGCAACAAAAAGGCCUUCAUAUCAUCUCAAUCGUUGGUAUGGGAGGCAUAGGGAAAACAACUCUUGCACAACUAGCUUGUAAUCAUGACGAGGUGAAGAGAAAGUUCGACAAAAUUCUGUGGGUGUGUGUAUCAGAAACUUUUGAGGAGUUUAGGGUUGCCAAAGCGAUCGUUGAAGUUUUGGAUGGUCGUGAAUCUCAUUUAGCUGAAUUCCAUUCUCUUCUUAUAAGUAUUGAUAAAUCUAUUGCGGGAAAGAGAUUUCUUCUUGUCUUAGAUGACGUAUGGGACGGAGAUUACAUUAAGUGGGAACCGUUCUACCGUUCCCUAAAGAAUGGUCUCCAAGGAAGUAAAAUUUUGGUUACUACACGUAAGGAGUCAAUUGCGUUUAUGAUGGGAUCCAUUGAUAUUAUCUCUAUCAAGGGAUUGGCCGAAGAAGAAUGUUGGUCGUUGUUUAAGCGGUUAGCAUUUUUCGGUCGAUCCAUUGAGGAAUGUGGAAGAUUGGAACAAAUUGGACAAAGAAUUGCAGGAAAGUGUAAAGGCUUACCUCUUGCAGCAAAGGUAAUAGGGAGUCUCAUGCGUUCUAAAAAAACUGAAGAAGAGUGGCAAAGAAUCUUAAAUAGUGAGCUAUGGAAAAUAGAAGAGAUCGAGAAAGGUGUUCUAACUCCUUUGUGGUUGAGUUAUAACGAUUUGUCAUCUCGAGUAAAAAGAUGUUUUUUAUAUUGUGCUGUCUUUCCAAAAGACUACAAUAUAAAAAAAGACAAACUAAUUACAUUAUGGAUGGCUCAAGGUUAUCUUAAUGCAGAACAAAAUGAAGAGAUGAAGACAAUAGGUGAAGAGUAUUUUGGCAUCUUAGCUUCUCGCUCUUUCUUUCAGGAGUUUACGAAAAGUUAUGAUAAUCGUAUUAUAUGGUGCAAGAUGCAUGAUAUGGUGCAUGAUUUUGCCCGAUUUGUAAGUCAAAAUGAAUGUUUUUCGAUGGAAAUUAACGGCAGUGAGGAACCAAACGCCACAAACUCUCCUCAUGGGAAGCUUCGUCAUUUAAUGUUAAUCAUUGGUGAAGGGGCUUCAUUUCCUGUCUCCACUUGUAGAGUCAAAAGAAUGCGAAGCCUCUUAAUUGAUAGUAGCAGAUUUGAUUAUCAGUCGUUAAAUGGUGAGAUCCUAGAAGAAUUAUUGAGGGAAUUGACAAGUUUAAGGGCAUUCGAUUUUUGCAGAUCGGACCACACACGAUUGGGUUUCACUCUAGAGAUUCCAAGAAAUAUAAAAAAGCUGAUACAUUUAAGAUACCUUAAUUUGUCUGGUCAGAAAAUAGAGAAGCUACCGGAGGCAUUGUGCGAGCUAUAUAAUCUAGAGAAGUUAGAUAUUUGUGGUUGUUGGUGUCUUAAAGAAUUACCUGAAGGGAUUGGGAAGUUAAUAAACAUGAAGCAUUUACUAAAUAGAAAUACCGAUUCUGUAAGGUACAUGCCAGUAGGGAUUGCGAGAUUAAAGAGUCUUCAGACAUUGGAAGAGGUCAGUGUGAGUGGAAGAGGAUGUCUUGAUGGUAGGAAAGCAUGUAGGCUCGAAUCUCUUAAAAACUUGGAACACCUUCAAAUAUGCGGUAUACGUGGACUGGGUGAUGUAUCAGACGUGGGCGAGGCUAAGCGAUUAGAACUUGACAAAAAUAAAUACCUCUUCAGUUUGACCCUUUGGUUUGAUAAGAAGGAGGAAGAAGGAGAAAGGAGGAAGAACGAGGACGAUCAACUUCUUCUUGAAGCCCUGCAACCACCUCUGGAUUUAAAGAAAUUAACGAUAUGGUCAUACAGAGGCAACACUGUUUUCCCCAGCUGGAUGAUGUCAUUAACCAAUUUAAGGAGUUUAGGUCUCUGUUACUGCAAAAAUUGUGAGCAGCUGCCUCCUUUGGGAAAAUUGCCAUCCCUUGAAACGCUCCACAUAUUGGGCAUGAAUAGUGUGAAAAGAGCGGGUAAUGAAUUUUGGGGUAUAGAAAGUAAUCACCAUGACUCAUCUUCAUCUUCAUUUUCAUCAGUUAUUAUUGCCUACCCCAAAUUAAUAUCACUUUCAAUUCAUUGUCUGACGGAAUUGGAGGAGUGGGAUUAUGGGAUUACUAGAACGGGAAACACGUUCAUCAACAUCAUGCCACGUCUUUCUUCCUUGCGAAUUACUAUGUGCCCCAAACUAAAGGCACUGCCCGACCACAUUCAUCAAACGACAACACUGAAGGACUUGACCGUUGGGUGGAACUCUGAUCUUCUGCAAGAACGUUACAGCGAGGGUAUAGGAGAAGACUGGCCUAAGAUAUCUCACAUUCCCAACGUCAGGAUUUGGCAAGACGUAAUUUCUUCUCCUACUCUGAUUUGCUUUGUUGUUGUUUUUAAUCUAAUUAAGACGCAUAAAUAGCAUUUUGAUUUUGAGUUGACAAUUUUCUGGACCAGUGAUCAAGGGUGAGAAUGGCGCUAGGAUAUUGAAUAAGGCACUGAACUUAGGCUGAUGUCAAAAGAGGUAAAUUAUUGACAUGUGUAGCUAAUUUGACCGUUUCCUGAUUCAUAAGUCUACAUUAAUUUUGAUUUUGAGUUGAGUGAUUACAUUUUAAGGUUUGCUUACUUAACAGGGCCAGGACAUGAAAUGAGAAGCUUAUUAGUGGCAGUUGGCAGUGAAUGGAGGACCUUGACUAAAUUCUCAAGCGGUUGCACUGCAGUUACGCUCAUCCUAAGCCUCCUGUAAUUUCUUCUCCUGCAUUUUUGUAAUUUGCUAUCUAAUUAAGGAGCGUAAACUAUUUUGAAUCGACUUCUAUAUCAGGAAUAUAUGCAACAUUUUCUAAAAGUUUGAUAUGAGUGUAAUGAUGGUAAUUUCUCUUUUUUGUCUGUCAUCGAAAUGUAAGAUAACAUUCAUUAAGACUCUUGAGAGUCGUUUUUGGCAAUUGCAGGACAAGUGAUGAAGAGUGAGAAUGGUGCUAGAUUGGGGAUUAAAGCAAAAGGAGGUAAAUUAUUGGCAGAGAAUUGUGAGAGCUUGAGUGUACUGGGAUUUGCAAUUACAAUCAUCCUCUGCUUCAGGUGAUUUCUUCUCCUGCUCUGUCGUUGUUUGUAUCUCAAUCAAAUUCUAUAACUGGAAUAUGCAAAAGUUUCGAAUUUUUUAUUUCUAUCUGCUUGCAUUGAUAACAUCACGGCAUA